ACGUUUUCAGUCCCGUCAAGAGCAAAUAUGAUAUCUCCAUAGUCAAACUUAUUGAAGAAUUCCCCAGCUUUGAGCGAAAAUGGUGUGUUUCUCGGAUAAUUCAUCAAUCCAUAUCCGUUCACUUGCGAGGAUCCAUUCGGAAGAGUAAGUGUAAGACUCACCGGACUUGCUAUGUUAAAGUUGUCUUUCAGCAGCACCACAAAAGAUACCUCAUAAGAUAAAUUUUCAAGCUUUUCUGUCAUAUAGUUUCCGUCAACAUGUAGGACUAAGCUACCAAUUAAUUCAGCACUGUCAGGACUGUACAAAAUGAUAGUAGAAUUAAAGUCAGAAACUUUUGAUAUAAGGAGCUUAAAUUCAUUAGGUGAUUUUAUUGAUUUAUUUAUUUUUUGCUGGAAUAUUUUUAAUGCGAGUCCUUCUAUCUAACUAGACUUCAAUAAAAUUUCUAUAGUCCUUCUAUCACUUUAAUUUAAUGACAAAGUUGCUUAUAUAUCCCUAUUUUUAACUGAAUAAAAUUCAGGUGUUUAAACACAAAUCUUGACCUUUGACGUCAAUUAAGUUAACUAAAUCUUAUUUCUACUUACGUAAACUUCCAGCCUGAAGGGUUGGCAUAAUUGAGUUUACUGGCAGGUACAUAAGCGCCAGAACUCUGAAUAAGACGAGAAAAAAAAAUUCAUAUCAUCCAUUACAAAAAAAUUUCACUUGCAAAAUUUACAAAUAUUAAGGAUUAUUUUUGUUCUAUAGCCAACUUUAGCUAUAUAUAUGAUGUUUGUUUACAAUUUCAGUAGACUUACCUUCUGGCCUAUUCCGCCGUUUUGGAGCAACUCCAUUUCCUUGGCUUGGGACAACAAUGCCUUGAGGUCAACCUCAUUAUGCCUCACUACUUGUGCCAUCUCCUCGAUCGAUCGAUAACUAUCCUUUAAUUCUGCUAUAUAUAUAUAUAUAUAUGUAUUUUCUGUUUCUAUUCUUGAUGUCUAUAUAUCUCUCUUCCAAAGGCUAGCUCUAUUUAUACUGGCACAAACAGAGGGUACUGCGAUUAUUAUAUCCCAUAAUAUCCUAUCUUCAAAUAUUCCUUCCCUUUUCAAAGUAGGGAUCCGAUCCUGAUAAGUUUAACAUCAUCAUCAUCAUCAUCAUCAUCAUCGCCAAGGAUAUAGAGCAGCAGAUUCUGUUUAAUAAUUUUGUUGGAAUAAUUCUUUUCCAUUUCCCAGUUCAAUAGUUCUUUCUUUAGCUUGUUGCGCAGGCAAAAUUCCAUGAAGGCGAAAGGCACGUAGGCAUACUAGUUGUGGGCAAGGAAAUUGUACCUUGCUAGGGUUAGGAUUUCGUGUUGGCUGAGGAGGAGAGAAAUUCACGAAGAGCACGGAAUUGAUUGGUUGAUUGAAGAGGGGAGAACGACAGGUGGGCGAUUACUCCAACGACGUGUGGCAGAACCCCUAGAAUCCAGGAACCGUGUUAGGGUAGUAGGGAUUCCAAGAGCCUUCUUGAGUCCUUCGUUCUUGAGAGAAUGUCUAAACCCCUUUUAGUGCUUUUAGGUGGAAUCUCCGAGCCUUUAAGUCACCAAAAAGGGUUCUUUGAUCUUCCGAGAGUCCAAGUCUUGAGUCUAAAGAGAAGUCUCUUUCCCAAUGGAAUGGAAGGGUAUUUAUAGGGUUUUCUGGAAAGUAGUCAUGUGCGAGGCACAUGCUUUCAGGGAAAUUCCAGAAAUGCCCUUUAGUCAUUAGAAUAAUGCCCAUGUUGCCCUGUCCUUCUAGCCACCAAUCCAAUCCCUCAAUUAAUUCCCACAUCGAGCCGCCUCCACGAGUCUUCUGCCUCGGGACACGUGGAGGCUUCUCCCGGGUCUAGCACAUUUAUUUAUGACUUUUUCAUCUUCAUUCCAUUCGGUUAUGCGAACACUAAUUUGCACAUUUAAUGAGGCCGUGGAACCCUAAUUGCGCAUUUAAUUCAAUUAGGUCAUGUGAACUCUAAUUUUACACUUUGGCCCACAUUUGCCCCCUGCGCGAGAGUCGCAUUUUCAAAUAGACGAUCGUGCAAGAAAACUGCAAGCCUUUGAAUGAUUUUGCGGGACUUCACUUUACAUGUCUUGAAGACAAUAGUCCUAGAAGAGGGAACUCCUAGGGAGCCAAACCCUUAGAGUUAAACCCUAGGAAGGCAAGACCUAGCGAGGCUCUUCCUUGGACAUAUUGAAAAAUCUUCUGAAAUCUUUCUGUAUUUUGCCCAAUAUUUAUUUCCAAUUCCGCAAGCAGAUCAACUGUCCGAGCAGCCUCAAUACGAACAGAAACAGAUUCCGAUAACUUGGAAUGGAAAAUAGAAUUAAGACCAGGCAAAACAUUGAAUAGAGCGAUGUAGAGAUCUAAAAUUUCAAACAACUUGAGAAACGAUGGACGGGUACUACUAACGCCUUCUGCAAAGUUAAUCAAGUGCAAGGCGGAUUCUUUAACUAUACCCAUAAAACACACAUCAAAUGUGGAGUUACCAAGUCCACUAAAGAUUUGUUCACAGAGUUUCUUCUCCUUUAUGAAGAGAUCUUCAAAACAAACACGAGAUGCUCGUAUCCACAAUUUGAUCUUUGGUGCCAACAUAUCCCACUCCAAACUCCGGAACUCACCGAUGCUAUAUUUACCGACGCCGAGGUGUCGAAAUUCUGCAUCCACAAUCAACUUCCUUGAAGUCCUGUAGAAUUCAACGCAGUCGCCAACAUUACCGGCUGAGUUCAAUCGUUCAAUGAUACUCCUAAAACCAUAAACUUCGUCAAUAUGUCCAUCAUCCUGUAAUUCAUAGCUAAAAGUAUCGGUUAUUGUACUUGAAAAAAUGGUAGAACUCCUAUCGGCCAAGAAAGCAUUGUGGACUCUGUUGGUUUGUCGGGUCAAUAUGACCCGAAACUCUAACGGAAGGGUUUCCAUGCCCGUUUAGAUCAUGUUUUGAUGCUUUCAGUUUGGGGAUCUGAGAUUAUUCUCGAUCGUCUGAAGCUCGUCAAAAGUACUGAUCAAUCUCAUGGCGGUCUCCGUCGAAGUCGAAGAUGAUGAAUUUAAUAAUUCCGCCCGAAUAUUUUGUGUUCUACCAAUUCCAUUCAGACAAUACAAAAGAGAUAUAUAUAUCUGCCUAAAAAUUGAAAACCGAAAAUCAUCUCUGAACAGCAGGCUUUGAAAAUUACUCCUACUAGUAGUUUAUAAAUAUAAAUACUUUGAAGAUUGUAAGAAGUUCAUAGCCAUCCACUAGUAAAAGUACUUACCAUUACUAAUUGAUGUCACGUUACCGCAAUUAGGACGGAGAGAGAAAGUCGGACCAACUCUUUUUUUUUUUCAAAUCAAACAUUAAUUUUUUAUUUCCAAAAUCAAAUCUUAAUUUUUAUUUUCAAAAUAAAAUCAAAUCUUAAUUUUUUAUUUCCAAAAUAAAAUCAAAUCUUAAUUUUUUAUUUCCAAAAUAAAAUCAAAUCUUUCUUAAUUUGAAAAGAGAUUUUUUUUUUUUGAAAAUGAAAUAAAAUAAAAUCUCUCUUUUUUUUUUUUGGCAAAUCAAAUCAAAUCAUUUUUUUUUAUCAUUCACGCAAAAGAUUUAAGUGCAUGAAUAAAAUAAAAUAAAAAUGCAUGAAUUUAAGAGUCAUAUAAUCUCACAGAUCUAAUGAAGGGGAAUUGCCACAUGCCUACGACAUUCUCUAUGAAAAAAAUGAUGAAUUAAGGCAAAACGAGAUCCAAUCAUGUAUUAUUUUUUUUUUGAAAAUAAAAUAAAUCUUAUUUUAUUAUCUUUCAAAAAAAUAAAAUAAAAUCUUAUUUUAUUAUUAUUAUUUUUUAAAAUAAAUAAAUAAAUAAAUAAAACAUUUACUUAUCUUAUUUUUAAGAAGUAAGGAGUCGAUGAGAAUGUCUUGUAUCCAUAUUGAAGCCUUUGAUAAUUCUUUGAGCAAAGAUGAUUAUAGCUUUUUGAUGAUUCUGACAUCUUUUAUAUGAGACAAGUCUUCACAUGCUUCCGAUUUUUAUUUGCCAUAAAGAAAGAAUCCAUUAAAGCUUCACAUGCCAGUUGCCACUCCUCUGUUAGCCAACAAAAAAAAAAAACAUUGUUUUGCUGCUUUAUUUGGGUGUUAUAGCCACAGGCAAGCCUCUUUCUAUCCACGCCGAACCCUACUGAUUCAAUUUUUUAUUAUUUUUUUUUUAUUAAAAAAAAUCAAGAACUUUUGGAACACUUAUAUUUAGAAGAAGCUUGUACGUAUGGGAAUUGAUGAUCCAAAAACCCACAACCCAAUUCUUAAUCUCAGUUUCUUUCUUGCUAAUCUUUCUCAGUUGAUGAACCCUUUGGAUAAUAUUAACGAUCCUCUUAGGAGGUUGCAAUAUUCAGAUCCCACUCAACUACUAGCCAAAAUCCAAAUUUUACAUAACCUAUUGCAGGCCAUAAAUGUGAGUCCUUCUUUCCCAAAUAUUAAAGUAGUAAACGUGAAUAAUCUCUUGGGAUCAUAUAAUUAUCUUAGCCAAUUUGAUGGAGUGAUCACGAGUGAAGCUAUCAACCCCAUGAUUAAUCCUAUCCCCAACAACCGGCCUUUAAUAUAUAUACUCCAAUCCCAAACUCAUUUGGAUUCUUUAGCCCACAAAUAUUUAACAAUGUUAAUAGCUUAAGUGGUGUUGCAUGCAAUAUUACUCAUCAAACUGAAAAUCAGCUUCCGGAAAGUUCCAAUACCAAGGAAAUGGACAGUAUGAAGCCUACAAACAUCCCCUCCGGUUCAACCAACUCUGACAAUAUCUUUGAGGUUUUGGAGAAAUUUGUUGAUUGUGAUCAAGCCAAUAGUACUUCCUUCUUGCUUCUUUUUUUUUUUUAUUCAGGUAACUCUAGUCUUUCUUUUGUCUUCCGAGCCCCAUUACCUUGAUCAUAUCUUGGUUUUUUCCCUCGGAUCAUAAAGAAAGAUUGGUAUUUUUUUUUUCUUGCAGGCCCUCCCUGUUGAACAUUCUGCAGACUUGGGAACAACCAAGGAGGCCCCGUUUCUCAAUAAUUGGGGAAGGGAUCCCCUCUUUUGGUCUUUCCGACGUCUUUUGAGAGCGAGUCUAGACUUAUAAUCGUACAACACUUCCUCCGCCAGAGAAGAAAGGCGUGUUUCUUUAUGUCGCGGCUUGCGGAGGUUUGGGUGACUUCCUCCCUUCCGAUCGCAUUCUCCGCAUGUGCAUAGAGAAACAAGAAUAGCCUUUCAGUCCCUUUCGCUUCCUGUCUGACUCAUCUGACCGCCUUCAAGGAUGGCAACAUUGGACCGACUUCCCGUUGUGUGCUCUUCUUCAUACACAUUCAUUACUACUUGGGGGGGAAUUCACCCCUAUUCUAGAGGAUGUCUCUGCCCUCCACCAGUAGGUCGUACUUCGGUUUGCCCCCUGCACGUGAGUCACACCUUUGGUGGGACAACCGUGCAUAAUUUCUCCAGCAUUGAAAUCUUGCUACAAAUUUCUUAAUGAUUCGCGGAGCACGAUGGUGCAAGCCUUGAACAUAAAAUCCCUAGGAGGGGAGACCUGUAGGGGGCGAGCCCUAGAGAAGCUCUCCCUGGCUAUCUUGGAAAAAAUCUUCUAUCUUAUCCUUCCGAAUAUUACUUUCUUUUGGAAGUUCUCUCAUUUUCAAAAUUAAGAAGUCAACGAGAAGGCACCGAGUGAACAUACUUCAAAUUGGGGUGAACAAGCGAUGAAGGAGAUCUUUCCUCUAGGUACCCGAAUCCUGAGCGGCUUCAUUCUGGAACAUUGAUUAACGAGCUAGGAGAAGUAAAAGGUAAGAGGGGAGAGCCUCUGUAGGUGUUUGAACCCCAGGGGCCGAACCCUAGAAGACUGCCUAUUCCUUCACUCUUUUUUUCCUUCUUCCUUUCACUUGAAUCUUGGUCGUGUCCUAGCUUGGUUCCCCAAUAUAGUUGAUCGGAUACAUCUUCAUAGGACCCUUCUCCAGAUUUUCUUGCUCGAUUGUCUUCUGAGACUUAUUCUCGAAAUGCACAUUCUCUCUCUAUUAUCUGUGAGCAGAAGACUUAGAGGUGUUUUAGUUGUGAAGUUGAUGACUUCUCGAUCCUUCUUGGGCCUUGACAUGUCUCCCUUCCGUGCUAAGCUGGAUCUCUUCACUUUCAGUUAUCAUGUCAUUGCACUUUGUUCGGAGGUCACUUCACGUCCUCAUGAGAAUGACUUUCUUUAUGUAAGGGCCUCAGGAGCUUCAGGACGUCAUGGAUAGAUUGAAGGCCAAGCUUCGGGAAAUUGAUUCAUCUGCCCAAGACCUUAAGGAACUGUUAGCCUGAAGUUCGAAAGGCUCGAGAUACUGCCAUUGUCGACUUGGAGGCUUUAGCUAUGCCCCCAGUUCAGUUUGAUGUAUCAUGACCUUUGGAUCAUGACUUCAUGUAGCUUUUAUUUCUUCCAUCACUUUUGAAGAUAAAGUGUAUUAUCGAGGAUUUCAGGGUCAAGUGUCUCAAUCACUUUUGAAGUUGAAAGUAUAACUCUUUUUUUUUUCUGGAUCGAGGGCUGAUUAAUCAGGUGCCUCAUUACUUUUGAAGUUGAAAGUAUAACUUUUUUGGGUCGAGGGCUGAUUAAUCAGGUGCCUCAUUACUUUUGAAGUAGAAAGUAUAACUUUUUCGAGUCGAGGGCUGAUUAAUCAGGUGCCUCAUUACUUUUGAAGUUGAAAGUAUUUUUUUUUUGGGUCGAGGGCUGAUUAAUCAGGUGCCUCAUUACUUUUGAAGUAGAAAGUAUAACUUUUUCGGGUCGAGGGCUGAUUAAUCAGGUGCCUCAUUACUUUUGAAGUUGAAAGUAUAACUUUUUUGGGUCGAGGGCUAAUUAAUCAGGUGCCUCAUUACUUUUGAAGUAGAAAGUAUAACUUUUUCGGGUCGAGGGCUGAUUAAUCAGGUGCCUCAUUACUUUUGAAGUUGAAACUAUAACUUUUAAGAAAUUUGCUCUGAUCAAAAUUUGAUGUAUUUAUUUAACGAUCAAGAUAUAAUACAUUUUUUUUUCAUUUUCUAGUCUGCUAGGGCAGUAGCUUAUUCAGCAUUAUGCUUCUUAUUAUAGUUCGAUUUCACCUGCCGCUAAUUUUUCAUGAUAAAUUCUCCUCAAAUUACGACAAUUCAUGAUGGAAUGUCCUGGGUAUUGAUGAUACACGCAAAAGUCUGAUCUCUUCUUCAUCUCCUCGGUCACAACAAAUCUGGGUUUUGGAGGCUUCACCAUUCCAUUUUCUACCCAUUUCUCAUACAAAUCUUUAAAUAUCUCCUCACCACAAGUGAUAGCUUCGGGCUCUAGCGAAUUUAUAUUCUUUUUGAUUCUUUCCCUCUUGCCCCCCUGUGGCUCUGACUGAGAGUCUGUCAAAGCCGUAGUAGCUGUCCUCUUACUCUUCCAGGUAGCAAUCGGAUGGUUCACAGAUACUGCCAUAAUUUCUCCAUGGUCCUGUGCAAAGGUGGAAAGUGUCGCAAAGGAAUCACAAGACUUAGUGAUCAAGUGGGGCUUGAAGGCGUCGAGGGCGCCGUUGUUGCAAAUACUCACUAAAUUCUUCUCUUCGAUUGGCUCCACACACUUCCGCGCCUGGGCCCGAAAGGUGGAAAGUGUCGCAAAGGAAUCACAAGACUUAGUGAUCAAGUGGGGCUUGAAGGCGUCGAGGGCGCCGUUAUUGCAAAUACUCACUAAAUUCUUCUCUUCGAUUGGCUCCACACACUUCCGCGCCUGGGCCCGAAAUCUGUCAACAUAAUCAGAUAACUCCUCAUUCGAAUUUUGUUGAAUUCUCAUAAGCUCUAUAAUUGACACUUCCUUCUGAACAUAAAAGAAUUUUUUGAAAAACUGGUGUUUCAUAUCAUCCCAAUCUCGAAUCGAACCCUUCUCCAAAUUGUAGUACCAGCUGAAGGCACCGUUAGUGAGCGUCUUGUUAAACUCCCUCAAUAGAAUAUUGUGGUUGCUCACUUCAUCUAUUCCCAACCACGAGGACAUCGACUCCACAAAUCUUGCAAUAUGCUCUCUCGCAUUCCCUUUCUCUCCACUAUACUUAGGGAACUGAAGUGGAUGUUCAAUGUACCCAGCAGGGUAUGGCUGUCUUCUCACAUGCGCCGGGUAUGGUGGGGUGAAAUCCAGUUCCGCAGGCCUGACUGUCUGUCUACGCAUCUGAUUGAUUACAUCCAUCAUGUCUUCCCUUGUCGCAUAUUGACUGGUUUCUGGAGCCUUUUGGGACGUCAUCGCAUACUGGUUUAUCUGAGGUGUAUGUGGAACACAUGUUGAUGCACACUUGCCUCAUGUAAGAUUGGUUGUACUUGCUGGAUUAUUGGUUGUAUAUGGCUUGGGAUGGUUGGUAUCUGCACUUGUGAAAAUGCUGGGAGUGUAAUCGGGAUGAUGUUUAGCUGAGGCUGGCUAGCUUCCAAUCUAAGUGGUGGUACAUCACCACUGUUCUGGGGCUCCAAGUUGAUGACUGGAAUCGGCUGACUCUCCAUUGCUGGAGGUAUAAUCUGAUUCUCUUUGUUGUUGUUGUUGUUGUCCUCCACUUCUCCUGCUCGUCCCCCUUGCGAACUUCCUGGGAACAUGGUCUUGAAAGUGGGGAUUUGCAUCAACUGCUGGCAAAAAUUCUCCAUUUCUUCUUGCUUUCUCUGCAUCUCUAGCAUCAUGGCCAUCAUCAUCCCUUGCCCUUCUCGUGCUUCUUUCAAUGCUUUAAGCAUCUCCAGUUGCACAGCAUUCGUCUGGUCUCCCCCUGCAUCUUCGCCUUGCCUUCUUGCAUUGGUUUGUUGUUGAUUGGCCAUAUGUGGUGAUGUCGAACUCCCUUCCAAAGCGUCUUCAAUAAUUGGUUGGUCAAAAUCCAGGUUUGCGCCUUGGAAAACUUGAGUUACUUGUCUUGGAACUGGAUCCGGUGACGUAAUGCUAUUUGUUGGUGAAGCAGCUCUUCCUGUAAUUCUCCCACUUCGAGUCGUGGGCAUACCCUUCACGAAUUAUACACCUCCCCAGCAGAGUCGCCAAAGAAAUGUGGGCAAGGAAAUUGUACCUUAGUAGGGUUAGGGUUUCGUGUUGGCUGAGGAGGAGAGAAAUCCACGAAGAGCACGGAAUUGAUUGGUUGAUUGAAGAGGGGAGAACGACAGGUGGGCGAUUACUCCAACGACGUGUGGCAGAACCCCUAGAAUACAGGAACCGUGUUAGGGUAGUAGGGUUUCCAAGAUCCUUCUUGAGUCCUUUGUUCUUGAGAGAAUGUCUAAACCCCUUUUAGUGCUUUUAGGUGGAAUCUCCGAGCCUUUAAGUCACCAAAAAGGGUCCUUUGAUCUUCCGAGAGUCCAAGUCUUGAGUCUAAAGAGAAGUCCCUUUCCCAAUGGAAUGGAAGGGGUAUUUAUAGGGUUUUCUGGAAAGUAGUCAUGUGCGAGGCACAUGCUUUCAGGGAAAUUCCAGAAAUGCCCUUUAGUCAUUAGAAUAAUGCCCAUGUUGCCCUGUCCUUCUAGCCACCAAUCCAAUCCCUCAAUCAAUUCCCACAUCGAGCCGCCUCCACGAGUCUUCUGCCUCGGGACACGUGGAGGCUUCUCCCAGGUCUAGCACAUUUAUUUAUGACUUUUUUGUCUUCAUUCCAUUCGGUUAUGCGAACCCUAAUUUGCACAUUUAAUGAGGUCGUGGAACCCUAAUUGCGCAUUUAAUUCAAUUAGGUCAUGUGAACUCUAAUUUUACACUUGGGCCCACACUAGUAAAUGAUGAUUUUCUUCUAACCAGAAGUAUGAGCAGGUUAAAAGUAGAAGAAUAAGCAUCUCGCAGGCCAAAAAUCAAUAAAAAAACGAAAAGAAGAAAAAGAAAAGAAGAAGACAGCAAUAGCAAGACCAUAUUUUUCUUCUUCUUUCUUUUUAUCUUUUCUUUCUUUCUUUUUUGUUUCUUUUUAGACGGAGGGUUUUAUUUCAUCUUUGAAAAUAAACCUAAGAAUUUAUCAAAGGAAAUAAAGGAUAAACGACAAUACAAAUAUAUAUUUUUAUUUUAUUUUCAAAUAUAUACGCAUGCAUGAUAAAGAUUCACAAUUAUACACACAUAUAUAAUAGGCUACAACCAACAAUCUACUAAACAAUUUGUAAACCAUCGAGGUGUUUUAGUGACAACCUACCGUCUACCAAAUCGUUAUUAGUUAACGAGUUAGUGUAAAUUUUCAUUUUGGAAGCUAGUAUAAACUAUCAUCUCUCAAAUUGUUAUUAGUAGAGGAGCUACGAAUGUAAACUAUCGUCUAACAAACUAUAUUAGCUGAUGAACUAGUGUAAACUAUCAUUUACUAGAUGUAUGAGCAUGUUAAGAGUAGAAGAAUAAGCAUCUCGCAGGUAAAAAAAUAGGAAAAGAAGAAGACAACAAUAACAAGGCCACAUUUUUCUUUUUCUUCCUUUUUAUCUUUUUUUUUCUUUUUUGUUUGUUUUUAGACGGAGGACUUCAUUUCAUCUUUGAAAAUGUGGGUAAAGAAAUUGUACCUUAGGUUUUCAUGUUGGCUGAGGAGGAGAGAAAUCCACGAAGAGUACGGGAUUGAUUGAUGAAUUAAAGAGGGCAGAAGAACAUGUGAUCAAUUACUCUAAUGACAUGUGACAAAACUUUUAGGAUCCGAGAACCUUCUUAGGGUGCCAAAGAUCCAGGGAGUCUUCUAGGGUGUGCUUCGGGUUGAGAGAGAAUCUCCAAGUCUUCAAUCUUUCGAAAAGCCCUCUUCUUCAUAGAAUAGAAGGAGUAUUUAUAGAGUUUCCUGGAAAGUGGUCACAUGACAGACAUAUGACCUCGAGCAAAUUCCAAAAAUACCCUUAGUCACCAGAGUAAUGCCCAGAUCGUCCUGUCUUUCUAGCCACCAAUCCAAUUCCUCAAUCAAUUCUCAAAAUGAGUUGCCUCCAUAAGCCUUUUACCAUGGAGGCUCUUCCUUGAUCUCAUGAUACAAAGCUCUUAUUGCUCAAACCAUGCUUACUUGCUCUUCCUUCUUUAUUUAAGAAUCUCGUCGCCAGAAAUCAUCGGAAGAACUCUGCGCAAGACCCGGGAAGCCGCGUGUUACAAACCAGUCCCACAUCGAAAGAUAUGGAAAAAAAUUAGUCUAUAUAUAAGGAAUUAUGUUACUACCAAUAAUAUACUUUUAAGUCAUGACCUUUUGGGUGAGCCUGUGGUGGGAUAAGAUGACCCAAUAAUAUACUAUUGGGUCAGUGGUUUAAGGCCUUGGGAUUCGGACUUGGGAUUUGACCCAAGAUUUGUUUUGGGCAAUUUUACUCAGGUUGUUACAUAUGGUAUUAGAGCCGACUCUCGAAAGCUCGGGUCGGAUCAUCCGAUCGGGUUGCCGGAAGUGGGGACACGAAACCAGCCGAUAUUAUCCCACAAUGGCUAAAGAGGCAAAGAUCUGUGGAACGUAUAUGUGAUCGAUUUUGAUGGAGAUGUCAAAAAUUUAAGUGGGGUAGUUUAUAACACCUCAGUCCCACAUUGAAAGAUAUGGGAAAUACUAUUGUGCAAUGAUUUAAGCUAUCCAGCUAUAUUGUUAUAGUUUGGAUAUAUUCCAGUAUGAGAAUUAACAAACCCUGAAAUGGGAUAUUUUUAUUGCACUCUGGGAGUGGUGACGUUGAACAUGGAAGUUGUUCUGGAUAAGAUAGUAUUGAUUAAUAAAGGGCAUAUAUAAAGGGCUGAUCAUCCAUCGUGCUCAUAAGAUAAGAUGGUUCACAAAUAAAUUUUUAAGAAAACCUUUUCAAGAAAAGAAAAAGCUUGUUCACGGUCUUAUGACCUCUCAGAUGUUCAAUAUUGAUAUGAUAUUCCAGGAAUAUGAAUGAUUCAAGAUUUAAUUGCUUUACAGUUUUGUUUCACUGUUAAAGCAUGUCUCAAAGAAAACAUUUAAUUAUUGUUAAGAUAUUAAAGAAUGCUAUUACUUAUUGAGCAAUUGAAUGCUCAUUCUUGUUUUGUUAUAAAUGUUUUCAGCUAAUCAGGCUCCAACGGAGGGGUCUAAUAGAGACAAAGGAAAAGGAAAAGCUACUGAGUAGUAGGUAUAUGUUGUAAUAAAUAGUUUAUAUGUUUGUAGAUAUUUAACUAUCAUGUAAUAAGCACUUAAUGGUUACGUACCUGGUAUUAGAAGAACUCUGAUAUAAUAAAUCUAUCAAGUUUGAUAUUAUAUUAUGUUGAAUGCUUGAUAUCUUGAAGCACUGAAUAAGGGUUUAAAAUACCCGAAUUUGGGGGCGUCACACGCCCGAUUCGCCUCCUUUGCGUAUGUUUAACAUGCUCAUACAACUUGUCUAAUACUCCAUUGAUUAAUUCUAAGUAUCAUUAUAUUUCAUAACUUUCAUGUUUAAUAACUUAGAAUAACAUAUUUUAUCGUCAAAAGCAUCCACGUAGUACGAGCAUGCCCGACGCCCUCCGAUCGCCUCCGAUCGAAUGCACAAUAGUCCUAAAAAUAGCCAUUUUAGCCCCUUCUCCCGACCUCAAAUCUCAAAACUUAUAAAAUAAAAGUUUUAGGUCAACUUCUAAUAUUUUCGAAUCAUCUUGAAUCACCUCAAUCAGAGUUCGUAUAAAAAGGUUAUGCAUGUUUUACUAAAGAACGUCAAAGCUGACUUUCUGCACUUUUGGUUCAGCGCCCAUCCUAGGCCUAUUUCCAACGCCCCGGGGCUGGACGGCAGUACGUUCUCAGCCAAAAACUUCAAUUUUCAAAAAUCUUCAGUUUUGAAUGAUUUCAACAUGUCUACUUUGAAAUAUCAUAAAUUUCUCCUCCGAUAUCGAAAUGAGCUCGUUCUUAAUGGGUUGAAAAGCUUGCAACACCCUCUACAAAUUUCUCAGGACAAAAUAAUUUUCUGGAUUCUCUAACAAUCCUUUAAACUUUCUCAAAAGUCCAUCGAGACUAAGAUUUUUAUCAUUCAACAUACUUUACCAAAAUUUUCUGCCAUGACUUCGUUUUAACAUAUUUUUACUCCGUUCCAAUUAGAAUAUCUUCAUAAAUUCCUUAUCUAUAAAUCCUUAUUCCCGAAUUUUAUUUAUUACAACCCUAUCAACAAUAUUAAAAUCCAAUUUAAGUACUCUAAAUAAAUAAUGUCUAUCCUUUAAGCUUUGGCCUACGAUUCCAUUCUUGUUACCACUUCUUAUGCAAUUUAACAAGUUAUUUAUCAUGAUCAAAGCACACAUAACUUUAUUUACUCAAGGUCCUUCAUACUCUUUCAUUAAACAACCAUCGCCAACAACUAAUGAUUCAAGAAAGACUUCACAGAAAUGAAAAGAUGGAUGGUUCUUACCUUCUUAGUUAUUCUUCUUCUUCCUAGCUUAUGCUUUGUUAGCAUGAUAUACAUUGUUGGGCCCUCCAUCUACCAACUUAAGCUUUUAAGAUAAGUUGGUUACUUAACAUGGUAUCAAAGCUUUGGGUGUGCAAGGUCUUGGGUUCGAAUUUUUCCAGCUGCACAAUUAUCUUUCUAUUAAUUUAACAGUGCAAAUGCACUUUAAUUUCUCCCUUCUCUAUAAAAAAAAGUUGCGUUUGAGAGGGAGUGUUAGCAUGAUAUACAUUGUUGGGCCCACCAUGCAUCUAACAGCUUAAGCUUUUAGAUGAGUUGGUUACUUUGCUCUUCUUUCUCUUCUUAUUGGUAUUCGGCCUCUCUAUUUCUCUCUCUCUCUCACUCUCUUGUUUUCUUUCUCUUCUCUCUAGUUUGCCCUCUCUUCCUUUUUUUUUCUUGCAAAUGAAAUGAAUUGGCUAAGUGAAAAAUCCUCUAGAUCAAUUGAAUUCUCCACUAACUAACUCAACCAUACUUCUAAGGUUAGGUUAACUCGUGUAGGGUUAGGGAAUGAUAGGAUGACACUUGUAAGCUUAAUGUUUAAGGAUGACAAGAAGAUAUAAGCUAGCAUUAAAUUAAAUUUUCACCUUGCUAGAUGAGUCACACAUACUCUCCCUUUUGCUUCUUUAAUUGGUUGGAUCACCCCUCCCUUUCUUAGCUCAUAUUUUAAUUAUCCCAUGUGGGAUAAACAUCAAUCCUCUCCCUUAUCUUACUUUUUCACCCAACUUAUCUUUUAUGAGAUAACUACUAAGUCUCAUUCCUUAUCUUUUCUUCGAUAAGCCUUGUCAUUAAUCCUUAUCUCUUCCUUGUUUUCCUUCAACCCAAACUUACCAUAAAUAGAAAGUUUCCAUCUCACCUUCUCUCUUCUCCUUGUCCAUAUUCAAAUCCCCACAUGUUUAAUUCUAGCAAAUGACACUUGCCCUCUUAUAACUUUGGCUCCUAGUUUGGCUCACUUUUUGGCUCAAAGACCAAGCCAUGGCUCCUAUCCUUUGACUCUAAGCUUAAGCCACUCAAACCUUAGGCUCAACCCUUAGCUAAGCCCCUUUAAAUUCCUAACCAAGUCAUUUAAACCUUAGGUUUGGUUAGACUAGAAUUAAUUUAAUUUCUCUUUUUCUUUUAAAUUAGUUAGAUUUCCUAAUUUUUUAGUUACAUUUUUCGUAAUAUGCUUGGUUAGCUGACAAUCCGACUUUUGAUUUUCAAAAAUCCAAUUUCGCCACCAUUCCUUCUUUCCCGAAUAAACGCUAUGUAGUUCUUCGAAAUUUUAAAAAAAACGAAGUUGGGUUUUUAGCGUGAAUAGUUUUUUUUCAUACGACUUUUUCUAGAAAAAUAUUUUAUUAGAGAUUUCAUCUCGCCUUCUCAAAUAAACACUAUGAUGUAAUUCAAAAUUCUCGAAAAAGUAUGUUUAUUAGCGUUUUUCUGUGAUUUUAAAAAUAGUAACUUUUUCGUCUUUUUCUCGAAAAAAUUAUAUUCUCCCAAAACUCCCAACACUUAUACAUAAUCACGUAACACGUAAACUAGGUCAUUAAUCGACCUAAAUCAUGUAACACAUAAUAAUAUCUAUAAAAUUUUAUUUUAUUAGAUAUUCACAAAUAAAACCUAUUUUCAAGCCUAUCUGAAUUCUCGGGUCGUCACAUAGUAUUUAUAGAGUUUCAUGGAAAGUGUUCACAUGCCAGGAACAUGACCUCAUGGAAAUUCAAGAAAUACCCUUAGUCACCAGAGUUAUGCCUAGAUCAUCUUGUCCUUCUAACCACCAUGCAAUCCAAUCCCUCAAUCAAUUUCAAAAAUGAGUUGCCUCCAUAAGCCUUCUGCCUUGGGACCCAUGGAGGCUCCUCCUCGAUCUCAUGCUUCAAAGCAAUUGUUGCUCAAACCAUACUUUCUUACUAUUCCUUCUUUAUUUGAGAAUCUCGUCGAUGGAAAUCCUCGGAAGAACUCUGCGCAAGAACCAGGAGGCCGCGCCUUAGGGGGGCAAUCCUUAGGGGGCGGAACCCUAGGGAGCUGAACCCUAGGGGGGCCUCCUUCAGUUCUUUUCGUUCGUUUCAACCUUUCUUGGUCAGUUUUCAUCAUUUUCUCAUGAUUCUUGGUCCUGUAAGAAGCCUUUCUUGUCAUAGAGAUUAUAAGGCUAAUCAUUAUUUGGAGUUUCACAAGAUUUUAGUUUAUUUUUGUAGUCCAGGCUUAUUUCUUUGUCAUUGCAUCGAUGAAACCCCUUCUAGCAUGCCAAUCGAGAAAAUGAGGUAGCAUAUGCCCUAGGGUGCCGAACCCUAAGAGGUAAUUUAGAUUUCUUUUGUCCAUCUUUUGUCUGUUUUCCUUUUUUCAUUACGAUAGUUCCAACCAAAUCCAGUCGGAGAAGAAAUUGGUUUUAUCUUUUCUUUAAGGAGAAGUCAUCUUGGAGUGGUUGAACCAUAGGGUGGCCGAACCCUAAGGGGCCAAAAUCCUAGGAUUUUUCCCUUUUUGCUGAUUUAAUGCUUCGUUCAUUAAUUGAAGUCUUGUUCAUUUACUUUCGUCUUUUCAUUUAAUUCAAUUAAAUCAUAUGUAAACCCUAAUUUGUACUUGGGCUCACAGAAAAUAAACCUAAGAAUUCAUCAAAGGAAAUAAAAGAUAAAUGACAAUACAAAUAUUGCGUUUUGUUUUGUCUUAUUUUUUUAAUUUUAUUUUCAAAUAUAUACGCAUGCAUGAUAAAGAUUCACAAUUAUGUAUAUAUAUAUAUACAUAUAGAUACAUAAUAUGGUAAAUAAUAGGUGGUAGUUGUUUUAUUUAUAAUAUGGUAAAUAAUAGGUGGUAGUUGAUUUAUUUAUUACAUGCUAAUAACAGCCAUGAGUUGAUAGUUGAUUUAUUUAUUAUAUGCUAAUAACAGCUAUCAGUUAUUGGUUGAUUUAUUUAUAUAUCGUGCUAAUAACAACCAUCAACUUGUAUAUAGUUUCUUGAUUUACUGCUGAUCGGAAGAUUACUGAUCGUUCAUUUAGGCGUUGGUGGGACUAAUGUUAACACCAUAGAUAACUAAACCCGUCUUCAUAGUCACGCUUUCAGUCCCGUCAAGAGCAAAUUUGAUAUCUCCAUAGUCAAACUUAUUGAAGAAUUCCCCAGCUUUGAGCGAAAAUGGUGUGUUUCUCGGAUAAUUCAUCAAUCCAUAUCCGUUCACUUGCGAGGAUCCAUUCGGAAGAGUAAGUGUAAGACUCACCGGACUUGCUAUGUUAAAGUUGUCUUUCAGCAGCACCACAAAAGAUACCUCAUAAGAUAAAUUUUCAAGCUUUUCUGUCAUAUAGUUUCCGUCAACAUGUAGGACUAAGCUACCAAUUAAUUCAGCACUGUCAGGACUGUAAAAAAUGAUAGUAGAAUUAAAGUCAGAAACUUUUGAUAUAAGGAGCUUAAAUUCAUUAAUAUAGUACAAUUAAUGCGAGUCCUUCUAUCUAACUAGACUUCAAUAAAAUUUCUUUAGUCCUUCUAUCACUUUAAUUUAAUGACAAAGUUGCUUAUAUCCCUAUUUUUAACUGAAUAAAAUUCAGGUGUUUAAGCACAAAUCUUGACCUUUGACGUCAAUUAAGUUAACUAAAUCUUAUUUCUACUUACGUAAACUUCCAGCCCGAAGGGUUGAAAUAAUUGAGUUUCUCAGCAGGUAUAUAAGCGCCAGAACUUUGAAUAAGACAAGAAAAAAAAAUUCAUAUCAUCCAUUACAAAAAAAUCUCACUUGCAAAAUUUACAAAUAUUAAGGAUUAUUUUUGUUCUAUAACCAACUUUAGCUAUAUAUAUGAUGUUUGUUUACAAUUUCAGUAGACUUACCUUCUGCCCUAUUCCGUUGUUUUGGAGCAACUCCAUUUCCUUGGCUUGGGACAACAAUGCCUUGAGGUCAACCUCAUUAUGCCUCACUACUUGUGCCAUCUCCUCGAUCGAUCGAUAACUAUCCUUUAAUUCUGCUAUAUAUAUAUAUAUAUAUAUAUUUUCUGUUUCUAUUCUUGAUGUCUAUAUAUCUCUCUUCCAAAGGCUAGCUCUAUUUAUACUGGCACAAACAGAGGGUACUGCGAUUAUUAUAUUCCAUAAUAUCCUAUCUUCAAAUAUUCCUUCCCUUUUCACAGUAGGGAUCCGAUCCCGAUAAGUUUAACAUCAGCAUCAUCAUCAUCACCAAGGAUAUAGAGCAGCCGAUUCUGUUUGAUAAUUUUGUUGGAAUAAUUCUUUUCCAUUUCUCAGUUCAAUAAUUCUUUCUUUAGCUUGUUGCGCAGGCAAAAUUCCAUGAAGGCGAAAGGUACGUAGGCAUCCUAGUAAAUGAUGAUUUUCUUCUAACCAGAAGUAUGAGCAGGUUAAAAGUAGAAGAAUAAGCAUCUCGCAGGCCAAAAAUAAAAAAAAAAUCGAAAAGAAGAAAAAGAAAAGAAGCCACCAAUAGCAAGACCACAUUUUUCUUUUUCUUUCCUUUUUAUCUAUUCUUUCUUUGAUUCUUUUUUAUAAUUUUUUUUAGAUGGAGUCUUUGAAAAUAAGCAUAAGAAUUCAUUAAAGGAAAUAAAAGUGUUGAAAGUUGUCUUGCAUUAGUCUUCUCCAAAUUCUGUUCCCCUUAGACUUUAGAAUUUAGCCUUUCCCAAAAUUCUGUUCCCCUCAGAUUUCGGAAUUUUGCUUUCCUCAUUUCUUGUUCUCCUCUCCAGAUUUCUCCUAUAAAAGGGAGCUUUGGUGUAAGACCCCAACUUUUAUGAAUAAAGACGAAUUUUUCUAUAAAUAUAAUUUUUGAUUAUUAAGAUGUGAAUUUGAAAAAAUAUUAUAGUUGUGAGUAAUAUUUAAAAAUUUUACAAAGUAAACAAGGUGUUAUAAAAUAUUCGGUUGGUCGAGGAAUAUUCGUUUUAACAGGGAAUAUUCAUACGACGACACAAUCAUUGGUGGACCCCACAACGAAAGUAUUGUCGGAGUUAGAAAACGACAGAAAUAUCUUAUUAUGAAAAUAAUGGCGAAAAUUUUACCGUUAACUGUUGAAAUACCCGUUAGUAAAAGUACAGUAAUACGUAUGGUUGCAUAGUAGUACACGGUAUUAAUUAUUGAUGCUUACGUGAGAAGUCACUCAGUUAUACUCAAUUAUUGUUACAGUAAUUGUUGUAUCAUAUCUCUUAUAUUAUUGAUUCAAUUAUUGUCAGUAUCAUCUGCAUAAUAUUUUAUAUUAUUAAAUCAAUAAUUGAGACGAUAAAGUUAUUCAUAUUAUUAUUUACAAUAUUGACGAUGUCUAGAAGUUCUGUCAAGGAGAGGUUAGGUCAUUUAAUUGCGCGCCAAUAGGGAGAAAUCCUUAUCGGAAAGCCCCUCUUUCCUGAAAACGAUCUGGUUGUUAAUAUUGCGAGUUAUAAUAAUGAUGAAUAAAUUGAAGGAAUUUUAUGAAAUAUUUGUUGUAAGUUUUGCUUAUUAUAUGGACCCCCAUUUAACCAUUUUUCAAAAUAAUCGGUAAAAAAUUAUUCAGUAUUUUUUUUAAUAAAAAAGGUGGGGCCACAUGUGGGGCCCACUGAAAGAAAAAUGGGGGGGGGGAGAUGUUUAUGUUUGUCAUGGGUGAAGGUUUGAUUAUAUAUAUAUAUAUAUAUAUAUAUAUAUAUAUAUAUUAUAAUAAGUCUUUUUUUUAUGAAAAAUAGAAUAUAUUAAAUUUUAUUUGCAUAGUAUUUUACUAUGCAGUGCACAGUAAAGUUUUGUGAAUUAGAAAUUCGGCGCCCGUGAAAUUUUCGAUUGUUUUGUCCGUGAGAAUUUCAAACAGUACCCCUUCCAUCAUCCUAUAAAUAUGACGCUUAUUUUGAAUUGAAAAUCACACAAGAAUCAGAGAAUUUUUUUCUAUAAUAUUGAGUAUAUUUCUUUCGAGUUUUAGAAAGUUUUGAGUGUAGAAAACAGUGAAAGUUUUUUUCAAGAAUAUCCCCGCUAUACCAGUCGAAAUACUCUUCUUAGGAUGUUUUUUUGUUCAAUAUUCGUAUGAAAUAAUAUUUUCUUCCAUACUCUGUAGUAUGUAAAUAAUAUUAUUUCGUUUUAGAUUUCGAAUUCUAUAUCCAUUUUGUUAAAGUUUUGGCUCCUAUACUCCAUGAAAUUAGUAGAAUAUCCUUAAAAUUUGCGUUUCAUCCAGUAUCUUUUCAUGGAAAUAUUAUUCUGAGCAUUCUUGAUAAGUUUUAAUUUUUUCAUGCCAGAGUACUAUAUACGGGGUACUAUUCUCAAAUUACUAUUCACGGGGUACUAUUCACUCGGUUACUAUUCAUCCGAGGCACUAUUCAUGACAAAAAUUAAUUUUUUUUCGGUCCAAAUCAUUUUUGUUACAAUAUUAUUCGUGAAUUUUACUCCAUAAUGCAGUAUCAUAUUGACAAUUUGGACAUUAUUAAAUUAUGGAUAAAUUAAAUUAUAAAUCUUUAAAAAUUUAUCUUUUGCUUUCAUUUAAUUGAAUUCUUAUAUCAUUGUCAUCAUCCUGAUGCUUAUAUUAUAAUGAAAGUCAUUUGUGGCCCGUAGUGCAUAGAUGGACUUGGUAUGAUUAUGACCAGGGAUUAUUUGGUAUAAUCAUGACUGUAAUAUUACAAAUGAUGUGGUAAAAGUCCUCAUUGGCCCGUAGUGCAUUGAUGAACAGUUGUUUUCAUGAUCAUGACCAUUGAUGAAAACACGAAUAUCUUUGGCCCGUAGUGCAUGAAUAAUUUGUGGUUGUGAUACUAAAGAAUAUCCUUGGCCCGUAGUGUAUGGAUAAUUCAGUGAUGUGUAUUAUUUAUUAAGCUGAGUCUCAGCGAUACAAUUGAUGAUAAACCUUUUAAAUAAUAGAAGAUAGUAGAUUUUAUGCUCUACUUAACUCUUCUAAUAGAUUGCUUGUUCCUCUGCAAUUAAACUUGAUGUUUAUUAUAUUUUAUCAGUUUAACAUUGUUGAAGGCUAAUGAUAAUUUAUUCUGUGUUAUCUUAGUCAUAAUAUUUCUUACUGGCUAGUUGAGCUCACCCUUUACUUUCAUUGUUCUCUUCAGGAAAUGAGAAUAUAGCUGGGAUCGACUAGUCGGGGAACGGAGUGACGGUCCAAAUGAUAACAUUAGUAGUCCUCACUAUUCUGUGAAAUAGUGUGAUAAUAAAUGUAAUGAGGACUUAUUUUGAGUUUGAAUACUGUCUAGAAGACAAUAUUUGUAUUAAAACUCACAACUCAUGUUAUAUAUUUAAGUUUAUAUUUGUAUUCUGUACCAUGUAUUUAACGAUUCAAAAUGGGUGAUGUAUACCUAUUCUGGGGGCGUCACAGUUGGUAUCAAAGCUUGGGGAUAUGAUCCCUGGCUGAGAUGAGAGACUAGAACUAGGAGGGGAGAGUCAGGUAAUUCCUUUGCUAGUAUGACCUACCUAAGUUUAUUUGUUAUUUAAUUAGUCGGUCAGAAUAUAGGGAUAAUAUGUUGCAUGUCAAUUAACCCUUGUUUUGUGGCAGUAUUUGAAAAUGACAUCCGAGAAUGUUGAGAAUAGCAAUGGAGUACAUGAGACCGUUGAAUCACCAACGAUCAAUAACCAGGAUAAUGUGCAUCAGGAAGGCAAUAAUCCUCAUGCAAACAAUAACUCCAACAAAAUAAUGAACGACAAAAUGUUUAUGAGCUUUCUUCAAUUCAUGCAACAUCAGGCAAGAGAGACUCCUGUUCAAAAUGUAGGUGGAAAUACCGGCAACUCUCGAACGGUCACCGCUAAGCAAUUCAAGGAGCUGGGACCACCGAAGUUUUUGGGAAAGCCAAAACCACUUAAGGCGGAGACAUGGUUAAAGCAGAUCACUAAGAUAUUUGAUGUCUUUGGAUGCUCCGAGGAGCAAAAGGUUCCCUUUGCCACCUUCAUGUUGCGAGGAGAGGCAGAUCAUUGGUGGAAAUCUGUAAAAUGUACCCAGCUUGCCACAUUAAAGAUGUCUUGGGAGAAGUUUCAAGAACUGUUCAACGACAAGUACUUUUUCGAAAGUAUUCGUUAGAUGAAGGAGGUGGAGUUCAUCAGGUUGGAAUAAAACAAUAUGACCAAGACGCAGUACGAGGCUAAGUUUGCGGAGUUAUCCCGGUUUGCAUCUCAUUUGGUUGUUAAUGAGGAGAGAAUGACGCGGAUAUUUUUAAGAGGUUUGAAACCUGAGAUAUGUCAAUAUCUCAUUCUCACAAACUUUGCUUGUAUUCAGAUGUUGUGAAUAUUGUAAUAACUCGAUAUUUUCUAUAUAAUUAAAUCAGAAAUUUUACGUAUGAAUUUUUUUAUUUAAUUAUUAAAGUUGGAAAUAUGUGCCAGGUAAUGUGUAUAUGUAUAUAUGUGAUAAAUAAAAUAUAUUUAUUACAUGAAUAAUUACCAAUAGUUUUAUUUUAGAAUUAUUGCUCAUUAUAAAUUAUAUUAUAAUAAUAAUUAGUUUUAUACUAAAAAUGUUUUCAUUAAUUCUAUUCUAUGAAAAUAUGUUUAUAUAUUAUUUAAAAAUUAUAUGAAAUGAUUAUAUAAUUAUUAUAAUGAUUAUUCUAUUUUAUUAUAUGAAUUUAGUUCAGAUUAUUUAAGUUAAUUAUUUUAACUUAAUUAUUAUUGUUAUGUAUGCAAGAUAAAUCAGAUAUGGAAUCCAAACCCUAAUUUUGGAUUUUGAACAAGGAAUGAGAAUAUUAAUAUAAUAUUAAUUAUAUUUUUAUUUUUCAGUGCUAUAAAUAUAUAUGUUAUGUUUGUAAGGUUAAUCUGGGGAGCAAUUUUCUUAUGACCUGAUAAAACCCUAAUUUGAAAGUCAAUUACGACUGUAAAAUUUGUUAAGUCAUUGUGAUAUGUGGUCUAUGAUUUGUAUUAUAAGUAUUAAUGUUAAUUCUAUAAAACCCUAAUUAGUAAUUUAAAACUCUAUUUUUCUUAAAUUAGGAACCCUAAACAGUACUUAGCUAUCCGCUAAGUGAAAACCCUAAUUUAAAACUCAGCUAUGAGUCGAGACUGUUAUGUAACUGUAUUAUUAUGUUUAAGGUUAAGUAUUAUAGAAUUUUAUAUUAAUUAAAGAAACCCUAAUUAACAUUUAGAAAUUCUAAUUUCUAGAAACCCUAAUUUCUAAAUUAGUAACCCUAAUUUGCUAAAACAAAACUCUAAUUGUUAAUUUGGCACGCUUAAUGAUAAUUAGUAAAAUUUAAACCUAAUUUUCAAGUCUAUGUAAUGAGGAAACCAAAUUAAUUAUGAAACCUUAAUUUGUAUUUUUAGAAACUAAAAAUUUCAAUUUUUUUAAAAUUAGAAAUCCUAUAACACUUUGUGCUAACCCUAAGGGUCAAACCCUAAGGGUUUGAUAAGUUACUAGUUUGCCCUUAAAUUGAUUAGCCAAAUGACAAAAAUACCCCUCUUGCAUUAUUGGACAUAACUUGUAAGACUAGCCAAUUUUGAGUUGCUCAACAACUCUUACCAGCCCCAUGUGACUAAAAUGCCAGCAAUCAAGCUCUAGAUAUCAGCCAACUUGAUUUCAUGUUUUAUAUAUAUAGACAUCAAGAGAGAGAAAUUUCAUUUAUUAGCCACAUUUGUACACAAACUCCUUACCAACUCUCUCUCCCAAAACCCAUGAAAUGUUGUAGUAGAUCAGUCCCGUAUUGAAGCCCCACUAACACACUUAAGCAAAUCAGCAGCCAGAAUCAAGAAUUGAUGCUUAAAGGUAUAAAAUCCUAAGUCAAAUUUUGAUCUUGUAUGCUAUAUUGGAUUUGUGGUUUUAAUGUUUAAUCAUGUUGAAUAAGGUGUUAAUAGGUGAUCUGGGUUGGCACAUGUUAGAUCCAUAACAUCAAAGUGCUCGAAAUCUAAGUUUUUCAAAAUAUGGAAAUUUUUGUUUUUGUUGUCUGACAGCGAAUGUCAGGCCUUGUAGAUCUGUGCUUAUUUAUUAUUUUGAUGAUUUAAAUGUUUGAAGUGGUAGUCUGGUAUGAGGUCUUUCAUAUGAAAAUGGAAUCACUGUUAUUGGAUGUCUAGAUCGAAAAUUAUUGAUGGUCAAAGGUCGUUGACUGACCAUGACCGAGUAUGAAUCUGGGCAACCUUGAAAGCUUUUUCAGCGUCUGAAAAUGUUUUGGAAGGCUUAGAUCUGUCAGUGUGUAAAUGAUUUGAUGAUGUUAUAAUAUCCAGUUUAUAGCUUGUCAUAUGUAAUUUAUAUUUGUGGCUUUAUAUCCUUUAAACAAACAAUUGAUCGAACUUAGUGGAUGGUCAAACCUGGCCCCUCGGUCACGAUUUCAUUUCUGGGAAUUUCCAGAAAAUCGAAAGAACAGCCCUCUGACAGGGUUUGACCGAGUAAUAUCUUGUAGAUCUGUUGAUGUUAAACUGAUUUGUUGUUAUAUUAUUGUUCCUGGACAUAAGGACUACAUCUUUGAGGCAUUAGAUCACUUGAAUCAUGAACGGAACCUAGAUUAAAUCGAGGAUGAAAGUGACUGGUCGACCACCUGGGUUUCUGGAAAACCCAGGAAUGCUCUGACAACAUAUUUGCAAGCCUAGAUCUCCUUGUGUGUUUGUUGUAUGACCUAGAUAUUGAUUGCUAGUUAUAGUGUUGUAUAAUGACUUCAAUAUUGAUGCUUAAGUUUGCCCAAAAACGAAUUAGACAGAGAAUUAUUAGUGGUCAAAGUUGACCCCUCAAACACGAAGCUGUCAGUGUUCUUGAGCUCAAGAACACCAACAGCGACGCUUAGUGUCACUAAAGGCCAAUAGCGAUGGUUUCUAAUAUUUUUAAUUUCUGAUUUUCUAGAAAAUACUUAAAAAUAGAAAAUAAAUUAUAAAAAUUACAAAAAUGGUUUUAAAAAUUAUUUUAAAUUAUGAAAAUUAACUUUUAAUUAUUUGGGAUAUUUUUUAUUAAUAUUUAUAAUUAUUUGAAUAUUAUUAAUAUUUAAUUUAUUUAAUUAGUGUAUUAAAUAAAUUAGAGAAAAAUGAUUUUAAUGUUAUAAAAAUCAAUUUAAAUAAGAAUAAAGUGUUUAAAAAUAUUUUUGAGUUAUAUAUGUAACUUUUAAUAUUUUUGUGAUGAAUUUCAUUAAUUAAUUAAUAUUAAUGAUAAUUAAGUUAUUUAAUAAAUGUAUUAAAUAAAUUAUGAAAAAUAGAAAUUAUGAUUUAAAAAUCAUAUAAAAGUGAUUUAAAGAUUAUAAAAAAAUAUUUUAAGUUAUAAAAUAUAACUUUUGAUAUUUUGUCAUGAAAAAUAUUAAUAAUUUUAUAUUAAUAAUAUUAGAUUUAUUUAAUGAUUAUAUUAAAUAAUUUAGUUUAAAAUGAUUUUAUUAUUAUAAAAUUAUUUUAAAUGAAAAUAAAGUGUUUAAAGAUAUUUUAAGUUAUAAAAUAUAACUUUUAAUAUUUAAAGGAUAAUUUCAUUAAUAAUUUAAUAUUAAUGAUAUUAAUUUAAGAUUUAUUGAUAUUAAAUUUAUUCAAUAAUUAUAUUAAAUAAAUAGUUUUAAAAUGGUUUUAUUAGUUUAAAAAUUAUUUAAAAAGGAUAUAAAUGAAUUAAAAAUAUUUUAAGUUAGAAUUAAUAACGUUUAAUAUUUGGAUAAAUAGUAGAUUAAUAUUUUAAUAUUAAUGGUAAUUAUUUAAAAAUGAUUUUAAAUGUUUAAAAAAUUAUUUAAGGGUAAUAUUAGCACUUUAAAAAUAUUUUGAGUUAUUAUUAAUAACUUUAAUAUUUUGGCAAUGGUUUCAUUAAUAGUUUAAUAUUAAUUAAAUAUUAAUGAUAAUAUGAUUAUUUACUAUUUAAAUCAUUUAAUUAUGAUUCUAGUGUUUGAAAAUUCAUAAUAAAUUAUAAUAAAUGUUUAAAAAUUAUUAUAAGUCAUUUAAAAAUAAUAUGACUGAUAUUUGUAGAUAUUGAGAUACAGGAUAGAGUCUUAGACUCGAUAUUUACCUGAUAAAGCCGUCGGUAGACCGACAUGUUUCAAAAAUUGAUCUAGACUUAGAUAUUUUGACUGUAUUAAUAUUUGUUUGUGAUUCAAUGACUGUUGAAUAUGUGUGACAAUGUGAUUAGGUUAUAUGCUGACUGCAAUAAGCAGUGCUAUGUUAUUCUAAUCGAACGAAUGAUCUUAUUAAUGAUAGAUUUUGGUAUUAAAGAUAAAACUAAGUUGCGUAUUGUAAGCAGCAGACCAGGCAAGUAUCAUAUAUUUGCAUUUUGUUUAUGUGACGCCCCCAAAUCCGGGUUAUCUUUAACUCGGGUUUGGUGCUUACGAUUCUAGAAUACCCAUUCAUACUAAAAAUAAAACUGUCUUAUAUUACAUAAACAUUGAACUUAAAUCCCAGGUUCUAGAGACCUUUACAUACAAGCCAAAUAUUAUUACAUCAUAGUGCUACAGUAUUUAUUACAUGCACUACUUAGGUUCAUUUAAGCACAUGCGCUUAAUAAUUGACUACUCAACAACCUUGCCCUUUCCUUUGUCUUUUCCAGAUGGACCGGCAACCUCAAUUUUAACUGAAAACAUUAUAUUUAACGCAAGGGUGGGCAACAAGUUUGCCCAGCAAGGAAAUAAGCAGCUAAAUAUAAGAGAACAAAAAUAUUACAGUAAUGGGGAUAUCAUACAGAAGGUAUAGAACAAAGUAAUUCUUAAGAGUGUUGAGUCAAAAGUCAGGAUUUAUCAUGCUGUAAGGUCAAAUGACCAGUGAACACUAUACUAGAAUUUACAGUAAUAAUACUGCAAUCUAUGAAUACAAACAGUUAUAAAGCUGUUUUAUAUCCUAGACUCGUACUUCAGGGGAUCAGCCUAAGUACCCUAUAUUGUGCACAACAUAACAGUCUAAUAAAACUUUACAUGUCCUUCAGAAUCAUAUAUACGGUACAAUACGCCCCUAAAAAAGGGUUGUUCGUUCACAGCAUUAUAUAAGAAUCCAUACCACAAUAACAAAAUGGUUUGGAAAGAAUUAACUGAUAAAUUCAUAAACAAUAUCAAUAUAUCUCAACCUUUGUCCAAGCGAAGUAAUGGUAUUGACAUACUUUCAAUAUAACUUUUAUUCAAGAUAGAAAAGUUGAUAUACUAUUCUUUUGAAGCUGAUUGGAAUAAAAAGGCUAUUUAACCUUAUAUUAUUCAUAAAUAAGGACAAACAGUUCAGAAAUUAAAGAACCUGUCCACUGCAGAAUAUUUGCUCAAUAAAGAGUAAGGAUUAGAAACUUGCCUUGUUUGUAGUCUAUCGUUUAGGAUUUCAGCUUAAUUGAAGUAUUUCUCAAAGUCCUACACAGUUAUUUGUAUUAACAAGCAUGUUAAUCACAUAGCUAUGUUAUAUAGUUUGUAAGCUCACAUAUCACAUAAUUUCAGUGAUUAUGGUUGUAGUUAAAUUAUUAUUUUUGAUACAUUUUUCAAAUAUCUCAUCCAUGCUUUCAAGAGACAUUUUUCACUUUGAUGGGUUUCAACAAGCUUUCAACAAGUAAUAGAAAUCAUAUUACAGUCAUCAUUUGCAUUAACCAAGUAUGUUAGCCACAUAGCUAAGUCAUAUAUCAUGUAGUUUUAAUGGUCAUGGUUAGAUUUCCUAUAUUUGAUACAUUUUUCAAAUACCUCAUCCAUGCUUUCAAGAGACAUUUUUCACUUUAUUAGUGUUCAAUAUGCAAUACUUUACAACUACCAUCUCCAUUUCCUUAGUAACAUAGUAUAUAAUCAUUUUAUGUUUCCUUUACUUAAUUUCUAGCAUAUAAGGUGUUUUCAUAGCUUAUUGUCGGUUUUGAAGGUAUUUCUUAUAUGUAUGGUUAACCUAUAGUCUUCCUCAUAGUUUAUAGAUUCAUUUUGACACACCAGUGUAUCAAUUAUCACUGUUUUCACCUAUGAUGCUAAAACAGCCCUUUGAGGCUUUAAUUUUUUUAAACAUGACUUAAUGAUCCCAAUUUAGGUUUACUGUUUAUAUUAGAUUUCAUUUAGAAUUUUUCUCCUACACUUGCUUGCAUCAUAACUCUACUCAUUUAGAGAAACAUAAUCUAUCCUUUAUAGAUAAUCUGGUUACUAAAACUAAAUUUGGAUUCAAACAUGAAUUUUACAAAACAGUCAUUAUUGUAGCUGCUAUACCACAACUGUUGUUUCCCAUUCUACUUGUUGUGGCUAUUGGUAUCAGCUAUAUGCUGCCACUAUUAGGCAGUAAGUCACAUCACUCAUGCCCAAAAAUGCUUCUAAAUUAACCUUUUCAGCUGGCUUUGCAGGCUUUGCAGCCCUUAAUUGAGCCUUACAGCUCAAUAAUCUCUGUAACACAUUUCAGUUAUUAGUCUUAUCUUAUAACUUGCUAUUCCAUUAACAUUUUCUAUGUAUGAAUGCACUGCCAACUGCUACUGCUGGUGUUGCUGUUGCUGCCAAUGGGCAGCGACUAUUAUUUUCUUACCAUAAGCUGUUUGGUCUGUUUCAAGUGCUGCAGUCACAUGUCAUCAUGCUCCAUCAACUAGAGUAAACAAAAAUGCAUGAACUUAACUUACUAACUGCAGCCCAAGAAAAACAAACUCAGCUGUCAAAAUGACAGUGCAGUCAUCUACUUGAAGUUGCCAAGGACAACAGCUAUCCGAAGCUUUUUGCUACUGUCAUUAGCAGCCUCCCUUGCUCCUUAACCCAUUCCCAACAAUCCUCUAACCUCAGUUUUGCUAUAUUUCUAGGAAUAGGCCUCAUGGCUAUAAUCUUUUAGAGUUAUAAGGUUAUCCCAGUUGGCCUAUUAAGCUUUGGCUCCUUGGUUUAGUGACUGUUUCAACAGAGUAGGCAAAGGAGUUUGUCAAGCUAGAAUUACUUAGCCUAAAAACUGAACUAUGCUAAAAAUUUCUAUGCCAAAACAUUACAGUCAUCACAUAUGUUGGGUAAAUCAGGUAAAUAGUGUACUAGUUCUACUAUUCAGUUUCUUUUUACUAAAACAGUCCUCUUAGGUCUUUUAUCAAACAGUUGGUGGGCAUGGUUAUAAGCUACUAGUUCCAUAGCCAUUUGUUUAUAUUCCAACUCAUAUUUUCCCCUUAUUACUCCACAGCCCACUUAUCUCCUUGUGCUUAAAUUAUAACAAUAUCAUAAUGGCAUAACAAUCAAUGAAAUGUUACAACAGUUUAUAUAUAGCAGCUUAACACCCACAUAGCAGUCCUCAAAUCCAUACUAGGCCUUUUAGGCUAAAUGAUCAAAACAGUCCUUAAGUUUUUAACACAAGGAUUAAUAUAACAUGUACAUACUAUGUUUUAUGGUUUAAAGACCCCAAUACCAACCAUCCUGUCUUGACACUAUAACAGCUUUAGACUAGCAAUUUGGUCAUGGUUUAUCACACCAAACCAAUAGCAAGCACUGAUAUGUAUGCCUUUCUAACACUAAAACAUUUUACCUACCAUAUUUUCAUGGUUUAAAGCAUCUAGAGGCAAGGUCCUUAAGUUUAAAAUCAAAACAGCCUCUCAUAGGCUUUUAAAGUAAUAUAAGAUAGCAUGCUUGGGCAACAUGAAAACAAGGACUGCCUACUAUGAAUAUAUUAGAAGUAAGGCAUGAUCAUCAUAAUAAACUUCUAAUAACAGUCCACAUAAUGCAAUAACAGUUCAUAUAAGGCAAUAAUAAUUUAUAUAGCAACUAAAGUCCUUCUAACAGUCAUUUAUGCUUAUUCUAGUCACCACAACAAGUAUACUGUCUUAGUCCAUUCUGUAUACUAGUUCUGGGCAUGGUAAUAUAUUUUACAAUCAUAAAUAACCAACCAUCUUGGACUCCUUUCCAGCCACACUGUUUUGCCAUUAUAGCAGUUUUAGACUAGCACCUUAGGCACAGUUCAUCACAGCAAAACAGUAGCAACAUAGCAUAGCGUAUCAGUCCAGUUAUUACAAUAACAGUUGGUAUAUCACAAGGAUGAUGCUACAGCUAUUCAAGUCUCUUUUAGGCCAUUUUGGCAAGGUUUUAGUAAUAAGUUAUCAAAGCGGUCAUUAGUGUGCAAUACAAAGAUUAUUACCUCAUGUACAUGCUAUAGAAUAUAUGUUCAUGUUUUAAGAGCCUAUAUACAAGGUUUCUUGCUGUUAGUUCAUAACAAUCCCUUAUAGGCUUCAAUUUAAUACACGGAAGCAUGAUCUGAAAAAUUUAGUUAUCAAAAUAACAUGUUUAAACAUAAACAUAUACUCGAGGUAUUCUUUUUCUUUCUAUAUAAUCAAGUAGACAUGCUAUUAGGCUCUAUUUACAGCUAGCAUACCUUGAUACCAUAACAGUCCAAUUAGAGCAAUAUUUUAGGCAUGGUCUAUUACAACAAAAUGGUAGCAAGCACUGACAUGUUUUCCUUUCUAACACAGGCACCUUUUAUUUAUCAUAUAUUCAUGAUUUAAAACAUCUAAAGGCAAAAUCUCUUUGCUUUAAGCCAACACAGCCCUCUUUAGGACCCACUUUCCAAAAAUAACCAUGGUUUACCCUUAUGUUUACAAGGAUAACAUGGAUGUGCAACAUAGAAGUUUAGACUAUCUUCUUUAUAUGGUAUUUAAGAUGCAAAAAUAUAUUUGGAUGUCAUAGAAUGCCUUACCCCAUAUAUAUCAGUCCUUAUUAAGCCUCAAAUCUAGCAUACCAGUUUCUCAGAAUAGUGGCCAAGUCUUGGUUAAUUGCUUAGAUUACAUAUAUGCUAGUAUACAAUAGUUAUACCCAAUACAUCAUGCCACAUAUAACAUAUAAGCAGUCCUUUAUUAAUAAUCAUAGCAUAACAGUCCAUUUAACAUCAUAGCAAUUCAUAUGGUAACACAGAUCAUGCUAACCGAAAUCAUAAUAUCAUUAACUUUUUAGCAGCUCCUUAGCUUGACAAAUUAUCAAACACCUAGAGUGCAGUCUAUAUACUUGCACUUAAUACAUAAUUUCUAGCCCUCUGCCCCCAGCCGUAUGGCUUAAACAAUAUCAAGCAUAAGACCACACUUAUCAGUACCAAACCCAGCAGUUCAAAUAACAUGAAAGCAGUCAGUUAUCAUAACAGCCAUACACGUUUUUGGUCAUUGACAAUUCAUUUUACUAAUUAAUUUAAUAGCCAUCCUAAUCAUUUAUCAAUUCAGUUGUUACCCGGAAUGAAUGGAAAGAUUAGAAAGGCCAGAAUUGGCUUACCUUGCUGAUUCGAAGGUAUCAAGUGGUUGAGCUGCUUAAUUCCUUUUCCCCUCUAGCCGAACUCUUCACUCUUACUCUAUAUGACCGUUGCUGCUAAUUCUUUUGGACUCAGUUAAGUGAUGAGGCUAAUUGAUUUUGGGUAAUAACCUGGCCUUUUUAUGGCUGAGCUUAGCUUCCUUACAGUUGAUCGCAUCACCUUCUACUUGCCCCCUAACAUAUAAUCUAUUACCUCUAGCAGUUAGACUGCUCUGCAGCCACCCUACAAGACCCUAGUCUCUCUGCCAUGCCUUAUCUGUUGCUAACCUGUCUACUAACUAAUAACUGACUAACUUAUAGACUAACUACUGCUAACAACAGAACAGCCUCAGCUCCUAAGUUUACCCCUGUGGGCUGUUGGAAAAAAUCCUAAGGCAAGGCUGGGCAGUGGUUUCAUUUUGGGCCUAGUCCCUUUAACCCAAAGUUUUACUUGUUAAUUUGCUAUACUCCAAUGGGUUUACAGGAUUGGGUUUUGGACAUCCAUUUCACUCUUUAACACUUGGAGCUGCCGAAUUGGGCUAGCAAAUAGACUACAUGCAACGAUCAUGGCAAAAUUAUUAAGGCCCAAUAUUUUAAUAUGGACUCUUGUUACAUUAAAACACAUGGACUAUUAUUUUCUCUAGCAACAAUAGUUAUAACAUAUAUCAUUAAAAUGACUAUUCUAUGUAAUCUUAAAUAAUUCAUGAUGGCACAUAAUUUCUUUGCCCUUUAUAACUCAAGAUGCUAAACGAACUAUUAAAUAAAUAAUAUUUUUAUCACAAUGAGAAUUAACAUAUCAUAAAAAAAAAUUUAUACUCAAAAAUUGACAUUACAAUAAUUAAAUAUUACAUAGGAUGAACUACAGGCCAAUGAGGACUUUUACCACAUCAUUCGUCACAUUACGGUCAUUAUUAUACCGAAUCAUCCCUGGUCAUAAUCAUACCAAGUCCAUCUAUGCACGUAAGCCAAAGAUGACUUUCAUCACAAUAUAAGCAUGAGGAUGAUGACAAUAAUAUAAGCAUUAAUCAAACGAAAAUAAUGAUAAAUUUUAAAGACUUUAAAUUUAUCCAAAUGUUUAUCAAUCACUUAAUAAACUCAUAAUCUAAUAUUAUUAAUAUUAUAACAAUAUUUUAAUCACUUCUUGAACUUAUAAACAAUUUAUUCUAAUUGUUUACACUUUCCCAAAUAAUACAUUUUAAUCAUUCAAAAAUACCAUACUCAUAAGAUUUCAUCACCAAUGAUCAAAUCCCUUAUCAAAAAUCUGCAUAUACCUUAUAUAGGAUUUCCAAGCCAUAAAAUCCAUUUUACCAAUUUUUCAACUUCACAUAACAUAUUUAAUUCAUAUGUUCGUAACUAAACUAUUUUCAUGAAAAAUACCAAAUCAGUCCAAAAAAUUAUUCUUUUUUGGGAUUUAGCAGAAUAUAGUCCCAUAUUGAACAUAUAUUUUUCUCAUAAUUUUUAAAAUUCAUUUACUAUUUUUCAUAUGGCCAAAACUGCCGAAUAUUUAGACAUUUAUCAUAAAUUGUACUUUUGUCCAAAAAUUCCGAAAUUUACAAGGUAUACUCCUAUUAUAUAUGUGUACUCCCAAUAAAAAUUUAACCAAUUUUGGAGUUAACCACAAGGAGUUAUAAGGGUUUACUUUUAAAAUAGUUUUUUCCCAUAAAAUUCAUAACUCCUAAUCUAUACAUCCAAAAAUUGCCAUUUUUGGACACAAUCUAGAAAUCUCAACAAACUAUCAUUUCAAAUGUUUCCAAAAUUUUUGAGGGUCAGAAAAAUUACGAAACUGCAAAUAGAUUUUCACCCGUCAUUCGGUAAUCCAGGUAGACAGAUCAUUUCCACAAUUUAAUAAGGAAUGAAUACAAAGGAUCAUUCACCAUGCAUGCGGUAAUCCACAUAGACAGGUUAUUCCAACAGAAUAAUAAAAAAUAGAAUAACAACAGAAUUCACCAGGCAUACGGUAAUCCGCGUAUACAGGUUAUUCCAAUAGAAUAAUAAAUAAUGGAACCAGGUCAUGCGUAAUCCGCAUAGACAGGAUAUUCCAACAGAAUAAUAAAGAAUGGAAUAACAACAGAAAUUCACCAAGCAUACGGUAAUCCGCGUAUACAGGUAAUUCUAACAGAAUAAUAAAGAAUGGAAUAACAAUAGAAUUCACCAGGCAUACGAUAAUCCGCGUAUACAGGUUAUUCCAACAGAAUAAUAAAGAAUGGAAUAAUAGAAAAUUUUCACCACGUAUGCGGUACUUCGCAUAGACAGGUUACUCCAAUAUAAUAAUAAAGAAUGAAAUAACAAAAGAAUUUCACCAUGUAUGCGAUACUUCGCAUAAACAGGUUAUUCCAACAUAAUAAUAAAGAAUGGAAUAACAACAGCUCUCUUCAUGAAUACGAAAGAAAUAAUAAUACCCCUUACCUUAGAAGAAACUGGAUACUGGAAUAGUGAGGUAGCAGGCUUCUCUUCUUCUUUCUCUCUAUAAUUUCUCUCUAUAAUAAUUGCUCUAUAGCUUUAGUGAAUUGGUGAGAAAUGAAGGAAGAAUGAGCUUCUGUUUAUAGGAAAACAUAGUUUCAAUAAUUGCACAUUUUGGGGCUCGAAAUAUUACAUUAUAAUACCUUCCUCUUUUUCUUUAUUUUUAAUUUAGCCCUGCAAGUAUUAUCAAACUUGCACCACCUCCUCUAAUAGUAAAUCAUGUGAAUUAAUAGUAAAUCAUGUGAAUCAAUAGUUCUAGACAUGUGAAAAUACGAAUUACAGUAUAGUACCUCCAUCUAUACCUCUAUUUUUAACUUAGUCAUGCAAGUAUUAUCAAUCUUGCACCAACUCCCCUAAUAGUACCAUAAUGUGAAUCAAUAGUACACACAUGUGAACAAAUAGUUAUAAUCAUAUGAAUUAAUAGCAAUUAAAAGCUCAUUUAUCCGGAUAAUUACCCGAUUGGUCAAUAUAACCUCCAGACAUCAAUUAUCAUCGAAAUAAAUGUCGAUUCCCACUAACACUAAUAAUUCCAACACAAUGGAACUAUCAAUUUCAUCUUUAAUCAACACAAAUUUAUUCAUCAUUAAUAUUAUAACUCAUAAUAUUUAACAACAAGAUCGUUCCCAGGAAAGAGGGGGCCUUCCGGUAAGGAUUUCUCCUCACUGGUGCGCAAUUACCUAACCUCUCCUUGACAGAACUUCUAGACAUUGUCAAUAUUGCAAUUUAAUAAUAUUAAUAAGUUUACCAUCUUAAUUAUUUAUUUAAUAAUAUAACAUAUUAUGCAGAUGAUACUGUGACAAUAAUUGAAUCAAUAAUAUGAGAGAUAUGAUGUAAUAAUUACUGUAGCAAUAAUUGAGUAUAACUGAGUGACUUCUUACGUAAGCAUUAAUAAUCAAUACCGUGUGCUACUCAAUUCGUCAGCUACCACGUUCGCUCUUUCAUGAUGAUAUUGAAUGGUACGAUCGUAAUCUUCUACAGCUCAAGCCAACGUCUUUGGCACAUUAUACGAUUAUUUUAGGUAAAGAAAUAUUUGAGGGUUUUAGAAAUGAGUUUUGUACUUGGGUCAAUACAAAAUAUGAUUUCACGCUCUGGGGUAGGCAAGGAAGUUCUUCGAGAAUACGUCAGAAUAUUUAUUAACAAUAGAAAUAUCAUUUAAAAACUGUGACUCUCAUCCAAGACUUGGACAACACAUGAAAUGAAGGUUUCUACUAACGAAGUUUCAACCAAUAAGUCAAAGUCUAACUUCUCUGGGGUCAAAUUUAAAUGUUGAGCGCAAGCAAGAGAGAUAAAAGAAUGGGUAGAACCGGUAUCUAAUAAGGUAUAGACUUCGCAAAAAUUUAUAAUUAACUAACCCGUGCUAACUUCGUUCGGGUUACUCGCUUUUUGAGAAGUCAUGAAAAACGCUCUUCCUGAAACCACCGACUUUGUUUUGUCCAUAUCCGCCUUUGGUGCCACCGUCCCAGCUGGACUUGACUUUGGUGCACGACAAAAUCGGGCUAAGUGUCCUUUUCCAUAAUUAUAACAUGUUUUGGACUGCAUCACGCAGUUUGGACUGAUAUGUCCCUCCCCUCCGCAUUUGAAGCAUACAAUUGGUGGUCGUUCUCCUUCCUUGAAAACGGGUGUUGGUGCUGCUGUCUUUGCAUCUUUGUUGAACCUUCUCUUCUUGAAAUUUCCACUCCUAUUAUCUUGGUCAUGAUUACCACCGAAGUGGUUACCAUUCUUGGUGUAAGACCCCAACUUUUAUGAAUAAAAAAUGAAUUUUCUAUAAAUAUCAUUUUUGAAUAUUAUGGAGUAAAUUUGAUAUAAUGUUAUAGUUGUGGGUAAUAUUUAUAAAUUUUGAAAAGUACGCAAGUUGUUAUAUAAUAUUCGUUUGGUCGGAAAAUAUUCUUUUUGUCGGGAAUAUCCGUACGACGACACAAUCAUUGGUGGACCCCCACAACGGAAGUAUUGUCGUAGUAAGAAAACGACAGAAUUAUCUUUUUAUAAAAAUAACGGCUAAAGUUUUACCGUUAAAACUGUUGAACUACUCGGUAGUAAAAGUACAGUAAUACGUGUGGUUGCAUAGUAGCACACGAUAUUGAUUAUUAAUACUUACGUGAGAAGUCACUCAGUUAUACUCAAUUAUUGCUAUAGUAAUUGUUGCAUCAUAUCUCUCAUAUUAUUGAUUCAUUUAUUGUCACAGUAUUAUCUGCAUAAUAUGUUAUAUUAUUAAAUCAAUAAUUGAGACGACAAAGUUAUUAAUAUUAUUAAAUUGCAAUAUUGACAAUGUCUAGAAGUUCUGUCAAGGAGAGGUUAGGUAAUUGCGCGCCAAUGAGGAGAAAUCCUUACCGGAAGGCCCCCUCUUUCCUGGGAACGAUCUUGUUGUUAAAUAUUAUGAGUUAUAAUAUUAAUGAUGAAUAAGUUUUGUUGAUUAAAGAUGAAAUUGAUAGUUCCAUUGUGUUGGGAUUAUUAGCGUUAGUGGAAAUCGACAUUUAUUUUGAUGAUAGUUGAUGUCUGGGGGUUAUAUUGAUAAAUCGGGUAAUUUAUCGGAUAAAUGAGCAAUUAAUUGCUACUAAUUCACAUGUUUAUAUAACUAUUUGUUCACAUGUGUGUACUAUUGAUUCACAUUCUGGUACUAUUAGGGGAGUUGGUGCAAGAUUGAUAAUACUUGCAUGACUAAGUUAAAAAUUGAGGUAUAGAUGGAUGUACUAUACUGUAAUUCGUAUUUUCACAUAUCUAGAACUAUUGAGUCACAUGAUUUACUAUUAAUUCACAUGAUUUACUAUUAGGGGAGUUGGUGCAAGAUUGAUAAUACUUGCAGGACUAAAUUAAAGAUAAAGAAAAAGAGGAAGGUAUUAUACUGUAAUAUUUUGAGCCCCAAAACGUGCAAUUAUCAAAACUAUAUUUUCCUAUAAAUAGAAGCUCAUUCCUUCAUUAUUUUUCACUAAUUCACUAAAGCUAUAGAGCAUUUAUUAUAGAGAGAAAUUAUAGAGAGAAAGAAGAAGAAAAGUCUACACUUCACUACUCCAGUAUCCAAUCUUCUUUGAGGUAAGGGGUAUUAUUCUUUCGUAUUCAUGAAGAGAGUUAUUUUUUUUCAAUACUCGUUAUUCCAUUCCUUAUUAUUAUGUUGGAAUAACAUGUCUAUGCGAAGUACCGCAUACAUGGUGAAAUUCUUCUAUUAUUCCAUUCUUUAAUAUUCUGUUGAAAUAUCUUGUUUGUGCGUUUUACGCAAGACCUGGUUCCAUUAUAUAUUAUUCUGUCAGAAUAUCUUGUCUGUGCUUUACGCAUGACCUGGUUCCAUUAUUUAUUAUUCAGUUUGAAUAACAUGUAUACGCGGAUUACCGUAUACCUGGUGAAUUUUGUUGUUAUUACAUUCUUUAUUAUACUCAGUUGGUUAAAGUUUUGGCUUUUAUACUCUAUGAAAUUAGUGGAAUAUCCUUGAUAUUUGCGCUUCAUCCAAUAUCUUUUCAUGGAAAUAUUCUUCUGAGCAUUCUUGAAUUUUACAUCACAAAGCAGUAUCAUGUUGACAUUUUGGACGUUAUUGGUUCCUGGAUAAAUUAAUUCUUGAACUUGUUUUAUUGAAUUCUUAUAUCAUUAUCAUCAUCCUCAUGUUUAUAUUCUGUUGAGAGUCAUCUGUGGCCUGUAGUGCAUAGAUGGACUUGGUAUGAUUAUGACCAGGGAUUAUUCGGUAUAAUCAUGACUGUAAUAUUACAAAUAAUAUGGUAAAAGUCCUCAUUGGCCGUAGUGCAUUGUUGGACAAUUGUUGGUAUGAUCAUGACCAUUGAUGAAUACACGAAUAUCCUUGGUCGUAGUGCAGGGAUGAUGUUGAUUAUUUAUUAACCUGAGUCUCAGCGAUGAAAAUGAUGAAAAACCUUUUUAAAUCAUAGAAGAUAAUAGAUUUUAUGCUCUAUUUGACUCUUUUAAUGGAUUGCUUAUUUUCGCUGCAGUUUUUGAUCUAAAACUUGUUGUUUAUUAUAUUCUAUCAGUUGUUAUACUGUUGAAGGCUAAGGAUAAUUUAUUCUGCAUUAACUUAGUCAUAAUAUUUCUUACUGGGCUUGUUGAGCUCACCCUUUUCUUUCAUGGUUCUCUUCAGGAAAUGAGAACGUAGCUGAGACUAGUCAGGGAACAGAGUGACGGCCCAGAUGUUUGCAUUAAUUGUCCUCACUAUUCUGUGAAAUAGUGUGAUAAUAAAUGUAAUGAGGACUCCAUUGAGUGUGGAUAUUGUCUAGAUGACAAUAUUCUUCUUAAAACUCUUAGAUUAUGUUUUGUCGUAUUUUACACGACUGUUGUAUAAUUAAGUUGUAUUUGAAUUUUGUACCAUAUAUCCGGCGACUCAAGAUGGGUGAUGUAUACCUAUUUUGAGGGCAUCAUAGUUGGUAUCAAAGCUUAGGGAUAUGAUCCCUGGUUGAGAUGUGAGAUAAGAACUAGGAGGGGAGAGACGGGGAAUUCCUUUGUUAGUAUAACCUACCUAAGUUUAUUUGGUAUUUAAUUGGUCGGUCACAAUAUAUGGAUAAUAUGUGACAUGUCAAUUAACCCUUGUUUUGUGACAGUAUUUGAAAAUGGCAUCCGAAAAUGUUGAGAAUAGCAAUGGAGCACAGGAGACCGUUGAGUCACCAUAGAUUAAUACCCAGGAUAAUGUGUAACAGGAAGAAAAUAAUCCUCAGGUAAACAAUAACACCGAUGAAAUGGGGAACGAUGGGAUGUUCAGAGGCUUUAUGCAAUUCAUGCAACAUCAGGCGAGGGCGGCUCCUGUCCAAAAUGCAGGUGGAAACACUGACAACUCUCGGACGGUCACCGCUAAGCAGUUCAAGGAGCUGGGACCACCGGAGUUUUUUGGAGAGCCAAAACCACUUAAGACAGAGACGUGGAUAAAGAAGAUCAACAGGAUAUUUGAUGUCUUGGGAUGCUCCGAGGAACAAAAGGUUCCUUUUGUCACCUUCAUGUUGCGAGCAGAGGCAGAUUACUGGUGGGAAUCCGUAAAGCGUACUCAACUUGCCGCACUGAAAAUGUCUUGGGAGAAGUUCCAAGAACUGUUCAACGAAAAGUACUUUCCCGAAAGUAUUCGUCAAAUGAAAGAGGUAGAGUUCAUCAAGCUUGAGCAAAAAAAUAUGACUGUGGCGCAGUACAAAGCUAAGUUUGUCGAGUUAUCUCGGUUUGCGUCCCACUUGAUUGAUAAUAAGGAGAGAAUGACGCGGAUGUUUUCAAAGAGGUUUGAAACCCGAGAUACGUCAAUACCUAAUUUCUCACAAACCGUGUUUGUAUUCAGAUGUUGUGAAUAGGGCUCAGUUAUUGGAGCGCGAUAAUGAAUCAACCCAACCAAGAGAGAGCAGCCGACAAGUCGAUAAUACCAGUGGUAGCAGUCAUCGAAGCGGUGACAACAAGCGUGGAGGGAAUCAACAUGCCAAAAAUGGUAAUCACUUCGGUGGUAAUCAUGGCCAUGACAAUAAGAGUGGACAUUUCAAGAAGACGAGAUUCAACAAUGAUGGAAAGACGUCAGCACCAGCACCUGUUGUUAAGGAAGGAGAACAAUCGCCGGUCGUAUAUUAUAAAUGCGGAGGGGAGGGACAUAUCAGUCCAAACUGCGUGAUGCAGUCCAAAGCAUGUUACAAUUGUGGAAGAGAAGGUCACCUAGGCUGAUUUUUUCGUGCACCAAAGUCAAGUCCAGCUGGGAUGGAGGCAUCAAAGGCCGUCCCAGACAAGACAAAACCGGUAGUUCAACGGAGAGCGUUUGUCGUAACCUCCCAAAAAGUGAGGAAUCCGAAUGAGGUGAUCACGGGUAAGCUAAUCAUAAACUCUAGCAAAGUCUAUACCUUAUUUGAUACCGGCUCUACCCAUUCUUUUAUUUCUCCUAUUUGCGCUCAACGUUUAAAUUUGACUCCGAAGAAGUUAGACUUUGACUUAUCGGUUAAAACUCCAUUGGGAGAAACCUUCAUUACAUCCACUAUUUAUAAGUCUUGUUUGAUUCAAAUCGGUAACCGUACAUUACCUGUCGAUCUUUUUUCUUUGAAAAUACUUGCAUUUGAUGUGAUUUUAGAGAUUAAUUGGUUAACUACUCAUCAUGCUAAAAUCGAUUGUUUUCGUAAGGUUGUUAGCUUUCAUAUUCCUAACCAACCUAUUAUGCGAAUUCAAGCAACCAAACAACUAAAAUCAAUCACUAUCAUAUCAAGCCAUAAAGCUAUUCAUUUAUUAAAAAAUGGAUGUCAAGCUUUCUUAGCCCAUGUCACGGAUUUAAAUAAAAAUACGUCAGAUUUGAAUGAUAUUUCUAUUGUUCAUAAAUUUCCUGACGUAUUCCUUGAAGAAAUUCCUGGCCUACCCCUAGAGUGUGAAAUUGAAUUUUGUAUCGACCUUGAAUGUGGUACAAAACCCAUUUCCAAAGCCCCAUAUCGAAUGGCUCCUAUUGAACUUCAGGAGUUAAAAACCUAACUACAGGAAUUAUUAGACAUCAGUUUCAUUCGUCCUAGUACAUCUCCUUGGGGUGCUCCUGUUCUAUUCGUGAAGAAGAAAGAUGGAAGUAUGCAACUUUGUAUUGAUUAUCGGGAGUUGAAUCAUGUCACCAUCAAAAAUAGGUACCCGUUGCCUCGCAUUAAUGACCUGUUUGACCAGUUGCAAGGAGCUAAAUUCUUUUCAAAGAUUGAUCUUCGUUCCGGAUAUCAUCAGUUGAAGAUUAAAACUGAUGACAUUCCAAAGACUGAUUUCAGAACUCGGUAAGGGCAUUAUGAAUUUCUAGUCAUGUCUUUUGGAUUGACUAAUGCUCCUGCUGCCUUCAUGGACAUGAUGAACCGAGUAUUCAAGGAAUAUUUGGAUCACUUUGUGGUCGUCUUUAUUGAUGACAUCCUCAUAUACUCCAAAAGCCGUGAAGACCAUGAUCAACACUUGAGGCUGAUACUUCAAAAACUUCGUGAGAACAAGCUUUAUGCCUAGUUAAAGAAAUGUGAGUUCUGGCUUGAGGAAGUUGCAUUCCUUGGGCACGUGAUAUCAAAUCAUGGAAUAUCUGUUGAACCAGCAAAGAUUGAAGGAAUCCAAAGCUAGGAGCAACCAAAGUCAGUGACUGAAAUACGUAGCUUUCUUGGCUUAGUUGGUUAUUAUCGGAGAUUCGUGGAAGGAUUUUCUCGAAUCGCUACUCCAUUAACUCAGCUGACUCGAAAAGAUACAAAGUUCAGUUGGAGCGAGAAAUGUGAGAAGAGUUUUCAAGAACUCAAGAGAAGACUCAUUUCAGCACAUGUUCUGACAAUACCAUCUGGCUCGGAGGGAUUUGUCAUCUACAGUGAUGCUUCAGGCAAAGGGGUUAGGAUGUGUUCUCAUGCAACAUGGAAAAGUCAUAGCCUAUGCCUCACGACAACUCAAAGAAUAUGAGAGGAAUUAUCCUACUCAUGAUCUAAAGUUGGCAGCAGUCGUUUUUGCGCUUAAGAUUUGGAGGCAUUACCUGUAUGGAGAGAAGGUGGAGAUCUAUACGGAUCAUAAAAGCCUCAAAUAUUUCUUCACUCAAAAGGAACUCAACAUGCGGCAAUGACGAUGGCUUGAGCUGUUAAAAGAUUAUGAUCAUACCAUCCAAUACCAUCCUGGAAAAGCGAACGUAGUAGCUGACGCAUUGAGUAGAAGAUCAUAUGCGGGUACGAGUGCAAUAUUGUCAACGCUAAGACCCAUUUUGUAUGACUAACGAAGGAUGGAGAUAGAGUUAAAAACUCCAGGGACCCAUGUGAUAAUGACGGAUAUACGAGUAGAACCGACUUUAAUCAAUAAAGUUAAAGCUGCUCAAGCUACAGACCUGGAGCUGAUGCAUAUGAGGAAGAAAGUGCAAGAAGGUGCUAUUCCAGAAGCAAGAAUCGAUGAAGAAAGAAUACUUCGAGUCAACUCCAGACUUUGUGUUCCUAACGAUUUUGACUUGAAGUAUAAAAUCAUGAUGGAGGCAAACAACACACCGUUUGCAAUCCAUCACGGGAGUACCAAAAUGUAUCGUGAUCUUCGACAUACAUUUUGGUGGAGCAAUAUGAAGAGAGAGAUAGCGGGGUUUAUCUCAAGGUGUCUAACUUUUCAACGAGUCAAGGCGGAGCAUCAAGUGCCAAAAGGUCCAUUGCAACCACUUGAAAUUCCAGAAUGGAAGUGGGAGCACAUUACCAUGGAUUUCGUUACUGGUCUUCCCAAGGUUUCCCAAGGCGUAGAUGCGAUUUCGGUCAUUGUUGAUAGAUUGACCAAGUCUACUCAUUUCUUACCGAUACGAGAAACUUAUACACUUGAACGUCUUGCUAGUAUGUACAUAAAUGAGAUUGUAAGAUUGCAUGGCAUGCCAGUAUCCAUAGUUUCUGAUCGAGACCCAAGAUUCACUUCAAGAUUUUGGGUUAGUGUGACGCCCCCAAAAUAGGUCCACACGAACCAUUCUGAGUCGCCAGAUAUCACACUAUAAAAAUCAAAUACAAACUUUAUUUAUACAACUGUUGAACUGUCGUGCAGAGUACGACAACAGUUAACUGUGAGUUUUAAUACAAAUAUUGUCAUCGUAGACAGUAUCCAAACUCAAAUUGUUACAAUGCCAUAUAAAAUACAGCAGCAAAUAUUUUAAGACCCCAAAGAAGAACGAGAAGAUUACUAUCAUAUUCAUUCUAAUGAGGUGCACUUUUGACGCUUUCAAAGUCGGGUUCUCAUCACCCUUAUUGUUGUUCACCAACAUCAAUUAUUAAGUGACGUAUAAAAUACAACACACACAUCUUAGGUCUUUAAUACAAUUAUCGGUUGCAUAUCAUGCCGUUUUAUAAUGUAUUGAGAAAUUUCGACAGUCUCGGACCAUCACACUAUUUUCCUGUUAUCCCCGCUCGACCCAGCUACACUCUUAUUACCUAAAAGGAAUUGUGAAGCAAAAGGGUGAGCACAAUUAGCCCAGUAAGGAAUAUCAUGGCUAAGAUAAUUAAUUUAUCAACAGCCUUUAUCAGAAUAAAUCAGAGAUUUAGAACAUAUGGUAGAUAAUAAAACGUUUCAACCAUAGUUGCAGCGGAACGAGUAAUCCAUUAGAUGAGUCAAGUAGAACAUAAUGUCUACUAUCUCCUCUAGAUUAAAAGUCCAUCGUUGAUAUUUUAUUCCUGUAAUACUCAUCAACAGUUCUUUGUUAUACUUAAGACAAAUAAAACUUUCAACACUUGUCUUCACCUGAACCACCAAAGAUGUUAGUUAAAUUCACAAUUCAUAUUUAUAAUAAUGUGAAUUAACAGUUCCUUCUUUCCACCAAGACUUAAUAGAAUGUUUACUCAAUAUCUUUACCCCAAAGGCUGAAGGUAUUCAAAUGUAAUAACAAUGAUCAUACCAAUCAGUUGUCUAUCUUUGCAUUACGGGCCAAAGAUAUUCAACUAUAGAACCAAUGGUCAUGAUCAUACCAAUCACAUCAUUGAAUUAUCCAUGCACUACGGCCAAGGAUAUUCGUUAGUAUCACUAGUGGUCAUGAUCAUGUCAUACACCUGUCCAUCUUCACACUACGGGUCAAAGCUAUCAAAUAACAGAUCAUCUUUGCACUACAGGCCAAAAAUAUUCAACAACAUAUCGUCUUUGCACUACAGGUCAAAGACAUACUACUGUAAAACCAAUAACCAACAAUAUAAUAAAGAAUGGAAUAAUAAAAGAAUUUCACCAUGCGUGCGUAAUCCGCACAGAAAGGUUAUUCCAACAUAAUAAUAAAGAAUGGAACCAGGUCAUGCGUAAAUGCACAGACAGGAUAUUCCAACAGAAUAAUAAAGAAUUGAAUAACAACAGACUUCACCAAGUAUACGGUAAUCCGCGUAUACAGGUUAUUCCAACAGAAUAAUAAAGAAUUGAAUAACAACAGACUUCACCAGGUAUACGGUAAUCCACGUAUACAGGUUAUUCCAACAGAAUAAUAAAGAAUUGAAUAACAACAGACUUCACCAGGUAUAUGGUAAUCCGCGUAUACAGGUUAUUCCAACAGAAUAAUCAAGAAUGGAAUAACAACAGACAUCACCAGGUAUACGGUAAUUCGCGUAUACAGGUUAUUCCAACAGAAUAAUAAAUGGAACCAGGUCAGGAGAAAUUCGCACCGACAGGAUAUUCCGACAGAAUAAUAAAGAAUAAAAUAAUAGAAGAAUUUCACCAUGUAUGCGGUACUUCGCAUAAACAGGUUAUUCCAACAUAAUAAUAAAUAAUGUAAUACAUAAGGAUUUCACCAAGUAAAGGGUAUGACGCUUAUACAGUUUAUGUAUAGGGUAUGCCUCAUAUACAGGUUAUUCCAACAGAAUAAUAAAGAAUGGAAUAACAGAAGUUCUCUUCAUGAAUAAGAAAGAAUAACACCCCUUACUAUAAUAAUAUUAUCCCUUACCGUAAAAAAACUGAAAAUAGAGGUAGUGAAGUAGCAGAAUAGUCUUCUUCUUUCUUUCUAUAAUUUCUCUCUCUAGAGUUUCAGUGAAUUCGUAAGAAAAUAAUGAAGGAAUGAGCUUCUAUUUAUAGAAGAAUGGAUUGCAUAGUAACUAACUCAUGAACGGUCCAAAUUGAUUUACUUUAAUCUGACGGUCCAUAUUUAAAGCAAAAUCUUUUAAAUAAAAUAUAAUAUAUUCUAUUUAUAAUCUAAUAAAAUAAAUAACUUUAUGUAAAUACUAUGCAGGCACUAUGCAAAUACUAUGCAUAAUAAAAUAUAAUAUAAUCUAAUUAUUGUCUAAUAAAACGAAUAACUUUAGAAAAGUAUUAUGUUUUAUAUAAAAAGAUUUUACUAUUAGUCUAAUAAAAUGAAUAACUUUAUAAAAGUAUUCUGUUUUAUAUAAAAAGUUUUUCUGUUUUAUUACGUUAAUAAUACGAAUAAAACAAAACUUCAUCAUCGCUUACUUUGAAAAUUUUUCAAAUGUCACCCUUAACUUUAAACUUUUAUCAAUUUAAUCAUUUACCAAAAUAGAAAAAUUGAAUACUUUUAUUUCAUAAAAUUCGGGGUCUCACAGUUAGUUUGCAAAAAGCUAUGGGCACGGAUUUACGAUUUAGUUCGGCAUAUCAUCCUCAAACGGAUGGGCAGUCGGAAAGGACUAUUCAAACUCUUGAGGAUUUAUUAAGAUUAUGUGUCCUUGACUUCAAGGGAAGUUGGGACAAGUUCUUACCAUUGGUGGAGUUUUCCUACAACAAUAGUUAUCAAGCAAGUAUUGGCAUGACUCCAUUUGAAGCGUUGUAUGGAAGAAAGUGUCGUUCUCCAGUAUGCUGGGAUGAGGUGGGUGAAGCAACGUUGUUGGGACUGGAGUUGGUACGUAUGACUACGAAAAAGAUUCAAACGAUCCGACAACGUAUAAAAACCUCACAAGAUNNNNNNNNNNNNNNNNNNNNNNNNNNNNNNNNNNNNNNNNNNNNNNNNNNNNNNNNNNNNNNNNNNNNNNNNNNNNNNNNNNNNNNNNNNNNNNNNNNNNUAUAUAUAUAUAUAUAUAUAUAUAUAUAUAUAUAUAUAUAUAUAUAUAUAUAUUGUCCAAAAUUAAUUUUUAGUUUUUGAGAUGGCAUGUAACCAUCACAUAUAUAUUUCUCCUUAAUGUGAUUGCAUUUAAGCCAUAACAAAGAAAAAAGUUUAAAAUAAUCUUUGGUGACAGCCAAGACCAUCACGAAAAGAAAACCACAUGUGAUGGACCUUUAUGAUUACAUUUAAAGUAAUCUCAACAAAUGGUAUUAUAUGAUGGACUUUUUCAACAAUCACAAAAUAAUAAUAUACAUGACGGCUCCUAGUAGUGGUUAUUUUUUCCAUCACCAUAAACUAUUUGUGACGGACAAGACAAUCACUAAAAAACAAGCAUAUAUGAACAACAAAUAUAUUAGGCGAGGAAUUUACUAGCAAUCACAAAAUAGUAGUAUAUAUGGUAGAUGUUACUCAAUGUCUAAUUGUGCCAUUAUUAUUAAAUAUUUAAGACAAUCAUUACAAUCACUAAAUUUUUCGCGUAAAUUGUACAUCUCUUUUUUAAGUCCCCAUUAAUCUUUAUUUUGCUUUGUUCUCUUUGUAAACUCAUUGUUUUUAUUGUGAAUUCAAAGGAUUUAGAGUUUAUCUCGUUUUUAUAUAACUAACUAUUUACGUUUGUUCUCUUUGUCUCGGUUGGUAUAUAUCUACUUCUUUCUAUGCAAGAAGUCUAGAGUCCAAAUCUCCACCCAAAAAAGAAACAGUGCAAAUGAUGGAGCAAAAUUCUUGCUGUUGGGGAAGAGCAGAUGGACUAAUUGAUGUAACCUUCAAAUUGGUGGGAAGAAAUCUGAAAUGGAAGGAGCAGUAAGCAGGAUUUUUUUUUUUACUAAAUUUAAAUUGUAUUAAAGGAGAAAGAAUGUACAAAAAUCAUGGGAAAACCCAAUCAGAAUAUAGUAUAUACAUCACCUCAAUCAGAAUAUAACAUAGACAUCAUAGGACAUGCCAUAUGAUGUCAUGACUAAAAAAGAAAAUAAGGCCAGAUGCCCAAACAAAAGAGAAACAAUCUCAACAUUCAUGAGAAUACAAUGCAUAGAAAUCAGACACAAAACCAAGAAAAACCUCAUCCAAAGUAGCAGCAGCCCACAAUAGCAGCAAAAGAAAAAUCAGUCCAAAGACCAAAAGGCAUCAUCCAUAACAGAACCGAAAGAGCCUACUGCAGACUAGCAGCACAAUAGAGCACAAGGCCCAACAAGAGAAGCCAACAACAGUUUAGCAAAGCAAAACAGCAGACAGGACAUGGAAAGCAAGAGCAACAAACCCCAAGAGCCCAAUGGCAGCCAUAGAAGUGCAGCAGCUGCAGCCGACAUCAAAUAAAACAGCAGUAAACGAUAGCAGCCAUAAGUACAGCACCACCCCCCAAAUCUGCAGCAUCAAGACAUAGAAAUAGUCACAAUACUGCAGACCAAAACACGCAAACAAUGCAGCAUAAGCAACAAACAGAGCAGCAAAUAGGUCUAUUUUCCUGCUUGUUUUCAAGGUUGUGUAGUAUUUAUUGUCAUUUUAGUAUUUUACAUAUAUGUCCAUUAUGGGUAAAAUAAGUUGUUUGGCAUGGGCAAUGAUGCCAGUGAAGGUUUUCUUUCUUCAGUGCUUGAUGGAAGCUCUCGAGCUGUAGUCACUACAAAGAUGAGGAGAUGCUGAAACCAUUUUCGAGCACAGUGAGAUAUAAUAGUUACAUAUAUGAAUAUGCCAUCUCAGAUGAUCAUGUUGGUGUAACACAGAAGCAUGUCUUCCAUGUGCUGGUACCAUUUCUCCUUCCUUUUCUGACAGUAGGCCUAUGAUUUCUUCUGGGAGUGCUGAGAAAGAGACUGCUAGACUAGAAUAUUGUAUACGGCACUAGAAAUAGGGCAGUCUUUCUGUAAACUGCAGAGCUAUGGUUCCUUGGAAUGAUCAUUGCUUUACAACGCAUUGAGUUUUUUUUUUCUACAUUUCUUUUUCCUGGAAAAGCCUAUUUGAGGGAGGAAAUAGGAGAAGUAGAAAUUUGUUGUGGGUAGAGAUGUUUUGGAUUUGUCCUUGGUUUCAGUAAUUAAACAUCUGCCAUUUUUAUUUGCGAUUAUAUCCGGAGGAAGCUUUUAUAUACUAGAUUCAUAAAUCAAGAAGUUCAAUAUAGGGAGCACCAGCUGCAACAGCAGCAGAGCAUGAGCAGCAACAUUAAUGUAGGUGGAAGCAUUGAAAGGACGUUCUAUUUGUUCAUGCCAUUUAAUCAUGGCAAUCAUUCUAUUUAUUCAUGGUAAUCAUUUUAUUUGUAUAUGCUUGUUCUUAUAUAGCUUAUAUUGACAGAAAAUUUAAAUGGAAGCUAUGAGAACCACAUUUUAUCAAGUCUUUCAGGUGGGUUAGCCUCUGCAUAGCUCUUACUAUUUCUUGCAGCUCGAGGAGCUAAAGCUUCCUAAAGUAUAGAAAUCACAAAACCAAGCAAAUAAGUUUAAAAAAAAAAAAGAACUAAAGAUAGAGUCGCAUGUCUUUCAAAUAUGUUUCAAAAAAAAAACACAUUCUCUAAAACACUGGUAACAGAGCUUCUCUAAAACUGAAUUUCAUGUCCAAGUUCAUGUUAUCAACUUAUAGUCUUAUAUGUAAUCAACAUAACUCAAACGACUUCCUCUUUUUCUAAUAAUUAAUAACAGGGAAAAAAUUUAAAAAUAUGGGUGAAUUGGAGAAAUAUAUCUUACAAUAACAAAGAAAAAGGGAAUCCUAGUCCAGAAACUUGUGCGCGCUCUCACGAAAGAUGUCUCAUGAGUAAGCCUGAAUCUUGACGGAUCUGCAUGUUCAUUGUAGGAGAAAUUUAACAUAAAGAGAUAGCCUCAUGUACACAAAUAUUAAAAUGAAUACUAAAUUCAAACUACAGAAUGAUAAAUAGUCAUUUCUUGAUCGUGCAGCGACAUAACAAUGGAAAACUCGGUCCUGAGAGGCAGUUUCCUGCUCCCAGACCUUCCAGCCACGAAUCUGUACAAGUUAAAAACUUAUUAGCAUUAUAUGUAGAAUCAAUCAGGUGAUAAUAUGAAGAGUGAUAGUGUUUUAUAGAAAAUGAAAAUAUUCGAAAAUUGUUUCGAACAUAUAUUAAAAUAAAUUAUUGUCCUUUUAUUUUAUUAAAUAAAAUAUUAAAAAAAUCAUUGUCUUCUUUAAUGCAGUUUAUAAAGAAACACGGGAAAAUGAAUAUAGGCCAAGUUAGUGAUAAAAGAAAGUGAAUGACAGACUUGGCAGGAACUCUAUUACUGUAGAAAAAUAAAGCAACAAUUGAAAGGAUUCUUAUUUCGAUAAUGAAAGGAAAUAAUAAUCGACUGAUAAUUAUCUGGAACAUGCCAACUACUAUAUAUAUAGGAAAACAUAACUAAAAAACUCAGCUACGUAGGCCUAAAUAUCAUCAUCUUCUUCUUCUUCUUCGAAAUAUUCAUCAUCAUUAAAAUAUUCAUUAUCAUCUUCAUCUUCAUCACUACAUUCUCUAUCUUCAUUUUCUGCUUCCGCUAAUGAUGGAUCCACUUCCGCCCACAUUAGGAUUACUCGUCAAUGGUUGAUCAAAUUUGAUAGAUUCGCCUUCUGAAACAAGAAGUUCUGGCCCUGGAGGGAUAAUAUCAACCACUUGACGUCCAUCCGAUGCAUCCGUUAUGGUUAUUUCGUAACCCCCCUUUUCUUUUCGUAUUAUUUUGCCUACUAUACCUGCUGCUGUAGCAUUAUAAACCGUAUUGUUACUCUUGCUCCCGUCGGGAUAAAUCUGACCCCUUCCCCUGUUUCCGCCUACGUAUAUAGGAUAUUUUAAGAAGUGAACAUCUUUCUUAGUAGCGGGGUCCGGGGAAAGAAUAGGAAAGGUGAUUUCACUAUAUUUUUGACCAGGAACAGGGCCUAUCACAAGAAUAUUUUUUUUAGUGGGGCGAUAGCUCUGAAAAGAAAGAUUGCCUAUCCUUUCUUUCAUCUCGGGAGAAAUCCGAUCAACAGGAGCUAAUUCAAAACCCUCCGGUAAAAUAAGAACAGCCCCUACAUUCAAAGCCCCCUUUUUACCAUUAGCAAGAACUUGUUUUAGUUGCAUAUCAUAAGGGAUUCGAACAACUGCUUCAAAUACAGUAUCAGGAAGUACGGCUUGUGGAACUUCAAUAUCCACGGGCUUAUUAGCUAAAUGGCAAUUGGCACAUACAAUACGCCCAGUCGCUUCUCGUGGAUUUUCAUAACCCUGCUGUGCAAAAAUGGGAUAUGCACUUGAAAUGGAUGUCCGAGUUAUGAUAUAUAUCAUGAGCGAUGCGGAAAUGGAUCGAGUAAUCUGUUCCUUUAUCCAAGAAAAAGUCUUUCUAGUUUGCAUGGUCCAACCAUUGAUCCCGAAAAUUUCUACAAUAAAUUGGGUAGGUCGCUAAUAUAGUUCCCUAUCCGCGAUUCUGCUAUUUACUGGAAUAAUAUAUNNNNNNNNNNNNNNNNNNNNNNNNNNNNNNNNNNNNNNNNNNNNNNNNNNNNNNNNNNNNNNNNNNNNNNNNNNNNNNNNNNNNNNNNNNNNNNNNNNNNGAGAAUCAUCAAGCAAUAUCAAAUUCUGAGUUUGCUCCUCAAUAUUAUAUAAGUCAAAAUCAUGAAACUCUUCCUCUUGAUAUGUCUCUUCAUUACUAUUUUCGGCAACAUCAUAUGUGUUUCUUGCUUUUGUUGUGAUUACAGUAGACCAACCUUUAGCUUUAGUCGACACUGGAUUAGCAUAGAACACUUGUACAACUUGUGAUGCAAUAACAAAUGGCUCAUACGGCUUGUGCCUUGAAUUUGUAUCAAUUGUAGUUAUCCCGUACUUGUUAAUAACUACCCUUUUUUCAGAAUCAUACCAUUCACAUUGGAACAAAAAUACUGAAUUCUCUUCUCCAUAGUAUUCUAGUUCAACUACUUUAAUUAAUUGUCCAUAAUAGUCUCGUUCUUGGCCUUCAAAAGUACAUCCCUAGACUAAAACACCACUAUUUUGAGUUACCUUUCUUGACUCCAAUUCUUUUGUAUGGAACCUAAAGCCAUUGACAAUGAAUCCAUCAUAACAUGUUACCUCUCUAGACGGACCCAUAGCGAGCGCUUUUAGACGCGUAUCAACGACAUCAUCAUUCUUGACUCUCUUUUCAAACCAUUUUAUAAAUGUCGAAUUAUGUUCCUUUUAUAGCACUUUAUCCGACAUGUUUGGACGUAAUUCUUUCAAUAAAUGCUUGUGCUCCCUAGAAGUAAUGAAAUAAAUUAGUAGAUAUAGAGUAAUGAUUUACAUAUCUAAAAGUAAUAAACUUUAUAAGAAUUAAAAUGUCAUACUCGAUGAAAUCAAAGACUUCCUCAUAAUUAGACAAGAUGUAUAAGGUUGCUGCCUCGAGUUCUUUAUCAGAUAGAUCUUCACGUUUUCGUUUUCCUCCAAUUGGACGACCAGGCCUAGGGUGGCUAAAUAUUGAUAACUUUCCAUUAGUUUCAGCUUGACCGCCAUCGUCAUUUCGAUCAGCUCGGUUGAACUUGGUUUGCACCCUAAGAUCAAAAUAUCGAGAAGAAAAGUAAACUAGUUCGUCUAUUAUGUAUGCCUCAGCUAUUGAACCCUCGGGGCAAGCCUUGUUACGCACCCUUUUCUUCAAAGAACACAUGCACCUAUAAUUAUAUUGAAGUUAGGUAAUCACUUUAACUAUAAAAAAGCCUUGGCAAGAAAAGAGAUAUAAUUUAUUAAAACAUCACCUCUCGAAAGGGUACAUCCAACGAUAUUGUACUGGCCCUCCGACCUUGGCUUUAUAUGCCAAAUGAACAAGUAGAUGCUCCAUUGAAUCAAAGAAAGAUGGUGGAAAAAUCAUCUCAAGAUUGCAUAAUAUUUCAGCAAUAAAUAGCUCAAGCUUCUCUAACUCAGCUAACUUAUACACCUUAGAGCAUAUGUCUCGAAAGAAUUUGCACAAAGCAUUUAUUGGUUCCCAUAUAGAGUUUGGUAAGAAAUCACGAAAGGCCAAUGGCAAGAAUCUCUGCAUGAGAACAUGGCAAUCAUGGCUCUUUAGCCCAAUUAUUUUGCAAUUGUCAAGGUUAAUACAAUGAGAGAUAUUUGAAGCAUAACCGUCUGGAACUUUCAACGAUUUAAGCCACUUGCAAACUUGCUUGACUUCUUCGCUUUUUAAAGAAUAUUUAGCUUUUGGCAAUUUAAAUUUCCCAUUACCACUCUCUUCAGGAUGUAAUUCAAAUCUUAUACCAAGCUCUUGCAAAUCUAAACGAGCUUUAAGGUGGUCUUUUGAUUUUCUAGUAAUGUUCAUCACAGUGUAAAAUAAAUUAUCAAAAAUAUUUUUCUCAAUAUGCAUCACGUCUAAGAAAUGUCUUAUUAGAAGCAAACUCCAAUAAGGCAAUUCAAAGAAGAUACUUUUCUUUGUCUAGUUAUGCUCGAUUCCAAACCCAGGAGUCUUAUCGGUACUAUUGUUUUUAUCCUUUCCAAAGAUGACCGAACUAAAUUGAGAUACAAAAUUUAACUCCUCAACACCUGUUAGUCGAGGCGGGGGAUUUCUCCGUUCGGUUUUAUUAUUGAACUUACUCUUCUCAGCUCGAUAUUUAUGAUUACGCUUCAACCAACGACGAUGGCAUCCAAAAUAACUCGGCUUCCUCCCAUGUUUAAGGUUAAAAGCUACACUUGGAUCCAUACAAGGACAUGACAAGGCCCCAUGUGUACUCCAACCCUUCAAUAUGCCUAGCGCAGGAAAGUCACUGAUUGUCCAUAUUACAGCUGCUUUCAUAUAAAAAUUUUGCUUUGAGAAAGCAUCAUAUGUAUCAACUCCAACAUCCCACAAAGUCUUUAGUUCUUCUAUAAGAGGUCGCAAAUACACAUCAAUCUCUCUUCCAGGUCCAUGUGGACCUGGAAUAAGCAGUGACAUAAACAUGUACUCCUCUUUCAUACACAUCCAAGGGGGGAGAUUGUAUGGAACAAGGAAAACUGGCCAUGUCGAAUGAGGUUUGCUAGAAUGCCCAAAAGGAUUAAAUCCAUCAGUAGCUAAGCCAAGUCUUAUACUACGAGCAUCUUCAGCAAAAGAUGGGUAAUUGAGGUCAAAAUAUUUCCAAGCCUCACUAUCAGCAGGGUGCCUUAGCUCACCUGGAAUAUCACAUCAUUUUUCUUUGUGCCACCUCAUAGGCUCGGCCGUUUUUGAUGACAAAUAAAGCCUUUGAAGCCUUGGUAUAAUUGGUAAAAAAACUUAAGACCUUCCUUGCUAUUGGUUUAUUCUUUUUCCCUUUAACACUGCCAUGGUUUUUAUACCUAGAUUCGUUACAAAUUGGGCAAGCAUCUAAAUCUGCAUAUUCUCCUCGAAACAAGAUACAAUCAUUAUUACAUGCAUGUAUUUUUUGUAGAGGUUGCCCAAGGUCCUUCAUUAAGGCCUUGCAGUGAUAAAAUGACUCGGGUAAUUUAUUCUUUUUAGGCAACAUUUCCUUGAAAGCUGAAAGAAAAGCAUCAAAUCCAGCAUUAGACAAACAAUACUUGGAUUUUAGGUGCAACAACAAAGUUACGGCUAAUAACUUGGUGUGAUUUUGACAACCAUCCCACAAGGGCUCGUCUGCAGCCUUUAGAAGGUCAUAGAACUUCUUUGAUUCGCUAUUAGGAUCCUCAUCAAAUUUAGGGCUAAUGCAGCUUGUAAUAUCCCUUAACAUGUCUUUAGGCCAAUUUGCAAUUCCCUCAUCAAUAUCGUCAUCUUAAUUCCCUACUUUCUUAAGUGACUCCCCAUGCUCCGUCCAUGUAGUGUAGUUUGGUACAAAUCCAUGCUUAUAAAGACACAUUUCUACAUCUUCACGUGAUUUAUAGUUUAUGAAAUCACACUUGGCACAAGGACACCGAAUCAUGCCAUCAUCUACGCACUCAGGAUUAGAAAAUGCAAAAUCAAGAAAUGUAUUGACCCCACUCAUAAAUUCAUGUAUAUGUUUAGACUUUUUCCCAACAUGCCUAUACAUCCAACUUCGAUCAUCCAUCUACCAUUUGUAAUUCAAAUAAUUGAAAAAUGUUCAUUUAUGGUGAUAAUUAACCCUUUUAUGAAAUAGAAAAGAAAAAAAAAACUGUACUGACUUUACAACUUAUUUUCUAGCACACUGUUCUUAACAUGGUCACAACUUAUAAUUAAAGAAAACAACAUAUACUACCUGAAUUCAAGAUAAUAUUGGUUAUGAGGUAGUAAAUCAAACAGAGAAAGCGUAAUCAGAGAAAGCAUAUUAGAUUUUCUAAUUAAUGUUCCUAAUUAGUUUUAUAUUAGAUUUUUUACAUGCUACACAGGAAUUGGGGCCAAAUUCGAACAGAGAAAGCAUAAUCAAAAUUCUAAAAUAAUUGGGGCCAAAUUGGAACAGAGAAAGUAAAGAGGGAGACAAUAAACACCCAAGGAAGAGAGGAUUUACCUUCAAAAUCACAAAGCUUAACUUGGAUCACAACUUUGGUACGUAGAAGAAAGGGAGAUGGUUUUAGUUACCGUCUAUGGAGAAGAUGGGAAGAGUUGUUUAGAGCCGCAGAGAGCACUGGGCAGAGGCCGUCGACUGAGAGGGAGUAGUCGACUGUCGACUUUGUCAAGAAAGAGGCAAGCAAGUAGCAACUGAAGCAAUCAAACAAAGAGUGAAGAAGGAGAACUGAAGAUAAGGGCUAGGGCAAAUGUCAAAUGUGAAAGUGAAAUCAGAAAUGGACCGCCGACUCGGUCACUUAGGAUUAUAGAUAGGAGUGAGAUAUAAUAAUAUUAUAAAAUUGUUUUUUUUAAGAAUUACGGUUCGGUUAUUCGGGUAUCCAAAUAACCAGUUUUUGAACACCGAAUCUGUAAUCGAAUACUAAAUAAUAAUUCGGAUAUAACUGAAAUUGUAAAAAAACCGAAAAACCGAAAUAAUUCGGUUAAAAAAUUUCGAUUCGGUUCGGUAAUUCGGUUUUAUUCGUUUUUUGCUCACUCCUAGUCACUGGACAUUUAAUUUUUGUUGGCUUGUUGUUGCUGACUUGCUGUAUUUUGGACAGUUAAUUAGGCUUGCAUUAUUAAGUCAUAAAUUUCAUGUUGGCUUGUUGUUGCUGCUGGACAAGUAAGUUAACAGUUGCUGCCUGCUGGGCAGUUAAUUUGCUAAAUAGUUAACAGGGAAUUUAUGUUGUAUGAUAUUUCGGUUAUUACCCGAAUAUCCGAAAUUACAAUUCGGUAUUCGGUAAUUCGGUUAUUUUCACAUUUCGAUUAGAAUUUUGGAUAGUGGAAUUGUCAUUAAUUCGGUUUUCGGUUAUAACCGAAUAGCUUAUUCGGUUCGGUUAUAACCGAAUGAUCACUCCUACUAAUAACUUGGUAUUUUGAAUCAAAUAUCGGCAUCGACACAUAAGGCUGUAAAAUGAGCAAACAGUUCGGGGUCGAUUCGUACUCGCUCGACUAAAAGUUCAAUUCGAGCUCGACUCUAAAUAUAAAUGAGUCAAAUAUGAGCAAAUUUUAAAGUUCUAUAAAUUACUCGAACCUCCUCAAAUUAUAAUUUUCUAUUGAUACUCGGAUCAUAUUCGUUCGAAAAGUUCAAACUGUUCAGGCUCGAUUCGGAAUCGUACUCGACUCGAUAGCUAAAUGAUCCUCAAUCAAACCUUAUAAUAUACUUGAUAAAAUUUGUGAACCAAAUCUGAUAGAAAUACAUUACGAAAAUUUAAAAAGAUUAUAAAAUGAGUUUUAGUUUUAGUUGGACCAGAUUAAGUAAUCUCAAGUACAUGAAAUUAAAAAUAAAAUAAAAUUAACAAAUUGAAAAAAACAACAACUAGUAGACUCGGGCGUAAAUUAACUUUUAAGGGUUUAAUACACUAUUUGUACGUUCCAAAUUUUAUAUUUGACUUUGUACCAUUGACAUUUAUUUUUUCGUGGGCAUAUAUUUUUAUUAUUAUUAGUUAUUGUCAAUUUUGGUGGAUAAAUUAUUUAAUGUUUGAAGACUAUUUGGGGGAUAUUAAAUAUAUCAUUACUCAUAAUGAUAUUAAAUAUAGUGGGUGCAGAUGAUAGUAAUGUUAUAAAAAAAUUUCAGGCUUCACAAAGAAGAAUAUAAGUUAUUGUAUUAAGCUUCAAUACUUUUUGUAAGAGUAAUAAUUGAUAUUAAAACAUCAUUUUUAUUAAUAAUAUUAUUUUAAAAUAAUAAAAGAGAGGAGACUUAAUUUGUAGCUUAAUCUAAAGAAAGUAUAUAAAUUUUUAAUAUUAUUUUAAUUUAUUUUACUUUUUUGAAUAACAAAUUUGUACUUAAUUACUAGUGGAUCAAUUAAUUCAUAUCUCACAAAUUUACUAAAAAUAAUAAUUAAAUGAUACUCUUUUUUUUGUAGAACAAAGGGUAUAUCAAAAGAUAAUUAAAUCAAAAGAAAUUUAAGCUAAUUAAAUUUAAUUAAAAGAUAAUUAAAAUUUAAACAAACAAAAAUAGACUAAUUUAGUGGCAUAUUCCACUCAUUUUGAAGAAAUGGCGGGAUCUCUGUUUCUAUCUUUAAUUUCAAGUACCAUUGUAUAAACUUCCCCAUCUUUUCCAUAGGCAGCAAACUGAAACCCUACAUCCAUCUUCUACCAAAAUUGUGAUCCCAGUUAAGGUUGUGAUUUCAAAGGUAAGUCCUCUCUUUGGGUGUUUAUUCUCUCCAUCUUUCCUUUCUCUGUUCUAAUUUGUCCCCAAUUCUUAUUUUAGAAUUGUGAUUAUGCUUUCUCUUUUCGAAUUUGGCCCCAAUUCCUGUUUUUAUAGAGAUGUUUUACGAACUGUUAUUGACAAUUUGAUUGUUCAUGUGUUUGUGGAGAUUUAAUAUAUAUAUAUAUAUAUAUAUAUAUAUAUAUGAUUUUGAUAGCGUAUUUACUAAUUUUAANNNNNNNNNNNNNNNNNNNNNNNNNNNNNNNNNNNNNNNNNNNNNNNNNNNNNNNNNNNNNNNNNNNNNNNNNNNNNNNNNNNNNNNNNNNNNNNNNNNNNNNNNNNNNNNNNNNNNNNNNNNNNNNNNNNNNNNNNNNNNNNNNNNNNNNNNNNNNNNNNNNNNNNNNNNNNNNNNNNNNNNNNNNNNNNNNNNNNNNNNNNNNNNNNNNNNNNNNNNNNNNNNNNNNNNNNNNNNNNNNNNNNNNNNNNNNNNNNNNNNNNNNNNNNNNNNNNNNNNNNNNNNNNNNNNNNNNNNNNNNNNNNNNNNNNNNNNNNNNNNNNNNNNNNNNNNNNNNNNNNNNNNNNNNNNNNNNNNNNNNNNNNNNNNNNNNNNNNNNNNNNNNNNNNNNNNNNNNNNNNNNNNNNNNNNNNNAUAUAUAUAUAUAUAUAUCCCUCGAUUUAUAUAUGUAUGUUAAUUAGGUACGUAUAUGUAUGCAUGAAUAUAUAUGAAACUUUGUUAGUUAAUUACUUUGGUUGAGAAUGGAUUGUAGUUUGUAAACAAAUCUAAUAUGAAACUGAUUAGGAAAAGACUUAAAUUGGAAUUCUUCUUUUGGUUGAAUGGAAGGGUUACUCAUUACUUCAUUAAUUUGACAUUAAUUUUGUAUUAUUUUGUUUAAUUAUGUUUUGGUUGGUUAUGUUUUUCAUUUAUUUUAUUCUAUUCCAAGUCAUUAAGAGCACAUGAUGUUUUAGGUAAAACACUGAUUCUACUGGACAGAUGAUUCAUGUACAAAACCAAAGUUAGUGCACACACCCUAUUAUUUAAUAUUCAAAACAUUGGGUUGCUGUUGGGGUGGGUCUGUAGGAGGGCAGGGGUGGAGUUGCAGGGGAGGCGAAUGGAAGAGGGCAAAAGUGCUGGAUGAAGGAGGGACGUUGGCAUGUUCUUGAAUGAUGGUAACCCAUUCUUUAUACAUUUUGAAUGAGAGUGGUUAAUUGCAAAAAAGCACUUGCAAUAGCUACAUUGAAAUUGGUUCCAUUUAUGAGGGACAAGAAAAGCAGCAGUGGGCAGUAAGGAACUGCUAUAACAGUUUUGGGUAUAUCAUUCUAGCUCUAGAAUCUAGUUUGAAGACUUAACCAUAGAGUUUUAGUUUUAGUUGGAGCUGUACAUUCUUUACCAUUAAUGAUUAGUGAUUCUAUUCAAAGUUACCAUGCUUUUUUAAGUUCUCACUUGGGUUUUUGUAAAUGGGUCAAGCUUUGCUUAUUGUGUGCAAGAAAAUCUGAUAUCGCUGUGAAAUCUAUAGUAAGAAAAUUAAAAAUGGUCACUUUGAUAUACUUGCACUUAAUUGAUGCCCACAAUUGUCGUCUUUAAUUGUACUAAUCCAUCAAAGGAGCAUGUCAAUAUUGUUCUAUUCAGCAGUACUAUGAUUUAAUUGAUGCCCUCAUAGUAUCCAUCAAAAGAACAUUUAAUCUUGAUGUAACCAGCAUGCCACGGAACCUGACAUGUGUAGCAAAAAAGCUUUUUACAGUUCAGACAUAUUAGAAAUGAUUGUUCCAUUGAAAUGAUUGUUUGGCAUAUUAGAGGAUCUAACAAGUGAUUACAGUCCAAAGUGGACGACAUUUAAUGCUGGCUACAUUGUCUUCAACUUUUACUUCGAUGUACUUGGUGAAGCAAUCCACACAAAAAGGAUGAAAACAUUCAUCAUUCUUCUUGAAAACAUUCAAUGCAUAUCUCACAAGUGAAAGUUGAACUCUCUUCUUCACCUGAUUUAUCCUCUUCUGUUUUCGCCAAACUCACCUCUUGUUUUUAGCUGUGUGUUCCCCAUUGUUUGUUCUGUUUCUGUUGCAAAAAAAUCAUCAGCUCAUGUGAGAAACAAUUAGAGAAAGUGGAAUUGUACAACAGAAACAUGCAUGAAGUUGUAUAUUAUUGCAAAAUAAAUGGCAACUCUUUCUACAAUUACAAAGAAAAUGCCAAACACAUUUUGAAUUUGCAGCUACAACUAUUACAUGUGUUAUACAAGAGAUGAGAAUACAUUUUGAACAUGCAUGUGUCAAUUUGUGAUCUACAACACAUUUUGAAAAUGCCUAACACAUUUUGAACAUGCAUGUGUUCUACAAUUACAUGAAUUAAUUUGCAUGUGUUGUACUUUGUGUUGUGCAUAUAGUAAUAGGUUCAAUUAAAUGUUGUGUCAAGUGAUAGUGCUAAUUUAUUUAUUUUUUGAUAAAAAAAUGUACAUGCUUGUGGUAUAAUUUCAAACUAGUUUUCCAAUGAGUCAUGAUUAAUUAUUGCUGAUUAAUAUGUUGGGUAUAUAAAUUGUUCUUUGUACGGUUGAAUGUUAUUGUCUUGACAGGUAAGAUGCUAAUUGAUUUUGGAGCUAGUAGAGUAGUGAAUAAUUUUGAAAUUGUAUUACAACAUCAUCUUGAAUAAUUUCUUUUAUUUAUCCUAUAUUUAAUUAUAAGUUUUUUUUCUUCUCCAGCUAUGGUGAGAACUAGAGGUGGGAGUAGUCUUUCCGGUAGGAGAUCAACUCUUCCUCAUAAUAGUGGCGAGACUGUUAACAUGAACAGAAUGAGAGAUGAGCCUAUUGUAUCUCAUGAUAGUGGUGAGAGUAUUGAUAGGGCUACACCGAAUACUACACAAGCCGAAAGGUUAUCUCGUAAGAAAAGGGGGCCAACUCUAGGGAUAAUAAAGCCUAAAACAGGCCAAACAAAGAUGCUUGUUAAUAUCAUUGGACAAAAGUAAGUUUUUACUAAUCUACUCGUGCUUGUCAAUAUGCAAGUUACAUACAAUCAAUUCUGGAUACGUUAAAGAUUCAUUUUCUGACACAUAAUAUAACGUCCGUUUUAACUAUAACAGGGUAAUCUAUGUAGCACAAUGUAAUCCAAAGAACAUAAAAGCAACUAAUCAUAUCAUGUUACUAUAAAAAGCAAUUAAUAGGGGUUCCAUUUAACAAGAUUUGAUUAAUCCUAUUGUGACAACUUUGUUUCUACUUUUCAUUAUUGUUGUACUAAUCAUAUCAUGCUAUGUUACCAUAUCUUGUAAUUAGCUUCCUUGAACCUGAAGCUCGAAGCAAGACUCACAUAUUAUUUCAAAAACGUUUUAAAGAAGCUCGAACCAAAUUCGAGCAAUGGCCAAAACAUGAAAUUGAACUUCUUUGGGGAGAAUAUUUGGUAUGUUUUAAUGAACACACAUUUUAAUUGUAGAAAAAAGUUUAUCAAAAAGUGUAUUAUUCAUUAUAUAUUAAUUAUUAUUUUUACUUGUGGAUGGUGUUAUAGAAAUAUUUUCGUUUCUCUUCAUCGAAGGAGGAGGGAAGGGGUCGAAUCAUAUGGGAGGAAAAUGCACGAAAAAGCUACCCAAACUAUUUAUGGAGAUGGAAAGAUGAUGCCAUUAAGAAGUUUGGCUCCAUUGAGGAAGCAAGGGAUAAAAAGCCUAAUUGGACAACUCUUGAUGUGUGGCAGGAGAUGUGUGAUUAUUGACUGAGUAAAGACUUUUUAGACUCUAGUGAGCUACAAAAAAAGAACAGAAACAUAACUACGUAUGUUCCUCACACAUCAGGCUCCAUAUCGUACGCCGUUAGGAGGGAACAAGAGGUAAAUUAUAAGUUGAUAAAAUCAAAUUAAUAAUAUGCGUAGUCGAUAAAUGCACAUGAUAAUGGUAAAAGAUUCAUAUCAUGAUGCUCUGUUUGGAGUUUUUAAGUGUUCAUGUGGUAUGUAUUGCUUAUUUUUAAUAUUAAUGUUUAUAAUUAAAAUAAUUAUUAUUUUGCUUGUUUUGUCUUAGAAACAAAGACUGCAUCGUCCGCCAACGCAAUAUGAGUUAUAUAAACAAACUCAUAUGAGGAAGGAGAAGGGUAGCGAGGAAAAAACGUGGGUUUGUGAUGAAGCAAAGAGGAAUUUGGUAUGAUUUUCUCUUGUAAAAUUAUAAACUUUGUUUACUCAUGCGAAAGUGAAGAUUGUUGUUCGUUCUUUUCAUAAUUAGUUAUGAGUAUUGUUAAUUAUAUAUACAUAUUUUAUGCAUUGUAUAGGAUGAUUAUGAGAGAAGACUCUUAGCCAAACAUGGUGAUACAGAUAAGCCCGUGAAUGAGUUAGAUGAUCCAAAUUUGGAGACAUGGCAGAAAACUGUUGGAGGCGUCAAAAAGGGUAGACUUGUUGGUCGACCAGGGGAAAAAUGGAGUUCUCGUCGUGGUUCGUAUUGUCCAUCUUUGGUUGCAGAUGAGAACUAUAUUAAAUUAAAGAAAAUGGAAAGCUACAUGACUUAUAUUCAUCAAUACACAAAAAAUAUGGCCGAAACACUUGCACUUGAUCCUCCUAUAGACUUUUGUGAUUUGUUUGCUUCAUCAAAUGCAUCAGCUGAUAUUCCAACGAAUAACUCAACCACGCAUGCUGAGAAUGACAACGGAGAUGAUGACGACUCUCAAGAAAACUUCAUGGAGAAUUCAGGAUGAUUUAGCUCUGCUUUACUUAUCAAUUUUAUUAGUUUAGGGUUCUUUGAUAGAUGUUGGGUUUGUUAAUUGUUUGAUGAACCUAUGACAUGUAGUUACCUAUUUAAGUAGUUGGUAAUGAAUUUAUUUUUAAUUAAAUGGAUCAGAUUUCUUCAUUUUAAUAAAUUUGUAUGAUUUUACGUUUCAAAUUUAUUGUAAUUUAUGUCAUUUAUAAAUUUGAAAUAUAAAAUUGGCAAUUAAAUAUAUUUUAAUAUAGGAAUUUGGUGAUGGCUUUACUAUCACCAAAACGUAUAAAAAGGUUACAAAAAUAGGAAUAAUUGUGAUUGCUUUAGCCAUCACAAGAGACUUAUGCCAUCACAAAAGAAUGUGAUUGUUUUGGCCAUCACAAAUAAUUGGUGAUUGUUUUGGCCAUCACAAAAAGAUGUGAUUGCUUUGGCCAUCACAAAUAAUUGGUGAUUGUUUUGACCAUCACACAAAGAUGUGAUUGCUUUAGCCAUCACAAAUAAUUGGUGAUUGUUUUUACCAUCACAAAAAGAUGUGAUUGCUUCGGCCAUCACAAAUAAUUGGUGAUUGUUUUGACCAUCACAAAAGAUGUGAUUGCUUUGACCAUCACAAAUAACUACUAUGCUAUCGAGAUUACUUUCGCCAUCACAAAUAACUUGUGUGAUUUCGUGAUGGUCAAACUAAUCACAAAAUACAUGUGCGCUAAUGUGACUGAUUUAGUCAUCACAAAAGGAUCGAAUGUUUUGGUGAUUGCCAAAACCAUCACGUAAAACCUUUCAUGAUGGACGUAUACAAAACGGCCAUCGUGAUGCUUAAAAUCAUCACGUAAACCUUUCGUGAUGGUUUUUUUAGUUUUUGUGAUGGAUUUUUGCCAUCACAAAUGACCAUUUUUUUAGUAGUGAUCGAAAGGACGUGGAAUUUAAUAUUGGAGAUCACGUGUUGUUACGUGUUGCUCCAUGGAAAGGAGUUACGAGAUUUGGAAAGAGAGAAGCUCAAUCCUCGAUUCAUUGACCCAUUUUUAAUCCUCGAGCGAGUAGGAACUAUGGCCUAUAGACUCGCCUUACCGCAAAGUAUGUCUCGUGUUCAUAACGUUUUUCACAUAUCUAUGUUACAUAAAUAUGUGAAAGACCCGAACCACAUUAUUGAAUUAGAACCAGACAAGAUAGAGGAAGAUUUAACAUAUGAAGAGUUACCUAUUAAAAUCUUGGAUAAGAAGGAUCAUAUUCUACGCUCCAAGGUUAUACCUCAAGUCAAAGUUUUAUAAGAGAAACCACGAUGUGGAGGAAAUGACCUGGGAGUUAGAAUCUGAGAUGAAGUCAAGAUAUCCUCGUCUCUUCGAUAUACCAGGUACGUACCCUAGUUUCGAGGAUGAAAUUUCAUAAGAAGGGGAGGUAGUAAGACCCCAACUUUUAUGAAUAAAGAAUAAUUUUCUCAAAAUAUAUUUUUGAAUAUUAUGGUGUGGAUUUGAUAUAAUGUUAUAGUUGUGGGUAUUAUUUACAAAUUUUGCAAAGUAAGCAAGUGGUUAUAUAAUAUUCGAUUGGUCGGGGAAUAUUCGUUUUAACAGGGAAUAUUCGUACGACGGUACAAUCAUUGGUGGACCCCACAAAGAAAGUAUUGUUGUAGUUAAAAAACGACAGAAUUAUCUUUUUAUAAAAAUAAUGGCGAAAGUGUUGCCGUUAAAACUGUUGAACUAACCGGUAAUAAAAGUACAGUAAUACGCGUGGUUGCAUAGUAGUACACAGUAUUGAUUAUUGAUGUUUACGUGAGAAGUCACUCAGUUAUACUCAAUUAUUACUAUAGUAAUUGUUGCAUCAUAUCUCUCAUAUUAUUGAUUCAAUUAUUGUCACAGUAUCAUCUGCAUAAUAUGUUAUAUUAUCAAAUCAAUAAUUGAGACGACAAAGUUAUUAAUAUUAUUAAAUUACAAUAUUGACAAUGUCUUGAAGUUCUGUCAAGGAGAGGUUAGAUAAUCUAAUUGCGCGCCAAUAGGGAGAAAUCCUCAUCGGAAAGCCCCCUCUUUCCUGGAAACUACCUGGUUGUUAAAUAUUAUGAGUUAUAAUAUUAAUGAUGAAUAAGUUUGUGUUGAUCAAAGAUGAAAUUAAUAGUUCCAUUGUAUGGAAAUUAUUAGUGUUAGUUGAAAAUCGACAUUUAUUUCGAUAAUAAUUGAUGUCUGGAGGUUUUAUUGACCAAUCGGGUAAUUAACCGGAUAAAUGAGCAAUUAAUUGCUAUUUAUUCACAUGCUUAUAACUAUGUGUUCACAUGUGUGUACUAUUGAUUCACAUGCAUGUACUGUUAGGGGAGUUGGUGCAAGAUUGAUAAUACUUGCAUGACUAAAUUAAAAAUUGAGGUAUAGAUGAAGGUACUAUACUAUACUUAAUUUUUUCACAUGUUUAGAACUAUUGAGUCACAAGAUUUACUAUUGAUUCACAUGAAUUACUAUUAGGGGAGGUGGUGCAAGUUUGAUAAUACUUGCAGGACUAAAUUAAAAAUAAAAAAAAAGAGGAAGGUAUUAUACUGUAAUAUUUUGAGCCCCAAAAUGUGCAAUUAUUGAAACUAUAUUUUCCUAUAAAUAGAAGCUCAUUCUUCCUUCAUUUCUUACCAAUUCACUAAAGCUAUAGAACAAUUAUUAUAGAGAGAAAUUAUAGAGAGAAAGAAGAAGAGAAGUAUGCUACCUCACUACUCCAGUAUCCAGUUUUCUUCUAAGGUAAGGGGUAUUAUUUCUUUCGUAUUCAUGAAGAGAGUUAUUUCUUUCAAUACUCGUAAGGGUUGUUAUUCCAUUCUUUAUUAUUCUGUUGGAAUAACCUGUAUAGGUGGAUUACCGAAUGCGGUGUGAAAUUCUUCUGUUAUUCCAUUCUUUAUUAUUAUGUUAGAAUAACCUGUCUGUGCAGAUUAUGCACGCCUGGUGAAUUCUUUUGUUAUUCCAUUCUUUAUUAUUUUGUCGGAAUAACCUGUCUGUGCGGACUACGCACGCCUGGUGAAUUCUUCUGUUAUUCCAUUUUUUAUUAUUCUGUUGGAAUAACCUGUCUGUGCGGUCUAUCGCAUGCCUAGUGAAUUCUUUUGUUAUUCCAUUCUUUAUUAUUUUGUUGGAAUAACCUGUCUGUGCGGUCUAUCGCAUGCAUGGUGAAUUCUUCUGUUAUUCCAUUCUUUAUUAUUCUGUUGGAAUAACCUGUCUAUGUGGAUUACCGCAUGCAUGGUGAAUGAUCCUUUGUAUUCAUUCCUUAUUAAAUUGUGGAAAUGAUAUGUCUACGUGGAUUACCGCAUGGCGGGCAAAAAUCCAUUUGCAAUUUUAUAUAUUCUAUUAUACUCAGUUGCUUAAAGUUUUGGCUUCUAUACUCCAUGAAAUUAGUAGAAUAUCCUGGAUAUUUGCGCUUCAUCCAAUAUCUUUUCAUGGACAUAUUCUUCUGAGCAUUCUUGAAUUUUACUCCACAAAGCAGUAUUAUGUUGACAAAUUGGAUGUUAUUAAUUUCUGGAUAAAUUAAAUUAUAAAUCUUUAAUAUUUAUCCUUGAACUUGUUUUAUUGAAUUAUUAUGUCAUUGUCAUCAUCCUCAUGCUUAUAUUGUGAUGAAAGUCAUCUUUGGCUUACGUGCAUAGAUGGAUUUGGUAUAAUUAUGACCAGGAAUUAUUCGGUAUAAUCAUGACUGUAAUGUGACGAAUGAUGUGGUGAAAGUCCUCAUUGGCCUGUAGUUCAUUGAUGGACAGUUGUUGGUAUGAUUAUGACCAGGGAUUAUUCGGUAUAAUUAUGACCAUUGAUGAUUACACGAGUAUCCUUGGCCAUAAUGCAUGGAUGAUUCGAUUUUAUUUAUUAAGCUGAGUCUCAGCGAUAAAGUUGAUGAAAAACUUUUUAAGUCAUAGAAGAUAGUAGAUUUUAUACUCUAUAAUUGACUCUUCUAAUGGAUUGCUUAUUCCGCUGUAGUUUUUUAUCUAAAACUUAUUGUCUAUUAUAUUCUUUCAGUUGUUAUACUGUUGAAGGCUAAGGAUAAUUUAUUUUGCAUUAUCUUAGUAAUAAUAUUUCUUACUGGGCUUGUUGAGCUCACCCUUUUCUUUCAUGGUUCUCUUCAAGAAAUGAGAACGUAGCUGGGACUAGUCGGGGAACAGAGUGACGGUCCAGAUGUUUGGAUUAGUAGUCCUCACUAUUCUGUGAAAUAGUGUGAUAAUAAAUGUAAUGAGGACUCCAUUGAGUGUGGAUAUUGUCUAGAUGACAAUAUUCUUAUUAAAACUCUUAGAUUAUGUUUUGUCGUAUUUUACACGACUGUUGUACAAUUAAGUUGUAUUUGAAUUUUGUACCAUGUAUCUGGCGACUCAAGAUGGCUGAUGUAUACCUAUUUUGGUGGCGUCACAUUAACCCUAUUGUUAUAUAUAUUAUAUCCGAUUAUUGUUUAUCAACAUAAUAUUAUACUAUAUAAUUCAGAUAUAUAUUCUGUUCAUUAAUUUCUAAAAAUGAUUAUACAAGUGUCUCCACCUGGAUAAUCAUUGUAUUUAAUCACAUGUUGAUAUAUAUAUAUAUAUAUAUAUAUAUAUAUAUAUAUAUAUAUAUAUACCUAUUGAACCCCAGUAUGUAUACAUUAAGUAAAAGUCGUCUAAGCUAUUCGACCAGCUAGACACAAAUUUAGUUAUAUCGUUUAAUAUGACAAAACUUUUUUGUAUCCAAUCAAAUUAUUUUGGUUCGGAUUCCAGACUAAGUAUGAACAUCCCGAACAUGAGAAAACUUUUAUGCGCCCAAGGCGGACAGAGUAAACGAUAAUAUCUUUCUUUCAUGCAGUAUUGAUCAAUACAGGGUCCAUGGGAUGUAUACCCUCGUGCCCGUAAGUUAUGACGGUUUGCAGAUGAAGUUCUGUUUAACCUUUUUGAAAAUAGAAAACAAUGUGUAUGUCACCCUAACCCUAUAUAUAGUCAAUACAUAGUUUCAAAAAUGUGAGAUAGAGUUGAUAUGUUAUUAUUAUCAGUUUAGUUUACUUCACAACUAUUGAAUCGUUGUAGAAGUAAUGUACAAAGAAAACAUUUAAUUCUUUCAGAUAAUUAUAUUUAUAAUUGUUAUUACUUGCUGGGCACUCAAAUGCUCAUCCUUGCUUAAUUUAAAUGUUUUCAGCUAAGCGUGAUCAACCUGAAGGUUUAGACAAUAAUAAGUGAAAAGGAAAGCAAACAGAAUAUGUUUAACGGUAUCUUUUGUAAUAGUUAAACUGUAUUAAGAUAAUGAUAUGUAUUAUCUAUCAUGUAAAGAAUUAUAGUAAAUGUUGCGUACUUGGGAUUAGACUAUGAUAUUUGUAAAUUAAGUUUGAUUUUUAUAUUAUUGUUAUUAUUAUUAUUAUUAUUAUUCUGCUCAUAAAAAUGGUAUCGUGAAGCACCGAGUUCGGGUUUCAAGUACCUAAAUUUGGGGGCGUCACAGUAUGGUAUUAGAGCUAUAGGUUAGAAACCUUAGGUGGGUUAAACCUUAGGCUAUAACCUUAGAACAGAGGGGAACGUUGAAAAUACAAAUAACUCAUAUAGAGUUUAUAAGGAGAUGAAUUUAAUAAAUUCAUCGUGAAACAAAAUAAAAGAUAACUAAUAAAACUAUUAUUUGCUAUGUGUUUAUACUUAGUGUUAAUCCGGAUAAUUUAUUUGUAUAGAUGUCAGAUAGAAAAAGAAUUAGAAUACCCUCAGAUCAUAAAGAAAGAGCAAAUCUCCAUGACCGAGCCAAUAUUAAAGCUAAUAGCUGAAAUAGAGGCACACAUUGAAAACUACCUCAAAGAGGAGGUUAUUUUGGAAAGUAUAAUACCAGAUCCAGAGACGAUAGUAUAACAGAUAGGUUGAGUGUAGUUAAAGAAUAUAUGGUGAAGCUUGAGUUCUUAAACUCAUUUAUUUGUGGUAAGUUCUUAAACUCAUAAUGUGUAGUAAGAAAAAGGGAAGUAUUUUAGAAUACCUCAUAUCAUUCUCGAAUUACUACUUCAUCUCCUCACCAGCUCUUGAACCCUUGACCUCUAGAAACUCAAUAAUCAAACGAGUACCAAAUGUCUACAAGGAGGACUAGUAUAGUUAUGUGUUAAUGGAUUAUUGAGGAUAAUAGAAUAUAUAGAAUGCUAAGCAAUUGAUCAUUAGUAAAGACGUAAGAAAUAGAUAGUGUUAGUAUUACUUGAAUAGGUAUGAUUCUAUGUGGUGUAAAUGAUAAGUAUGUCUGUGUAAGGAAAUAUUCUCAACUUUUGUAUAAGUUAUGGCUGCGAUUCCUGACUUGUGUGUUAUAAAGGAAUAGCGGAUGUUUAAAGCAGUAUGUGCUAUGGUAUGUCAAGUGAUAUGAAUAUGAGUCUAUGUUGGAUUAACGAAAUAAGUUGAUAUAAAGAUAGUAAUUAUUUAUCUGAACACUGGUUAAUACAGUAAACCGAAUUUUCAAAAUCUAAAAUUUUGAGUACAUGAUUAUUUGAAUAGAAAGUUUUGCGUUAUUUGAGAUGCAUGUACGAUAAGGCUUAGAAUGUAAGUUAAUAAGAAUAAUUUAUGAUAAUGCCAUCGAGAAGAAGAACCUGUCAAUAAAGCUAGAAGAUAACCAGACCCGCCAUAUAAUUUUGCGAAUGUGGACGCUCAAGCUAUGCAGAACGGAAUCCCAGCCGCGGGAAAUCGGCCAGAUAAUCGAUCGACAAACUUUAGAGACUUCAAGGCAAUCGUACUGCCAAGAUUUAGAAGAUCAACUGAUCCUGUUGACGCGUUUGUGAUAGUUAGGGUAACAUAGGGGCAAAAAGACAGCUUUUGCCACCUAUACGAUGAAAGGAGAUAGUUUUGAUAAUACCUGAAAUAAGCCAAGAGUGUGAUGGAAAGGAAAGUUUGUGUGUUGCAAAUGUGGACAGGAGGGAUAUAUCUCUCCUAACUCUCCCAAUCCAAAAGUGUAUAGUGGGUGUUUUAUUUGUGAGUUAAGGGAGCAUAAGGUGAAAGACUGUUUAAGAAAGAGAAGGGAGGCAAGGAAUGCGAAUACGAGGAGAGGCAGCAGGACAUUGACGACAACGAGACCAACUUCAACAAACAAACUGACGGAAUCAACCGCAAGAGUCAUCAACAUGACUGUUUAGGAUUCGGUAGCAGCCGGGGAUGCAACUCCAAGUAUUACUCGAACCAAUUUUAUUUUCUUAUAUAUGAUUUUCUUAUAUAUAUAGUAAAUUAUUUUAUAAAUUAUUUUGAAGGAGGAAUUUGAGUUCUUUUAGAAAUCAAAUUUCUGUUUAUGAAGAUAGAUAAGCUUUUUGCUGAAUAGUUAAAGAUCAGUUAGAUCAAUUAUGAUCGAGAUCUACUUGCAAUGAUUGUAUAGGUUAUGUACCCUUAUAUGUAUAGGUUUUAAAACGGUGAUUCCGGGGACGAAAUCUUUAUAAGGGAGGGUGAAUGUAAUAACCCGAUAUUUUCUAUAUAAUUAAAUCAGAAAUUUUGUGUAUGAAUUUAUUUAUUUAUUUAUUUAUUAAAGUUGGAAAUAUGUGCCAGGUAAUGUGUAUAUGUAUAUAUGUGAUAAAUAAAAUAUAUUUAUUGCAUGAAUAAUUACCAAUAGUUUUAUUUUAGAAUUAUUGCUCAUUAUAAAUUAUAUUAUAAUAAUAAUUAGUUUUAUAGUAGAAAUGUUUUUAUUAAUUCUAUUCUAUGAAAAUGUGUUUAUAUAUUAUUUAAAAAUUAUAUGAAAUGAUUAAAGACUUAUUAUAAUGAUUAUUCUGUUUUAUUAUAUGAAUUUUAGUUCAGAUUAUUUAAGUUAAUUAUUUUAACUUAAUUAUUAUUGUUAUGUAUGCAAGAUAAAUCAGAUAUGGAAUCCAAAUCCUAAUUUUGGAUUUUGAACAACGAAUGAGAAUAAUAAUAUAAUAUUAAUUAUAUUUUUAUUCUUCAGUGCUAUAAAUAUGUAUGUUAUGUUUGUAAGGUUAAUCUGGGGAGCAAUUUCCUUAUGACCUGAUAAAACCCUAAUUUGAAAGUCAAUUACGACUGUAAAAUCUGUUAAGUCAUUGUGAUAUGUGGUAUAUGAUUUGUAUUAUAAGUAUUAAUGUUAAUUAUAUAAAACCCUAAUUAGUAAUUUAAAACUCUAUUUUUCUUAUAUUAGAAACCCUAAACAGUAAUUAGCUAUCCGCUAAGUGGAAACCCUAAUUUAAAACUCAACUAUGAGUUUGAGACUAUUAUGUAACUGUGUUAUUAUGUUUAAGGUUAAGUAUUAUAGAAUUUUAUAUUAAUUAGAGAAACCCGAAUUAACAUUUAGAAAUCCUAAUUUCCAGAAACCCUAAUUUCUAAAUUAGUAAACCUAAUUUCUAAAUUAGUAACCCUAAUUUACUAAAAUAAAAUCCUAAUUGUUAAUUUAGCACGCUUAAUGAUAAUUAGUAAAAUCUAAACCUAAUUUUCAAGUCUAUGUAAUGAGGAAACCAAAUUAAUUACGAAACCUUAAUUUGUAUUUUUAGAAACUAAAAAUUUCAAUUUUUGUUUAAAUUAGAAAUCCUACAACACUUUGUGCUAAACCUUAUGGUCAAACCCUAAGGGUCAAACCCUAAGUGUUUGAUAAGUUACUAGUUUGCCCUUAAAUUGGUUAGCCAAAUGACAAAAAUACCCCUCUUGCAUUAUUGGACAUAACUUGUAAGACUAACCAAUUUUGAGUUGCUCAACAACUCUUACCAGCCCCAUUUGACUAAAAUGCCAGCAAUUAGCCAACUUGAUUUCAUGUUAUAUAUAGAGAGAUCAGGAAAGAGAAAUUUCAUUUAUUAGCCACAUUUGUACAAAAAACUCCUUACCAACUCUCUCUCUCCCAAAACCCACGAAAUGUUGUAGUAGAUCAGUCCCAUAUUAAAGCCCCACUAACACACUUAACCAAAUCAGCAGCCAGAAUCAAGAAUUGAUGUUUAAAGGUAUAAAAUCCUAAGUUAAAGUUUUGAUCUUGUAUGCUAUAUUGGAUUUAUGGUUUUUAUGUUUAAUCAUGUAGAAUAAGGUGUUAAUAGGUGAUCUGGGUUGGCACAUGUUAGAUCCAUAACAUCAAAGUGCUCGAAAUCUAAGUUUUUCAAAAUCUGGAAUUUUUUGUUUUUGUUGUCUGACAGCGAAUGUCAGGCCUUGUAGAUCUGUGCUUGUUUAUUGUUUUGAUGAUUUAAAGGUUUGAAGUGGUAGUUUGGUAUGAGGUCUUUCAUAUGAAAGUGGAAUCACUGUUAUUGGAUGUCUAGAUCGAAAGUUAUUGAUGGUCAAAAGUCGUUGACCAACCAUGACCGAGUGUAAAUCUGGGCAACCCAGAAAGCUUUUUCAGCGUCUGACAAUGUUUUGGAAGGCUUAGAUCUGUCAGUGUGUAAAUGAUUUGAUGAUGUUAUAAUAUACAGUUUAUAGCCUGUCAUAUGUACUUUAUAUUUGUGGCUUUAGAUCCUUUAAACAAACAAUUGAUCAAACUUAGUGGAUGGUCAAACUUGGCCCCUCGGUCACGAUUUCAUUUCUGGGAAUUUCCAGAAAAUCGGAAGAACAGCCCUCUGACAGGGUUUGACCAAGUUAUAUCUUGUAGAUCUGUUGAUGUUAAACUGAUUUGUUGUUAUAUUAUUGUUCCUGGACAUAAGGACUACAUCUUUGAGGCAUUAGAUCACUUGAAUCAUGAACGGAACCUAGAUUAAAUCGAGGAUGAAAGUGACUGGUCGACCACCUGGGUUUCUGGAAAACCCAGGAAUGCUCUGACAACAUAUUUGCAAGCCUAGAUCUCCUUGUGUGUUUGUUGUAUGACCUAGAUAUUGAUUGCUAGUUAUAGUGUUGUAUAAUGACUUCAAUAUUGAUGCUUAAGUUUGCCCAGAAACGAAUUAGACAGAGAAUUAUUAGUGGUCAAAGUUGACCCCUCAAACACAAAGCUAUAAGUGUUCUUGAGCUCAAGAACACCAACAGCGACGCUUACUGUCGCUAAAAGCCAAUAACGACGGUUUCUAAUACUUUUAAUUUCUGAUUUUUCGAAAAAUACUUAAAAAUAGAAAAUAAAUUAUAAAAAUUACAAAAAUGGUUUUAAAAAUUAUUUUCAAUUAUGAAAAAUAACUUUUAAUUAUUUGGGAUAUUUUUCAUUAAUAUUUAUAUAUUUUUUAAUAUUAAUAAUAUUUAAUUUAUUUAAUUAGUGUAUUAAAUAAACUAGAGAAAAAUGAUUUUAAUGUUAUAAAAAUCAAUUGAAAUAAGAAUAAAGUGUUUAAAAAUAUUUUUGAGUUAUAUAUGUAACUUUUAAUAUUUUUGUGAUGAAUUUCAUUAAUUAAUUAAUAUUGGUGAUAAUUAAGUAAUUUAAUAAAUGUAUUAAAUAAAUUAUGAAAAAUAGAAUUUGUGAUUUAAAAAUCAUAUAAAAGUGAUUUAAAGAUUAUAAAAAAAUAUUUAAAGUUAUAAAAUAUAACUUUUGAUAUUUUGUCAUGAAAAAUAUUAAUAAUUUAAUAUUAAUAAUAUUAGAUUUAUUUAAUGAUUAUAUUAAAUAAUUUAGUUUAAAAAUAAUUUUAUUAUUAUAAAAAUCAUUUUAAAUGAAAAUAAAGUGUUUAAAGAUAUUUUAAGUUAUAAAAUAUAACUUUUAAUAUUUAAAGGAUAAUUUCAUUAAUAAUUUAAUAUUAAUGAUAUUAAUUUAAGAUUUAUUGAUAUUAAAUUUAUUUAAUAAUUAUAUUAAAUAAAUAUUUUUAAAAUGGUUUUAUUAGUUUAAAAAUCAUUUAAAAGGAUAUAAUUGAAUUAAAAAUAUUUUAAGUUGGAAUUAAUGACGUUUAAUAUUUGGAUAAAUAGUAAAUUAAUAUUUUAAUAUUAAUGGUAAUUAUUUAAAAAUGAUUUUAAAUGUUUUAAAAAUCAUUUAAGGGUAGUAUUAGUACUUUAAAAAUAUUUUGAGUUAUUAUCAAUAACUUUAAUAUUUUGGUAAUGAUUAUAUUAAUAAUUUAAUAUUAAUUAAAUAUUAAUGAUAAUAUGAUUAUGUACUAUUUAAAUCAUUUAAUUAUGAUUCCAGUGUUUGAAAUUUCAUAAUAAAUUAUAAUAAAUGUUUAAAAAUUAUUAUAAGUCAUUUAAAAAUAAUAUGAUUGAUACUUGUAGAUAUUGAGAUACAAUAUAGAGUCUUAGACUCGAUAUUUACCCAAUAAAGCCGUCGGUAGACCGACAUAUUUUAAAAAUUGAUCUAGACUUAGAUAUUUGACUGUAUUAAUGUUUGUUUGUGAUUUAAUGAUUGUUGAAUAUGUGUGACAAUGUGAUUAGGUUAUGUCCUAACUGCAAUAAGAAGUGCUAUGUGUUAUAGUAUGUUAUUCUAAUCGAACAAAUGAUUUUAUUAAUGAUAGGUUUUGGUAUUAAAGAUAAAACUAAGUUGUGUAUUGUAAGUAGCAGACCAGACAAGUAUCCUAUCUUUGCAUUUUCAUUAUGCAAUGGACAUGAGUAAGAAGUUUAGAACUGUAUUACUACUGUAUCAGAUUAUUAACCCUAUUGUUAUAUAUGUUAUAUCCGAUUAUUGUUUAUCAACAUUGUGACGACCCCAAAAUAGUUAUACAACACCCAUUCUGAGUCGCCAUAAUACAUGGUACAGAAAGAAAACUACAACUUCACUAUUACAAUUGUCAUGCAAAAUACGACAACACAUACUGUGAGUUUAAAUACAAAUAUUGUCUUCUAGACAAUAUCCACAAUCAAAUAAGUCCUCAAUACAUUUAUUAAUACAUUAUUUUACAAAAAUAGUGAGGACUGCUAAAAUAACUAUCUUGAAUCAUCACUCCAUACCCCGGCUAGUCCCUGCUAUAUUCUCACCUCCUGAGAAGAAAAAUGGAACAACAAGAAAAAGGGUGAGUUCAACUAGCCCAGUAAAGAAUAUUAUGACUAAGAUAAUAUACAACAAAUUAUCAUUAGUCCUCAACAGGGAAAAAUCUGAUAGAAUAUAAUAGACAACAAGUUUUAGAUCAGCAAAUGCAGCGGAAACAACAAUCCAUUAGAAGAGUCACGUAGAGAAUGAGUUCUACUAUCUUCUAAGAUUUAAAAGUCCAUCAUCAAUAUUUUAUCCCUGUAACAACAAUCAAUAUACAUCUUUACACUACAGGCCAAAGAUAUUCAUUUAAAUCACCAGUCGGUCAUGUUCAUCUCAACACCUGUUCAUCUUUGCACUACGGGCCAAAGAUAUUCAUCAGUUUAUCAUUCAUCUUUGCACUACAGGCCAAAGAUAUUCAGUAAUAUCAUCAUUUAGGACUGAGGAUGAUGAAAAAUAUUUUUUUUUAAAGAAACGAAUCCAGUGAAACAAAAGGACAAGGAUUAAGAAUUCGUACUUUAGUUUGUCCAAAUUCAAAAAUACUCCAUAAUAAACAAUUAUGGGACAAAUUUUAAGAAUGAAGAUCAAAACAUGGAUAUAAUCAAAGCUAGUAUCAUAAUGGACAUUUUGGAUAAAAAGGAAAUUUUUUAUUUUUCGGUGAAUAAUGUCGUAUUCGUGAAUAGUGCUGUAUACGUGAAUAGUGCCGUAUACGUGAAUAGUAACCCCGACACAAAAAGUUCCAAAUUUGAUAAAAAGAUCAGAUCAAUAUUUCGACGUAAUGAUAUUGACGAAAAUAAUAUCAUUCAUGAAGAAAAUAAUAUUCCUUACCUCAAAGAAGCAGUACUUCGGAAUGAAAGGUCGGAAGUGAUGCUGAAUGAAACUUGUACUGAACAACAACUCUCAAAGUAUCUAAAUACUCACAAAAUACGCUCGAUAAUAUAGAGAGAAAGAGAGAAAGCUUAUGUUUCUUGUGUGAUUUUCAAUUCUAACUUAGCCAUCUAUUUAUAGAAAAAUGUUAACCCGCCGAAGCAGACUUGACCUGCUACCUGAUGGCUUUACCUGUUACUAUUGCCACCCACCACAUUUAAAAUUCAAUUUGAGCACAUUUCUCACCAACCACAAGUGGGGCCCAUUCAAUUCUAGAAUUUUCCACCAAAAUCAUUUAUAACCCUAAUUUCCGAAGCAGUCACCUCUUAAAAUUCAUAACAAAUCAUUCGUUCAUUUUUAACGGUUCAAAAUUUGUGGACAUAUACCCAACUUAUAUAUGUAUAACAUAACCAAAAAUCACAACAAUCCAACGGUCAGAGUAAAAAUUAUAACUCACGCAAUAUAUCGUAAAAAUACUGAUUUGAUUUUUAAUACCUCCAUUCCGACAAAAAUAUAGAUAAAACACCUCAACAUUAACUCCUUCAAUUAUAAUCACAUAAAAUAAACAAAUCCAUCAUUUAUAUAAAAUAAAUAUUUCCUUAUCAUAUAAAUCAAUAAUUAAUUAUUCACAAAUAAUAUUAUAGAAUCACAAUUAUGACAACCAAGCCGUUUCCAGGAAAGAGGGGGCUUUCCAAUAAGGAUUUCUCCUUACUGGCGCGCAAUUAGAUGACCUAACCUCUCCUUAACAGAACUUUCUAGACAUUGCCAAUAAUGCUAUCUAAUAAUAUUAUUAAAGCAAUAUGAAUUAUUGAUCUGAUAAUGGGAAAUACUGUGCAGUAACAAUAAUUGAAAUAAUAAUAAUAUAAAAUAUCAACGCAGCAAUUAUUGAAUCAAUAAAAUAAAAUAUUAAACAGUAACUACUGUAACAAUUAUUGAGUAGUGCCUUCUUACGUAAGAAUCAAUAAUUCAACUAUACUGUGUAAUACCGUGUGCUACUGUGCAACUACGCGUAUUACUGUAUUUUAACCACCAGGUAAUCCAACAGUGUUAACGGUAACAACUGCGCCGUUAUUUAUAAAAACACAUACUUGUCGUUUUCCUUCAUCCAACCAUUUUUCAUUAUGGGGCCCACAAAUGGCUGCGCCGUCGUACGAAUAUUCCCUGACAGCAAGAAUAUUCCACGACGAAACGAAUAUUCCCCGACAACAAUGAAUAUUUUAUAACCACUUGCUUAUUUUGCAAAAUUUGCUUAUCUCAUCCAUAACCAAAAUAUUAUAUCAAAUUAACACCUUAUUAUUCACAAUAAUAAUAAUUAGAGGAAAUUCAAUUUCAUUUAUAAAAAGUUGGGGUCUUACAAACAUGAUAUUAUAUUAUAUAAUUCAGAUAUAUAUUCUGUUCGUUAAUUUCUAAAAAUGAUUUAAUCACAUGUUGAUAUAUAUAUAUAUAUAUAUAUAUAUAUAUAUAUAUAUAUAUAUAUACCUAUUGAACCCCAGUAUGUAUACAUUAAGUAAAAGUCGUCUAAGCUAUUCAACUAGCUAGACACAGAUUUAGAUAUAUCAUUGAAUAUGAUAAAACUUUUUUGUAUCCAAUCAAAUUGUUUUGGUUCGGAUUCCAGACUAAGUAUGAACAUCCAGAACAUGGGAAAACUUUUAUGCACCUAAGACGGACAGAGUGAAUGAUAAUAUCGUUCUUGCAUGCAGUAUUGAUCAAUACAGGGUCCUUGGGAUGUACACCCUCGUGCCCAUAAGUUAUGACGGUUUGCAAAUGAAGUUCUACUUUACCUUUUUGAAAAUAGAAAAUAAUGUUCAUAAUAUGUCACCCUAACCCUAUAUAUAGUCAAUACGUAGUUUCAAAAAUGUGAGAUAGAGUUGUUAUGUUAUUAUUAUCGGUUUAGUUUACUUCACAACUAUUGAAUCGUUGUAGAAGUAAUGUACAAAGAAAACAUUUAAUUCUUUCAGAUAAUUAUAUUUAUAAUUGUUAUUACUUGCUGGGCACUCAAAUGCUCAUCCUUGCUUAAUUUAAAUGUUUUCAGCUAAGCGUGAUCAAUCUGAAGGUUUAGACAAUAAUAAGUGAAAAGGAAAGCAAACAGAAUAUGUUUAACGGUAUCUUUUGUAAUAGUUAAACUGUAUUAAGAUAAUGAUAUGUAUUAUCUAUCAUGUAAAGAAUUAUAGUAAAUGUUGCGUACUUGGGAUUAGACUAUGAUAUUUGUAAAUUAAGUUUGAUUUUUAUAUUAUUGUUAUUAUUAUUAUUAUUAUUAUUCUGCUCAUAAAAAUGGUAUCGUGAAGCACCGAGUUCGGGUUUCAAGUACCUAAAUUUGGGGGCGUCACAAAUAUGGCUCAGUUAUUGGAGCGCGAUAAUGAGUCAACCCAACCAAGAGAGAGUAGCCGACAAAAUGAUAAUACCAGUGGUAGCAGUCAUCGAAGCGGUGUCAACAAACGUGGAGGGAAUCAACAUGCUAGAAAUGGUAACCACUUCGGUAGUAAUCAUGGCGAAGAUAAUAAAAAUGGAAAUUUCAAGAAGAGGAGAAUCAACAAUGAUGGAAAGACGUCAGCACCAGAACCCGUUGGUAAGGAAGGAGAACGACCAGCGAUCGUAUGCUACAAAUGCGGAGGGGAGGGAUACAUCAGUCCAAACUGUGCGCAGCCGUCCAAAAUGUAUUAUAAUUAUGGAAGAGAAGGUCACCUAGCUCGAUUUUGUCUUGCAAGGAAGCCAAGUCAAGCUGGGAUGGAGGCACCAAAGGUCAUCCCAGAAAAGUCAAAACCAGUAGUUCAAGGGAGAGCGUUUUUCGUGACCUCCCAGAAAGCAAGGAACCUGAACGAGGUUAUCAUGGGUAAGCUAAUCAUAAACUCUAGCGAAGUAUAUACCUUAUUUGAUAACGGUUCUACCCAUUCUUUUAUUUUACUAUUGGCACUCAACGUUUAAAUUUAACUCUGGAGAAAUUAGACUUUGACUUAUCUGUUAAAACUCCGUUGGGAGAAACCUUCAUUACAUCCACUGUUUAUAAGUCUUGUUUAGUUCAAAUCGGUACCCUCACAUUACCUGUCGAUCUUAUUUCUUUAAAAAUACUUGCAUUUGAUGUGAUUUUAGGGAUUGAUUGGUUAACUACUCAUCAUGCAAAAAUUGAUUGUUUUCGUAAGGUUGUUAGCUUUCAUAUUCCUAACCAACCUAUUAUGCGAAUUCAAGCAACCAAACCACUAAAGUCAAUCACUGUCAUAUCAAGCCAUAAAGCUAUUCAUUUAUUGAAAAAUAGAUGUCAAGCUUUCUUAGCCCAUGUCACAAAUUUAAACAAAAAUACGUCAUAUUUGAAUGAUAUUUCUAUUGUUAAUAAAUUUCCAGAUGUAUUCCCUGAAGAACUUCCUGGCCUACCCCCAGAGCGUAAAAUUGAGUUUGUAUUGACCUCGAACUCGGUAAAAGACCCAUUUCCAAAGCCCCAUAUCGAAUGGCUCCUAUUGAACUUCAGGAGUUAAAAACCCAACUGCAGGAGUUGUUAGACAUCUGUUUCAUUUUUCCUAGUACGUCUCCUUGGGGUUCUCCUGUUCUAUUCGCAAAGAAGAAAGAUGGGAGUAUGCGACUUUGUAUUGACUAUCGGGAGUUAAAUCAUGUCACUAUCAAAAAUAGGUACUCGUUGCCUCGCAUUGAUUACCUGUUUGACCAGUUGUAAGGAGCCAAAUUCUUUUCAAAGAUCGAUCUUCGUUCUGGAUAUCACCAGUUAAAGAUUAAAACUGAUGACAUCCGAAAGACUGCUUUCAGAACUCGGUACAGGCAUUAUAUAUGAAUUCCUAGUCAUGCAUGUCCGUUGGAUUGACUAAUGCUCCUGCUGCUUUCAUGGAUAUGAUGAACCGAGUAUUCAAGGAAUAUUUGGAUCAUUUUGUGGUCAUUUUUAUUGAUGACAUCCUCAUAUACUCCAAAAUCCGUGAAGAUCAUGAGCAACACUUGAGGUUUAUACUUCAAAAGUUUCGUGAAAACAAGCUUUAUGCCAAGUUGAAGAAAUGCGAGUUCUGGCUUAAGGAAGUGGCAUUCCUUGGGAACGUGAUAUCAAUUCACGGAAUAUCUGUUGACCCAUUGAAGAUUAAAGCAAUUCAGAGCUGGGAGCAACCUAAGUCAGUGACCGAAGUACGUAGCUUUCUGGGCUUAGCUGGUUAUUAUCGGAGAUUCAUGGAUGGAUUUUCUCGAAUUGCUACUCUAUUAACUCAGCUGACUCGAAAAGAUACAAAAUUCGGUUGGAGCGAGGAAUGUGAGAAAAGUUUUCAAGAACUCAAGAGAAGACUCAUUUCAGCACCUGUUCUGAUAAUACCAUCUGGCUCGUAGGGAUUUAUCAUCUACAAUGAUGCUUCAGGCAAAGGGUUAGGAUGUGUUCUCAUGCAACAUGGGAAAGUCAUAGCCUAUGCAUCAUGACAACUCAAAGAAUAUGAGAGGAAUUAUCCUACUCAUGAUCUAGAGUUGGCAGCUGUCGUUUUUGCGCUUAAGAUUCGGAGGCAUUACCUGUAUGGAGAGAAUGUGGAGAUCUAUACGGAUCAUAAAAGCCUCAAAUAUUUCUUCACUCAAAAGGAGCUCAACAUGCGACAACGACGUUGGCUUGAGCUAUUGAAAGACUACGAUCAUACCAUUUAAUACCAUCUUGGAAAAGCGAACGUAGUAGCUGACGCAUUGAGUAGAAGAUCAUAUGCGGGUACGAGUGCGAUAUUGUUAACGCAAAGACCCAUUUUGUAUGACUUACAAAGGAUGGAAAUAGAGUUAAAGACUCUAGGGACCCAAGUGAUGAUGGCAAAUAUACGAUUAGAACCGACUUUAAUCGAUAAAGUUAAAGCUGCUCAACUUACGGACCUGGAGCUGAUGCGUAGUAGGAAGAAAGUACAAGGUGCUAUCCUGGAAGCAAGAAUCGAUGAAGAAGGAAUACUAUGAGUCAACUCUAGACUUUGUGUUCCUAACGACCCUAAUUUAAAGUAUAAAAUCAUGAUGGAGGCGCACAACACACCGUUUGCAAUCCAUCCUGGGAGUACCAAAAUGUAUCGUGAUCUUCGACAUAUAUUUUGGUGAAGUAAUAUAAAGAGAGAGAUAACAGAGUUUAUCUCAAGAUGUUUAACUUGUCAACGUGUCAAGGCGGAGCAUCAAGUGACAAAAGGUCCAUUGCAACCACUUGAAAUUCUAGAAUGGAAGAGGGAGCACAUUACCAUAGAUUUUGUUAUUGGUCUUCCCAAGGUUUCUCAAGGCAUAGUUGCAAUUUGGGUCAUUGUUGAUAGAUUGACCAAGUCUGCUCAUUACUUACCUAUACGAGAAACCUAUACACUUGAACGUCUUGCUCGUAUAUACAUAAACGAGAUUGUAAGACUGCAUGGUAUACCAGUAUCCAUAGUUUCUGAUCGAGACCUAAGAUUACUUCACGAUUUUGGGUCAGUUUGCAGAAAGCUAUGGGCACGGAUUUGCGAUUCAGUUCUUUGAUGCCCCCAAAAUAGGUAUACAUCACCCAUUUUGAGUCGCCAGAUACAUGGUACAAAAUUCAAAUACAACUUAAUUAUACAACAGUCGUGUAAAUACGACAAAACAUAAUCUAAGAGUUUUAAUAAGAAUAUUGUCCAUCUAACAAUAUCCACAAUCAAUGGAGUCCUCAUUACAUUUAUAAUCACACUAUUUCACAGAAUAGUGAGGACUACUAAUACAAACAUCUGGACCGUCACUCUGUUCCCCGACUAGACCCAGCUACGUUCUCAUUUCCUGAAGAGAACCAUGAAAGAAAAGGGUGAGCUCAACUAGCCCAGUAAGAAAUAUUAUGACUAAGAUAAUGCAAAAUAAAUUAUCCUUAGCCUUCAACAGUAUAACAACUGAUAGAAUAUAAUAGACAACAAGUUUUAGAUCAAAAACUGCAGCGAAAUAAGCAAUCCAUUAGAAGAGUCAAGUAGAGCAUAAAAUCUACUAUCUUCUAUGAUUUAAAAAGUUUUUCAAAAUUUUUAUCGCUGAGACUCAGCUUAAUAUAUAUAUAUAUAUAAAAGCAAUAAACGCACCGGAUGUAGACUUACAGUGGACUGCCAAAGUAGACUUCUUGGACUGCAAAUGGAUGAACACUCGUCUCUCGCCGGACUAAAAGUAGCUAUAUACGAGCUAACUAGUGUUUAAAGAAAAGGAAACACUCAAAAGAUGUGUAUGCAGAGCUAAACGGACAGGGCUUCCUCGCCUUUUUCCCUCUCUUCCUUCUCUCAAAUGGCUGACCCCCCCUCUAUAUUUAUAGACGGAUGGCCGCAGGUCUACCUGCGGCUGGUCGUGGUGGGCCCGGGCAUCGCGGGUCUCGUCGUCUUGUAGUACGUGCACUUGCGCACGGUAAUGUCCAAUCGAACUUUCAGAACUUCAAUCCUAGCAUCCAAACGAAGCGUGUCUGUACUUCUUCGGACCGCUGGUGUCGAGAGUUACGUAAUGACAUGGAUUAGAGGUUGUACGAAGUCAGGAAGCGGGGUAUAUGCCCAUGGUCUUCAGGCUUCAAAUUCUAUCCAAAGUAUUGUCACAGGUAAUAGUCACUCGGGAUUGUCAUUCCUCGGUUAUUUGGGACAUUGUUGUAUGUAUGUAUGUCUGAAAGGUUGAGACGACGUGCCAUUUGUUGGACGAACAAGAUGAUGUUUGACUCUUUGCCGGAGUUAUCGCCUGGUUGAGCUGAAAGUAACCGUUGCUCAGGUUACAUCUGAGAUUGGACUACUUGUUGGUAUGCUGCUAUAUCAUCUUGUUACGAGAUGACGUUGGUGACUCCUCACCGGGUUUAUCGCCGGUUUAAGCGGAAAGCAGACGUUGAUCAGGGUUACAGCUAAGAUUGGACCGCCUAUUUGUAUGCCUCACUGUCAUCUGUGAUUGAAGCUGAUUGCAUGUGUUUGCAACAAGCAAUUCUGGAGUUAUCGCCGGAACUGCGAUGGCAUCACUUGGGGUUAUCACCAAGGAUGGGACUACUACUCCCAAUGUUGUCUCUGGGACUGGAACUGAACGUCGCGGUGUCAUCACCGAGACAGGACUGUCCUCUCCGGUGUUGUUGCCGGUCUUUUGAUCUGCACAUCUCGGGGUUAUCUCCGAGAUUGGAAAUGACGUGCCCGGUGUGUGUUCCGGGUUUGGAACCGAUGCUCCCGGUUUGUGUUCCGGUUUGGAGCGAAACUUCCGGUAGUAUCUGGACUUGUUGUGAGCUGUCUUUCAGGGUUAUCUCCAAAAGACGAAUCUACCCUCCUGCAAUGUUAGUAAUAGGAGUGCAGAAAAUUUCGAGUGUCUACAACACCUAGCAACCCAGAUCAUCACUAUAGACUAAAAACAACAUAUUCUAACACCCAAACAUAACAUUUAACAACAUAUCAAAGGUCAGAUUUUUAGGUUUAGUGUUAUACCUUCUUGCUCAAUUUCUUGAUUUUAUGUUACUGAUUUGUUAUGGGAUUUCGUGGGGCUUGAAAAUGGGACAAAAAUGCUAUAGAUUUUCGUUGGUUCUAGUGAGAGAAGCUCUUGGUUGAGUGUUGUGCAAUUUUUAGUGAACAAAUGCAUUUUCUCUAUCCUUAAAUCUAUUUAUAGACAAAUUAGAUACAUGAAUGGCUGAGCUAGAACUUGUUGUUGUCAAUUUAGUGUCACAUGGCUACUCUAGGGUUAGCCAACCACUCCAUCUAGACCUAUUUCUACAAGCAAGCUUCAAUAAUACAAUAGGGCACAAAAGUCUUUUGGCUAGCAAUUUUAAGGGCAUUUUUAUAACUUGUCAAACCCUUAGGGUUUAACCCUUAGGGUUUAGCACAUAACACAAAUGAUUUUUAGCAACUUAGGGUUUGAAUAAAAUAAAAUUAUUUUAGCUUCUAAAAUUUGAAAAUCAAGAUUUGUUAAUUAGAUUAAGUUAGUAAUUAUAUUAUACAUGAACAUUAGGGUUUAGUACCACUAAUCAUAAUUAACCUUGCCAAAAUAGCAAUUAGGGUUUAAGAUUUUAAUAAUUAGGAUUUCUAAAACUCAAUUAGGAUUUUCUAAUUAUCCAAUUAGGGUUCUGAACAUUAGGGUUUUAAUUUAAUAAUUAUGUUUACCAUAAUUAGCAAUUAAAGUCUAUUGUACGUGUUAUUAAUCACAGUAACAUAAUUUUUGACAGAUAAAAUUCUUCAGUUUAAGUUUUGAUUUAGGGUUUCUAAUAUCAGAAAUUCAAAUCUAAUUAGGGUUUGACAUUUAUAAUUAGGGUUCCCUAAUUGGCAUAUCAUUAUGUAACACAACAUAUAACACAGUUAUAUAACAGUCUCAAAUUUCCCAUUUAAAUUGAAAAACAGGGUCAAACCAAUUAAUGCUAGGGUUUGGUCAAUAUACACCAUAAUUGACCAACCAUCAACAGUACGUACAUACAGUACAUAUUUAUGGCACUGAGAAAUUAAAAUAUUAUAAUAUUAUAUAUUAUUCUCAUGCCUUGAUCAAAACCCAAAAUUAGAGUUUGGAUUCCGUAUCUGAUUUAUCUGCCAUAAAUAACCUUAUUAAUUAAGUUAAAAUAAUUAACUUAAUAAUCUGAACAAAAUUCAUAUAAUAAAAUAAUUAUUAUAAUUAUUCUAACAUCAUUUCAUAUAUUACUUAUAUUUUCAAGGAAAAUAAUUAAUAAAACAUUUCUAAUAUAAAAUUAACUGUUAUAAGAAUAUAAUUUAUAAUAAUUAAUAUUUCUAAAAUAAAUCAAUUUGUAAUAAUUAAUGUAAUAAAUUUUAUUUAUCACACAUAUAAUUAUACACAUAUUACCUUGGCACAUAUCACCCAUAUUUAUUUUAAUAAAUAAUAAAAAAAAAAUUUAUACGCAAAAUUUAUGAUUUAUUUAUAUAGAAAAUAUCGGGUUGUCACAUUCUUCACAUUCAUCAGAUUCGGGUGUGUAGCUUGAGCGGCUUUAACUUUAUCGAUUAAAGUCGAUUCUGCUCGUAUAUUCGUUAUCUUCACGUGGGUCCUUAGAGUCUUUAACUCUAUCUUCAUCAUUUGUAAGUUAUACGAAAUGGGUAUUUGUGUUAACAACAUCGCACUUGUAAACACAUACGAUCUUCUACUCAAGGCGUCAGCUACUACGUUCGCUUUUCUACGAUGAUAUUGAAUGGUAUAGUCGUAAUCUUCAAUAGCCCGAGCCAACGUCUUUGGCGCAUGUUACGUUCGUUUUAAGUGAAGAAAUAUUUGAGGGUUUUAAAAAUGGGUUUUGUACUGGGGUCAAUACAAAAUUUGAUUUCACGCUCUAGGGGUAGGCUAAGAAGUCUUCAGGAAUACGUCAGGAAACUUAUUAACGAUAGAAAUAUCAUUCAAAACUGUGACUCUCAUCCCAAGACUUGGAUAGCCCGUCAUAUUGAUACCUAUCAACUUGCCACCGUUAUUCACGGCGUCCCCUACGGAUAGUCUGGCUUCGGUGUAUUCCAAGACUUGGAAGUCAUCAGCGAAAGGCUUAGGUCUCUUUACUUAUGGCUUGAUAUGACAAUGAUUGGCUUUAGUGGUUUGGUUGCUUGAAUUCGCAUAACAGGUUGGUUAGGAAUAUGAAAGCUAACAACCUUACGAAAAGCAUGAUGAGUAGUUAACCAAUCGACUCCUAAAAUCACAUCAAAGGCAAGUAAUUUCAAAGAGAUAAGAUCGACAGGUAACGUGAAAGUGUCGAUUUGAAUUAAACAAGAUUUAUAAACAGUGGAUGUAAUUAACGAAGGUUUCUCCUAACAUAGUUUCAACCGAUAAGUCAAAGUCUAAUUUCUCCGGAGUUAAGUUCAAACAUUGAACACAACUAGGUGAAAUAAAAGAGUGAGUAGAACCGGUAUCUAACAAGGUAUAGACUUCGCAAGAGUUUAUGAUUAACUUACCCGUGAUAACUUUAUUCAGGUUUCUCGUCACGAAAAACGCUCUCUCUUAAACUACUGAUUUUGACUUGUCUGGGACAUCCCAGUUGGACUUAACUUUGCUGUAGAGUACAUUCCACCCUUAAUUGCUUCAUCACAUUCCUGAUCCAUGAUUCGAAUCAUUACUCUCUGAUCCAUAUCGAAUUGGGGUUAACCGCUCUGCACAGGGUAAUUUCGAAUUCGAUGUUGGAUUCUCCCAAUUGUUGUCCAAAAAGCAAAAUCCAUUUCAUCUAUUUUAGCCUUAUUGGAUCUGACGUCUUUUUCUACAAUAUCUACACGUCGUGCGACUUUUACCCAUGCAUCAUCUAUUCUCAUUCGUUCAGUUGUUUUUUCUUUCAUCAGAACUUUGAUCAUAGCAUUCUUAAAUUCCAGCUCUAAUAUCUUAUACUCUGCCAAAGAGUGCUUCUGUUCGAGCAUCGUACAUCGGGUAACACAAUUUUGAAUUGCUACAUCUCUUUGCUCCACGACCGCCUGUCGUUCUUCAGCCUGCUCUUCUAGCUCAUGAAUACAAUUUUGUAAUUCUAAAUUUCGAUCAUAAAAUUCUUCUAAUAAAUUCACCUCAGGUUCCUCUUCUUCCUCACUCUCAGCUGCUACCUCUGCAACUAGCUCGAGUGCAACUAUUAGUUCUUCACUCACCAUGUAGAUAUCUCUAAUUUCUUCUUCGUUUGACAUCACAUUAACCUGGUUAGUGAUUAAAGGUGUCUCAACGAUCUCAUUCACUGCAUUGUUAAUAUUUUUAGCCGCCAUUUUUAAAUACUGUCAUAAAACAAGGGUGAAUUAACAUAUCACAUAUUAUCAAUAUAUUAUGACCGACCAAUUAAAUACCAAAUAAACUUAGGUAGGUCAUACUAGCAAAGGAAUUCCCCGUCUCUCCCCUCCUAGUUCUUGUCUCACAUCUCAGCCAGGGAUCAUAUCCCUAAGCUUUGAUACCAACUGUGACGCCCCCAAAACAGGUAUUCAUCACCCAUCUUGAGUCGCCAAAUACAUAGUACAAAAUUUAAAUACAACUUAAUUAUACAACAGUCGUGUAAAAUACGACAAAACAUAAUUUAAGAGUUUUAAUAAGAAUAUUGUCAUCUAGACAAUAUCCACACUCAAUGGAGUCCUCAUUACAUUUACUGUCACACUAUUUAACAGAAUAGUGAGGACUACUAAUGCUAACAUCUGGACCGUCACUCUGUUCCCCGACUCGUCCCAGCUAUAUUCUCAUUUUCUGAAGAGAACAGUGAAAGAAAGGGUGAGCUCAACUAGCCCAGUAAGAAAUAUUAUGACUAAGAUAAUGCAAAAUAAAUUAUCAUUAGCCUUCAAUAGUAUAACAACUGAUAGAAUAUAAUAGACAACAAGUUUUAGAUCAAAAACUGCAGCGGAAUAAGCAAUCCAUUAGAAGAGUCAAGUAGAGCAUAAAAUCUACUAUCUUCUAUGAUUUAAAAAGUUUUUCAUCAUUUUUAUCGCUAAGACUCAACUUAAUAAAUAAAAUUGAAUCAUCCCUGCACCACAGCGAAGUUUAUUCAUGUAAUCAUCAAUGGUCAUGACUAUACCGAAUAAUCCCUAGUCAUAAUCAUACCAACAACUGUCCACCAAUGAAUUACAUGCCAAUGAUGACUUUUACCACAUCAUUCGUCACAUUACAGUCAUGAUUAUACCGAAUAAUCCCUGGUCAUAAUCAUACCAAGUCCAUCUAUGCACGUAAGUCAAAGAUGACUAUCAUCACAAUAUAAGCAUGAAGAUGAUAACAAUGACAUAAUAAUUCAAUAAAACAAGUUCAAGGAUAAAUUUUAAAGAUUUAUAAUUUAAUUUAUCCAGGAAUCAAUAACGUCUAAUUUGUCAACAUGAUACUGCUUUGUGGAGUAAAAUUCAAGAAUGCUCAGAAGAAUAUUUCUAUGAAAAGAUACUGGAUGAAGUGCAAAUAUCUAGGAUAUUCUACUAAUUUUAUGGAGUAUAGAAGCCAAAACUUUAACCAACUGAGUAUAAUAGAAUAUAUGAAGCUGUAAAUGGAUUUUCGCCCGCCAUGCGGUAAUCCAUGUAGACAGAUCAUUUCCACAUUUUAAUAAGGAAUGAAUACGAAGGAUCAUUCACCAUGCAUGCGAUAAUCCACAUAGACAUGUUAUUCCAACAGAAUAACAAAGUAUGGAAUAACAGAAGAAUUCACCAUGCAUGCGAUAGACCACACAGACAGGUUAUUCCAACAGAAUAAUAAAGAAUGAAAUACUAAAAGAAUUCACCAGGUGUGCGUAGUCCGCACAGACAGGUUAUUCCAGCAGAAUAAUAAAGAAUAGAAUAACAGAAGAAUUUACCAGGCGUGCUUAAUCCGCACAGACAAGUUAUUCCAACAGAAUAAUAAAGAAUGGAAUAACAGAAGAAUUCUCCAGGCGUGCGUAAUCUGCACAGACAGGUUAUUCAACCAGAAUAAUAAAGAAUGGAAUAAUAGAAGAAUUUUGCCACGCAUACGGUAAUCCGUGUAUACAGGUUAUUCCAACAGAAUAAUAAAGAAUAGAAUAACAGAAGAAUUUCACCACACAUACGGUAAUCCGCGUAUACAUGUUAUUCCAACAGAAUAAUAAAGAAUGGAAUAACAACCCUGACAAGUAUUGAAAGAAAUAACUCUCUUAAUAAAUACGAAAGAAAUAAUACCCCUUACCUUAGAAGAAAACUAGAAUAGUGAGGUAGCAGACUUCUCUUCUUCUUUCUCUCUAUAAUUUCUCUCUAUAAUAAUUUCUCUAUAGCUUUAGUGAAUUGGUGAACAAUAAUGAAGGAAUGAGCUUCUAUUUAUAGAAAAAUAUAGUUUCAACAAUUGCACAUUUUGGGGCUCAAAAAAUUACAGUAUAAUAUCUUCUUCUUUUUCUUCAUUUUUAAUUUAGUCCUGCAAGUAUUAUCAAACUUGCACCACCUCCUCUUGGAAGUCCUUGAAUCAAUCAGCUCGAAACAAUCCUUCUUGGACUCAAAUUCUAGUUAAAAUUACCUUUUCUACGCGUACCCAAGCCCCAGCUUGGGUAUUGCCUUGUAAAUAGUAAGCCCCGGCUUGCUAUGCUUCUGAUUUUGAACUCAGGACCCCAAGCCCCGGCUUGGGUAUAAAGCUUAAAAGAGCAAGCCCCGACUUGGGUGCAAGCUGCUAAUAGUUUUUUCUGCUGCAGUGUCCUCAGGUAAAAUGGCCAUAACUUUUGAUCCGGGAGGAGUUACGGGGCCUGCCACCUAUCAAAUCAAAGAUAUCGACGAGAUCUACAACUUUCAUUCUUUGAGAAUUGAGUAAUAACGAACGAAUGAAGGUAGAAAUUGGACUAGAAAUGACUGUUAUGCAAAUGGCCACCCAAAAUAGCGAAGUUAUUCAACAGUCUCCUGUGCUCCAUUGAUAUUCUCAACAUUCUCGGUUGUCAUUUUCAAAUACUGCCACAAAACAAGGGUUAAAUAACAUCACAUAUUAUCUCUAUACUCUGACCGACCAAUUAAAUACCAAAUAAACUUAGGUAGGUCAUACUAGUUCCCCGUCUCUCCCCACCUAGUUCUUAUCUUACAUUUUAGUCAUGGAUCAUAUCCCUAAGCUUUGAUACCAACUGUGACGCCCCCAAAAUAAGUAUACAUCACCUAUUCUGAGUCGCCAAAUACAUGAUAUAAAAUACAAAUACAAUCUUAAAUAUACAACAUAAGUUGUGAGUUUUAAUACAAACAUUGUCUUCUAGACAGUAUUAAAACUCAAAAUAAGUCAUCAAUACAUUUAUUAACACACUAUUUCACAGAAUAGUGAGGACUACUAAUGCUAUCCUCUGGACCAUUACUCCAUUCCCCGACUCGUCCCAGCUAUAUUCUCAUUUCCUGAAGAGAACAAUGAAAGAAAGGGUGAGCUCAACUAGCCCAAUAAGAAAUAUUAUGACUAAGAUAAUGCAGAAUAAAUUAUCAUUAGUCUUCAACAAUGUUAAACUGAUAAAAUACAAUAACUGCAGCGAAAUAAGUAAUCCAUUAAAAGAGUCAAGUAGAGAAUAAAAUCUACUAUCUUUUAUGAUUUAAAAGGAUUUUCAUCACUUUUAUCGCUGAGACUCAGUUUAAUAAAUAAUCCACAUCAUCGAAUCACCCCUGCACUACGGCCAAGGAUAUUCUUUAGUAUUACAACCAUAAAUAUCCAUGCACUACGGGCCAAGGACAUUCGUGUAUUCAUUAAUGGUCAUGAUCAUGCCAAAAACUGUCCAACAAUACACUACGGUCAAUGAGGACUUUUACCACAUCAUUUGUAACAUUACGGUCGUAAUUAUACUGAAUAAUCCCUGGUUAUAAUCAUACCAAGUCCAUCUAUACACUACAGGCCACAGAUGACUUUCAACAGAAUAUAAACAUGAGGACGAUGACAAUGAUAUAUGAAUUCAAUAAAACAAGUUCAAGAAUUUAUUUGUCCAGGAACCAAUAACGUCCAAAUUGUCAACAAGAUACUGUUUUGUGGGAUAAAAUUCAAGAAUGCUCAGAAGAAUAUUUUCAUAAAAAGAUAUUGGAUGAAGCGCAAAUAUCAAGGAUAUUCCACUAAUUUCAUGGAGUAUAGAAGUCAAAACUUUAACCAACUGAGUAUAAUAAAGAAUGAAAUAACAAAAGAAAUCACCAUGCACGUGGUACUUCGCAUAGACUGGUUAUUCCAACAGAAUAAUAAAUAACGGAACCAGGUUAGGCAAAAUUCGCACCGAUAGGAUGUUCCAACUGAAUAAUAAAGAAUGGAAUAACAACAGAAAUCACCAUGCAUACGGUACUUCGCAUAGACAGGUUAUUCCAACAGAAUACUAAAUAACAGAACCAGGUCCGGCGUAAAACGCACAGACAGGAUAUUCCAACACAAUAAUAAAGGCGGAACCAGGUCCGGCGUAAAAGUCACAGACAUGAUAUUCCAACAGAAUAAUAAAUACGGAACCAGGUCCGGCGUAAAACGCACAGACAGGAUAUUCCAACAGAAUAAUAAAGAAGAAAAUAACAGAAGAAUUUCAUCAAAUAUAGGGUAGCCCGCGUAUACAGGUUAUUCCAACAGAAUAAUAAAGAAUGGAAUAACAGAAGUUCUCUUCAUGAAUACAAAAGAAAUAAUACCCCUUACAGUUACAACAAAUAAUAUCCAUUACCGUAAAAGAAACUGGAUAUAGGAAAAUAAAGUUAGCAGACUUCUCUUCUUCUUUCUCUCUAUAAUUUUCUCUCUUUAAAGUUUCAGUGAAUUCGUAAGAAAUAAUGAAGGAAUGAACUUCUAUUUAUAGAAGAAUGGACUGCAUAGUAACUAAUUCAUGAACGGUCCAGAUUGAUUUACUUUUAAUCGAACGAUCCAUAAUUAAAGCAAAGUUUUUUAAAUAAAAUAUAAUAUAUUAUAUAUAUAACAUGUGCAAGAAAAGAAAAAUCACGGGUGGAAGACCCGUGAAUUCAUCUUACUCCCUCUGUCCAUUUUUUCAAACUUACAUAUAUAUAAUAUAAUAUAAUAUAAUAUACAUAAUAAUACUCCUCCCGUCCAUUUCAUCCAUACCCCCCCACCCAAGACUUUUCAUCACAUAUAUAAUAUAAAACAUAUAUAUAUAUAUAUAUAUAUAUAUAUAUAUAAUACUCCCACUAACUUUUCCUUCAACCAACCCGUGACAAACAUAACAUUUCACCCAAGACUUUCCUCCACAAAUGGGCCCCACCCGUGGCCCUCCUAAAAUAACUUCUAUCGAUUAUUUUGAAAACUGGAUAAAUAGGGAUCCAUAAAAUACGUCAAAAUUCACAACAAUUACUAUAACAAUAAUUGAACAAAACUGAGUAGUUCAACAGUAUUAACGGUAAAACUUCCGCCGUUACUUUCAAUAAAAUAUUUUUGUCGUUUUCUCAAUCCGACAAUAAUUCUGUUGUGGGGUCCACCAAUGAUUGUACCGUCGUACGGAUAUUCCCUGACAAAAAGAAUAUUUCCCGACCAAUCGAAUAUAAUAUGACAACUUGCAUACUUUGCAAAAUUUAUAAAUAUUACCCACAAUUAUAAUAUUAUAUCAAAUUAUUCCAUAAUAUUCAAAAAUGAUAUUUAUUGAAAAUUCAUUUUUAUUCAUAAAAGUUGGGGUCUUACAGUAGUUAAAUUCUUAUUUUUGACAUUUUUCAAAUAUUUCAUCCAUGCUUUUACAAUAGACAUCUUUCACUUUGAUGGCGUUUGACAUGCUUACAACAAGUAAUAGAAAUCAUUUUACAGUCAUUAUUUGCAUUAAUCAAGCAUGUUAGUCACAUAGUCAAGUCGUAGUUUCAAUGGUAAUGAAUAGAUUUCUUAUAUGUAAUACAUUUUUCAAAUAUCUCAUCCAUGCUUUUAUCAUCACCAUUUUUCUCUUUGAUGGGGUGUAGUAUGAUAAUAACAUGCAACCAUACAUAUGUAUAGUUACACCAUAUUAAGAACUUAGUUACAUGAAGUUUUCAUGCUUUGCUUAGAGACUUCUAGCAUACAAGGUGCUUUUGUAACUUAUUUUAUGCCUUUGAAAAUAUUCACAACUUGGUUGAGUAAUUUAUAGUUCUUAUAACACUUUUUAGCUUUAUUCUUGUAUACAAAAGUGUAUCAUUCUUGAUUUUCCUCUCUUUCCCAAAAUAGUCCUAACAUGAUCUAUUUGGGGCAAUCAAGCUAGCUUCUCUUGACCAUUUGGGCUUAGUCAGGCUUGGGGUAGCCUAGAUUGGCCUUGCAGUCCCAAUUGGCCUCUAUCUAUGGCAUGAUUUUAUUAAUACCCUCUUCUAUUAAGGUUUACUCUCACCUAUAUCACCAUUUGAUUCUGUUAUUUAUAGGUGAGGAUUUCUUUGAACUGCUACAUGUUUGCUACUUACUUGAUUUUGUUUUCUUUCCGUUUGUAGCUAACUACUCACUAGUAGCAGCUCUCUACUUUAGAUACUAAAUUUACUAGCUUUUAAUCUCCCACUAAACUUUUGGGUCAGCAGCUAGGGGACACAACUCCCUAAUAAUAGAGCAUAUUGGUUAAUUAUCUUAAGCAAUAUAGUUGUAUUGUCUGAAGGUCUAAAGGACAAGUUCAUUACCCAGCUCAGCUACUGUUGCUAUUAGUUGUUAUUUUUCAGUAAUAGAUUGACAGUCUUCAAACUUACCAUGUUUCUUCUUUAAUAACUUUUGUCUAGAAAAUUUCUAUUGCACUAUGUGCACCUUUGAAUACUUGCUUAAAUAAGUAACAAUUACACUCUAUUUAAUUCUGCAGUUUGCAUUUCAAAUCCAAACUACGUUGCCUAUAGCAGUUUAUUGAGGAUGUUUAUUAUUGCCUUAUAGCAACAACCCCCCCUAUUUUGUAAAAUUUCCCAAAUCACAAUUUUAGAUUAACCUAGACUGCCCAAAACCAUUUUAGUAAUGGCUCAUAGCUACAGUUUUAAGCCAACUGUUGCUGCUCCUAGGUAGCAGCUACAUUUGAUUUUGUUUCAUGCCUUGAACUCUCCCUAAUUUUGGUUUACUUGCACUUUAUUUGAAAGUUAUAUAACUAACAUUUUCAACUAAUAGGGAAACUUUAAAUCAAUAGUGAAAUUAUAAUCUAUAUGAUCCAACAUGUUAGCUAAACUGACCCUAGCGAGUCCAGAACAAUGGUCUACAGUCUUCUUUUGUUUUUCUAUGCCAGCAACCAAGCUUGGCUUGGCCCUGUAAGGCUGAUCACCUAAGCUUGGUGUGGCCCUGCUUGGCCUCACGGUCCCUAAGUCAAAUCCAAAGUUGUUAUAGCAGCUGCUAUCUUGGCAACUGCUGCCAUCAAGGAAUAACAGCCCUGCCACUCUUCUUUAAUUCUUAUACUUGCAAACCCCAGAGGAAUGUUUAUACACUAACUUCAACCAUACAUCCUAGUUAGCUCUUAUAAAGUUAUAUUAAUUUGUUAAACAGACUGCCCAAAACUGCUUUAGCAGUCAUUCACUUGUCGACUGUCGCUGCUUGUUUCUAUAACCAGUAGGCAGCCGUCCCAAGUCUUAUGCCACUAAAAGCUUUUACCUCUUAGAUUGAUAUGAAAUCUUGGCAUGUUAUAGGUGAUUCAAAUUCUGAUUAUUUUUAGCUACCAACUAGACUAGGAGAAAAGCUUGCUAGUGCCACUAAAGGUUAAUAUUUCUGCUGCUGCGACAUGCUUUUUGCUGCUGCUUGCAGCUAAUUGCUGCUGCCAAUGGGCAGCUGCGCCCCUUACUUCAGGCCAUUUUUGGCUUCACAUCAAUUAGCCUAUUCACAACCCACUUUCAUUGAUCAAUAAAUGGUACACCUGCCUUCUAAGCUAACUUAGCAACUGUGGCCCAAAUGUACUAUAUGUAAAUCAAAAUGGUGUGCUAACCUUCCUGCUCGGCUCUGCAGAGCAGUGCAGCACAACGCUGGGCGUUUACUGCCAAUGCCUGCAGUAGCCUCAGCUAGCUUUGCCCAAGCUCAAACAUUUUUUUUUCUUAAAAUUUGUUUUUCUUUCCAUUAAUAUGUCAAAACAUAUUUCCUAAUCUUAUAUAAGACGUCCAUAUAUAACCCCAACUUUAAUUCCCUCUAGAAUUCUCUUUUUAGCCAAAACAGUCCACUUGGGACUUUUAACAAAUAUAUGGUGUGCACAGUUUUAAUUUACUCUUUCCAUAGCCAUUUACUUGUGUUAUAAUCUCAUGUUAGCCUCCUUAUUACUCCACAGCCACCUAUCUCCUUGUGCCUAAAUUACAUACAUCUAGCAUGCUAGUGAAUAACCUUUACAACAAUAAAAAAGUAAAAUAAAUGCUAUGUGACUUUACCAGGCCAUUCGGCCAUAACAGUCCAUCACAACUUGCACGAAAUAGUGUUAAACAAGAUAGUUUAUUACUUGAUAACUUUUCCUUAAAAGUUUGAUAUCACAACUUUUACAGAAGAUUACAAUUACCCAUGACAAGUAUAAUUUACUAACACAUCUACAUUACAACAUUAAUAAUACUAACAAUAUAGCAGCCCCUUCUUUUUUCUUUUCAGGCCAUUCGGCCACUGUAGAUUACUAGCAGCAAGAAACUAAAGUGGAAAAGGAUUGGAAAUCUUACCUUAUUGAUUCGAAGGAAACAAAGAAGUUAUACUGCCCAGCUUCUCCACCUACUCUUAGCCGAACUCUUCCACCCUCUCUCUAUAUGACCGAAUUGCUAUAGCUAUUUUGUCUCUACUAAGUGAUGAAGCUAAACUAGUUAAUAAGCUUGGCCCCUUUUUUAUGGCUGAGCUUGGUUCCUUCUACUGUUAACUGCAUCACCUCCUAGUUGGCCCCUACACAGUCAUCAUUCCUAACCUAGCUUCACAGCCACCCUAGCAGACUCUACUUACCUGCUAAGCCUUAUCUUCUGCAAGCUUAUCUAACAUAUUCUUUGUCUGUUAUACAAACUAACCUACCUGUUAACUAGAACCAACUUAGAAACCAUAUGCUUACAGCCUGACUAUGUACUCACGUUAUGCCACUGCUUUUCUUAUUUAGUCUGAAACAGUUAGCUUGUUAUACACCACUGGGUUUACAGGAUUGGUUUAGGUAGGAGUUUGAUAAAUACUUAAUUUGGGCUUAAACCAAUCCUCAAUGGUGGCUGCCGAAAUUGGGCUAGAAAAUGAGUUAGAAUUGGCUUUAUAUUAGACCCAAUACCAUAACCCUUAUUCCUACAUUAAUUAAAGGAGACUUGCAAACAUACAAUUGCAAAAAUUUAUUAUGGCCUAAUAUUUUAAUAUGGACUCUUGUUAAAUUAACACAUGGACUUUUAUAUAUUAUUUUCUCUAGCAACAAUAGUUAACACAUAUAUCAUUAAAAUGUCUAUUCCAUGUAAUCUUAAAUAAUUCAUGGUGGUACAAUAUUUCUUUAUCCUUCAUAAUUUAAGAUGUUUAAUAACCUAUUAAAUAAAUAAUAGUUUUGUCACAAUGAGAAAUAACAUAAUUAAAAUAAAAUAAAAAAUAUACUCACAAAUUGACAUUAUAAUAAUUAAAUAUUACAUAGGAUUUUUUGAGUCAUUACAUACGCGAUAACUCUGCCGUUCUGCAAAAGCACACAGCCUUGUCCUUUAUGCGAUGCAUCAUUGUAUACCACAAAAUUCCCUGUAUCAUCAGGCAAUGACAACACAGGUGUUGAACUCAACCUUUUCAUUAAUUCUUGAAAACUUUCCUCCCACUUCUCUGUCCAAACAAACUUAACCGUUUUCUAGUUAAAUUCGUCAACGGAGUUGCGAUCUUGAAAAAGUCUUGAAUGAAACGCCUAUAGUAACCCGCCAAUCCUAAGAAACUCCUUACUUCUGACGGUAUCUUCGGCUGAUCCCAGUUUAUUACAGCUUCAACCUUUGAUGGAUCUACCGAAAUUUCGUCCUUAUCAAUAACGUGUCCGAGAAACUGUACACGUUCCAACCAAAACUCACAUUUUGAAAAUUUUGCGUACAACUUUUCUUUUUUCAACGUCUCUAACGUCAAUCUCAAGUGUUCAACAUGUUCCUCUUUGGUCUUGGAAUAUACCAAUAUAUCAUCGAAUCAAAUCCAUGAUAUAUUGGUAUGAACAGGGUGUUUAUAUCAUUUGUCUAAGAAUGGUUUAAACACCUUGUUCAUCAAAUCCAUGAACGCUGCAGGUGCAUUGGUUAAACCAAAAGACAUAACCAGAAACUCAUAAUGACCAUACCGAGUUCUGAACGCUAUUUUUGGUACAUCCUCUGGCCUCACCUUUAACUGAUGAUAACCACUCCUCAAGUCUAUCUUUGAGAAAUAGCUUGUUCCCUUCAGUUGAUCGAACAUGUCAUCGAUUCUAGGUAAUGGAUACUUAUCUUUAAUCGUGAUCUUAUUCAAUUCUCGAUAGCAAUGCAGAGCCGUAUCGAUCCAUCUUUCUUCUUAACAAACAACAUCGGCGCUCCCCAUGGCGACACACUCAGUUGAAUAUACUUUUUGUCGAGUAAUUCUUGCAAUUAUACCAUCAACUCCUUCAUCUCUACUGGGGCCAUUCUAUAUGGUGCAUUAGAUAUCGGGGUCGUUCCUGGUAAUAAGUCAAUUACGAACUCGAUUUGUAGAUCCGGCGGAAGACUCGGCAAAUCGUCUGGAAAUACGUCUGCAAAAUCUCUUAUGAUUGGUAUCUCUUCUAACUUCGCACUCUUCUUUUGUGUAUCGACUAUGUAGGCUAAGUAUCCUACACAUUCUUGUCUCAACAACUUCUUGGCUUGCAUCACCGUUAGACAACUUGCUUGUCGAGGUGACUUGCUGCCGUAGAACACAACCUUUGAUGGAGUCAUAAGGUUAACACAUUUCCUUUCGCAAUCAAUUACUGCUCCGUAAUUGAAUAACCAAUCCAUUCCCAGUAUAACAUCAAACUCACAAAGUCUAAUUGGUAUCAAAUCUACCAUCAUCUCGUGACCUUUUAUAACCACCCUACAAUUCCUAUAUAUAAAUCUAACAGGAAUCACUUCCUUAUUCGCAAUCUCUAUGCUUAAGGGAAAUUCUAAUUCUUCCUGAGGCAAAUCUAAAUUUUGAGCAAAUUCAUUGGAUAUAAAUGAAUAAGUAGCACCCGAAUCAAAUAGUACAUAAGCAUUAAUACCAUUAAUCUAAAUGAUACCUGAGACCACAUCCUUAGACUAUAUAACAUCCUGCACGGUCAUAUUAAAAGUCCUCGCAGUAGGUCGACUUUGUGACGCCCCCAAAAUUAGGUAUACAUCACCCAUCUUGGGUCGCCACUUACAUGGUACAAAAUACAAAUACAACUUAAUUAUACAACAGUCGUGUAAGCUACGACAAAAUAUAAACAAUGAGUUUUAACUCGAAUAUUGUCAUCUAGACAUUAUUCAAACACAAAUAAGUCCUCAAUACAUUUAUUGUCACACUAUUUAACAAAAUAGUGAGGACUACUAAUGCUAUCAUCUGGACUGUCACUCCGUUCCCCGACUCGUCCCCGUUACGUUCUCAAUUCCUGAAGAGAAUAGUGAAAGAAAGGGUGAGCUCAACUAGCCCAACAAGAAAUAUUAUGACUAAGAUAAUGCAGAAUAAAUUAUCAUUAGUCUCCAACAAUGUUAAACUGAUAAAAUACAAUAGACAUCAAGUUUAACUGCAGCGGAACAAGCAAUCCAUUAAAAGAGUCAAGUAGAGAAUAAAACCUACUAUNNNNNNNNNNNNNNNNNNNNNNNNNNNNNNNNNNNNNNNNNNNNNNNNNNNNNNNNNNNNNNNNNNNNNNNNNNNNNNNNNNNNNNNNNNNNNNNNNNNNNNNNNNNNNNNNNNNNNNNNNNNNNNNNNNNNNNNNNNNNNNNNNNNNNNNNNNNNNNNNNNNNNNNNNNNNNNNNNNNNNNNNNNNNNNNNNNNNNNNNNNNNNNNNNNNNNNNNNNNNNNNNNNNNNNNNNNNNNNNNNNNNNNNNNNNNNNNNNNNNNNNNNNNNAAUAAUUAAAACGGAACCAGGUCCGGCGUAUAGCACAGACAGGAUAUUCCAACAGAAUAACUGAAUAAUUAAAACGGAACCAGGUCCGGCGUAGCACAGACAGGAUAUUCUAACAGAAUAACCGAAUAAUUAAAACGGAACCAGGUCCGGCGUAUAGCACAGACAGGAUAUUCCAACAAAAUAACUGAAUAAUUAAAACGGAACCAGGUCCGACGUAUAGCACAGACAGGAUAUUCCAACAGAAUAAUAAAGACAGAAUAAUAGAAGAAUGUCACCAAGUAUAGGGUUGCCCGCGUAUACAGGUUAUUCCAACAGAAUAAUAAAGAAAUGGAAUAACAGAAGUUCUCUUCUUGAAUACAAAAGAAUAAUAUUCCUUACCAGAAAAGAACUUAAUAUAAGAGUAGUUUCAGUAGCAGAAUACUUUUCUUCUUUCUCUCUUACAAUUUAUCUCUCUAGAGUUUCAAUGAAUUUGUAAGAAAAUAAUGAAGGAAUGAGCUUCUAUUUAUAGAAAAAUGGAAUGCAUAGUAACUAAUUCAUGAACGGUCCAGAUUGAUUUACUUUUAAUCGGACGGUCCAUAAAAUAUAUUAUAUAUAUAUAAUAUAUAUAUAUAUAUAUAAUAACAAUAAUACUCCCUCCGUAUAAACCAAAAAAAUAAUUUGACAACUUUGAAAAAAACUCCCAACCUUUCAAUUUUCAAUACCGUGGGCCCCACAUGUUCCCCUCCCCCCAACAUGUCAAUAUCACAAGGGUCUCAUUAUAUGUAAAUAACUUUCUAUCAAUAAUAUUGAAAAAUAGGUAAAUGGGGGUCUAAAUAAUACGCCAAAUUUACAACAACUACCUCAUAAAAAUCCCUUCAAUAUUUUUAACAAUAUUUAUCAUCUUUAUUACAAUUCACAAUAUUAAUCGACCAGGUCGUUCCCAGGAUAGAGGGGGCUUUCCAAUAAGGAUUUCUCUCUAUUGGCGCGCAAUUAGAUUAUCUAACCUCUCCUUGACAGAACUUCUAGACAUCGUUAAUAUUGCAAAUAAUAACAUUAAUAACUUUGUCGUCUCAAUUAUUGAUUUAAUAAUAUAAAGAAUAUCAACAAUAAUUGAAUCAAAUAACGUGAGAUACUAUGCAACAAUUACUAUAACAAUAAUUGAAUAAAACUGAAUGACUUCUCACGUAAGCAUAAAUAAUCAAUACCGUGUGCUACUAUGCAACCACGCGUAUUACUGUACUUUUACUACUGAGUAGUUCAACAGUAUCAACGGUAAAACUUCCGUCGUUAUUUUCAUAAAAAUAUUUUUGUCGUUUUCUCAAUCCGACAAUAAUUCUGUUGUGGGGUCCACUAAUGAUUGCGCCGUUGUACGAAUAUUUCCUGCUAAAACGAAUAUUCCCCAACCAAUCGAAUAUAAUAUAGCAACUUGCAUACUUUGCAAAACUUAUAAAUACUACCUUCAACUAUAACAUUAUAUUAAAUUUAUUGCAUAAUAUUCAAAAAUGAUAAUUAUAGAAAAUUUAUCUUUAUUCAAAAAGUUGGGGUCUUACAACCCCCCCUUCUUAAGAAAUUUCGCCCUCGAAAUUAGGGUACGUACCUGGUAUAUCGAAGAGGUAAGGAUACCUUGAUUUCAUUUUAGAUUCUAACUCCCAGGUCAUUUCCUCAACAUCGUGGUUUCUCCACAAAACUUUGACUUGAGGUAUAACCUUGGAGCGUAAAAUAUGUUCCUUGUUAUCCAAGAUUUGAACAGGAACCUCUUUAUACGUUAAAUCUUCCGCUAUUUCGUCUGGUUCUAGCUCAAUAAUGUGGUUCGGGUCUUCCACAUAUUUACGUAACAUGGAUAUGUGAAAAAUGUUAUGAACACCAGACAUACUAGGCGGUAAAGCGAGUCUAUAGGCCACAGUUCCUACUCGAUUGAGGAUUAAAAAUGGGCCAAUGAAUCGAGGAUUGAGCUUUCUUAUCUUUCCAAAUCUCGUAACACCUUUCCAUGGAGCAACAUGUAACAACACAUGAUCUCCAAUAUCGAAUUCCACGUCCUUUCGAUGAAGAUCAGCAUAACUCUUUUGUCGAUCUUGUGAGGUUUUUAUACGUUGUCGAAUCGUUUGAAUCUUUUCCGUAGUCAUACGUACCAACUCCGGUCCCAACAACGUUGCUUCACCCACCUCAUCCCAGCAUACUGGAGAACAACACUUUCUCCCAUACAACGCCUCAAAUGGAGCCAUGCCAAUACUUGCUUGAUAACUAUUGUUAUAGGAAAACUCCACCAAUGAUAAGAACUUAUCCCAACUUCCAUUGAAGUUAAGGACACAGAGUCUUAAUAAAUCUUCUAGAGUUUGAAUAGUCCUCUCUGAUUGUCCGUCCGUCUGAGGAUGAUAUGCUGAACUAAAUCGUAAAUCUGUGCCCAUAGCUUUUUGCAAACUAACCCAAAAUCAUGAAGUGAAUCUUGGGUCUCGAUCAGAAACUAUGGAUACUGGCAUACCAUGCAGUCUUACAAUCUCGUUUAUGUACAUACGAGCAAGACGUUCAAGUGUAUAAGUUUCUCGUAUAGGUAAGAAAUGAGCAGACUUGGUCAAUCUAUCAACAAUGACCCAAAUUGCAUCUAUGCCUUGAGAAACCUUGGGAAGACCAGUAACGAAAUCCAUGGUAAUGUGCUCCCACUUCCAUUCUGGAAUUUCAAGUGGUUGCAAUGGACCUUUUGGUACUUGAUGCUCCGCCUUGACUCGUUGACAAGUUAGACACCUUGAGAUAAACACCGCUAUCUCUCUCUUCAUAUUGCUCCACCAAAAUGUAUGUCGAAGAUCAUGAUACAUUUUGGUACUCCCAGGAUGGAUUGCAAACGGUGUGUUGUGCGCCUCCAUCAUGAUUUUAUACUUUAAAUCAGGGUCGUUAGGAACACAAAGUCUGGAGUUGACUCGAAGUAUUCCUUCUUCAUCGAUUCUUGCUUCCGACAUAACACCUUCUUGCACUUUCUUCCUCAUACGCAUCAGCUCCAGGUUUGUAGUUUGAGCAGCUUUAACUUUAUCAAUUAAAGUCGAUUAUACUCGUAUGUUCGCCAUCAUCACAUGGGUCCCUGGAGUCUUUAACUCCAUCUCCAUCCUUUGCAAGUCAUACAAAAUGGGCCUUUGUGUUGACAAUAUUGCACUCGUACCCACAUAUGAUCUUCUACUCAAUGCGUCAGCUACCACGUUCGUUUUUCUAGGAUGGUAUUGGAUGGUAUGAUCAUAAUCUUUCAACAGUUCAAGCCAACGUCGUUGUCGCAUGUUGAGUUCCUUUUGAGUGAAGAAAUAUUUAAGGCUUUUAUGAUCCGUAAAGAUCUCCACUUUCUCCCCAUACAAGUAAUGCCUCCAAAUCUUUAGUGCGAAGANNNNNNNNNNNNNNNNNNNNNNNNNNNNNNNNNNNNNNNNNNNNNNNNNNNNNNNNNNNNNNNNNNNNNNNNNNNNNNNNNNNNNNNNNNNNNNNNNNNNNNNNNNNNNNNNNNNNNNNNNNNNNNNNNNNNNNNNNNNNNNNNNNNNNNNNNNNNNNNNNNNNNNNNNNNNNNNNNNNNNNNNNNNNNNNNNNNNNNNNNNNNNNNNNNNNNNNNNNNNNNNNNNNNNNNNNNNNNNNNNNNNNNNNNNNNNNNNNNNNNNNNNNNNNNNNNNNNNNNNNNNNNNNNNNNNNNNNNNNNNNNNNNNNNNNNNNNNNNNNNNNNNNNNNNNNNNNNNNNNNNNNNNNNNNNNNNNNNNNNNNNNNNNNNNNNNNNNNNNNNNNNNNNNNNNNNNNNNNNNNNNNNNNNNNNNNNNNNNNNNNNNNNNNNNNNNNNNNNNNNNNNNNNNNNNNNNNNNNNNNNNNNNNNNNNNNNNNNNNNNNNNNNNNNNNNNNNNNNNNNNNNNNNNNNNNNNNNNNNNNNNNNNNNNNNNNNNNNNNNNNNNNNNNNNNNNNNNNNNNNNNNNNNNNNNNNNNNNNNNNNNNNNNNNNNNNNNNNNNNNNNNNNNNNNNNNNNNNNNNNNNNNNNNNNNNNNNNNNNNNNNNNNNNNNNNNNNNNNNNNNNNNNNNNNNNNNNNNNNNNNNNNNNNNNNNNNNNNNNNNNNNNUCAAAAUCCAAUUUCUCCGGAGUCAAAUUUAAACGUUGAGCGCAAGUAGGAGAAAUGAAAGAGUGGGUAGAACCAGUAUCAAAUAAAGUAUAAACUUCGCUAGAGUUUAUGAUAAGCUUACCCGUGAUGACCUCGUUCGGGUUCUUUACUUUUUGGGAGGUUACAACAAAUGCUCUUCCUUGCACUACCGACUUUGACUUUUCUGGGAUGGCCUUUGGUGACUCUAUCCUAACUGAACUUGUCUUCGGUGCACGACAAAAUCGAGCCAGGUGACCUUCUCUUCCACAGUUGUAACAUGCUUUGGAUGGCAUCGCACAGUUGGGACUGAUGUGUCCCUCUCCUCCACACUUGAAACAUAUGAUAGGUGGUCGUUCCCCUUCCUUAACGACAGGUGCUGAUGUUGACGUCUUUCCAUCAUUGUUGAAUCUCCUCUUUUUGAAAUGUCCAUUUUUAUUGUUUUGGCCAUGAUUACCACCGAAGUGGUUACCAUUUCUGGCCUUUUGAUUUCCUCCACGCUUGUUGUCACCGCUUUGAUGACUGUUCUCACUGGUAUUAUCAUUUUAUUGGCUGCUCUCUUUUGGUUGGCUUAACUCGUUAUCACGCUCCAAUAACUGAGCCCUAUUAACAACAUCCGAAUACAAACACAGUUUAUGAGAGAUAAGAUAUUGACGUAUCUCAGGUUUCAAACCUCUUAAAAACAUUCGCGUCAUUCUCUCCUCAUUAUCAACCAAAUGGGACGCAAACUGGGACAACUCGGCAAACUUGGCUUUGUACUGCGAUACUGUCAUGUUGUUUUGUUCCAGCCUGAUGAACUCUACCUCUUUCAUGUGACGAAUACUUUUGGGAAAGUACUUGUCGUUGAACAAUUCUUUGAACUUCUCCCAAGUCAUCUUCAGUGCGGCAGGUUGAGUACGCUUUACAGAUUCCCACCAGUAAUCUGCCUCUCCUCGCAACAUGAAGGUGGCAAAGGAAAUCUUUUGUUCCUCGGAGCAUCCCAAGACAUCAAAUAUCUUGGUAAUCUACUUUAUCCAUGUCUCCGCCUUAAGUGGUUUUGGUUCUCCAAUAAACUUCGGUGGUCCCAGCUCCUUGAACUGUUUGGCGGUGACCAUCCGAGAGUUGCUAGUGUUUUCACCUGCAUUUUGGACAGGAGCCGCUCCUGCCUGAUGUUGUAUGAAUUGCAUGAAUCCUCGAAACAUUUUGUUGUUCAAUAUUUGGUCAGUGUUGUUGUUUGCAUGAGGAUUUUUGCCUUCCUGAUGCACAUUGUCCUGAUUGUUGAUCUGUGGAGACUCAACGGUCUCCUGUGCUCCAUUGAUGUUCUCAACGUUCUCGGAUGCCAUUUUCAAAUACUGCCACAAAACAAGAGUUAAUUAACACAUCACAUAUUAUCCCUAUACUCUAACCAACCAAUUAAAUAACAAAUAAACUUAGGUAGGUCAUACUAGCGAAGGAAUUCCCCGUCUCUCCCCUCCUAGUUCUUAUCUCACAUCUUAGCCAGGGAUCAUAUCCCUAACCUCUGAUACCAACUGUGACGCCCCCAAUAUUAGGUAUACAUCACCCAUCUUGGGUAGCCACUUAUAUGGUACAAAAUACAAAUACAACUUAAUUAUACAACAGUCGUGUAAGAUACGACAAAAUAUAAACAAUGAGUUUUAACUCGAAUAUUGUCAUCUAGACAGUAUUCAAACACAAAUAAGUCCUCAAUACAUUUAUUGUCACACUAUCUAACAGAAUAGUGAGGACUACUAAUGCUAUCAUCUGGACUGUCACUCCAUUCCCCGACUCAUCCCCGCUACGUUCUCAAUUCCUGAAGAGAACAGUGAAAGAAAGGGUGAGCUCGACUAGCCCAGUAAGAAAUAUUAUGACUGAGAUAAUGCAGAAUAAAUUAUCAUUAGUCUCCAACAAUGUUAAACUGAUAAAAUACAAUAGACAUCAAGUUUAACUGCAGCGGAACAAGCAAUCCAUUAAAAGAGUCAAGUAGAGAAUAAAAUCUACUAUCUUUUAUGAUUUAAAAGGUUUUUCAUCACUUUUAUCGCUGGGACUCAGCUUAAUAAAUAAUCCACAUCAUCGAAUCACCCCUGCACUACGGCCAAGGAUAUUCUUUAGUAUCACGACCACAAUUAUCCAUGCACUACGGGCCAAGAAUAUUUGUGUAUUCAUUAAUGGUCAUGAUCAUGCCAACAACUGUCCAUCAAUGCACUACGGGCCAAUGAGGACUUUUUCCACAUCAUUUGUAACAUUACGGUCAUGAUUACACCGAAUAAUCCCUGGUCAUAAUCAUACCAAGUCCAUCUAUGCACUACAGGCCACAGAUGACUUUCAACAAAAUAAUAACAUGAGGAUGAUGACAAUGAUAUAAGAAUUCAAUAAAAUAACUUUCAAGAAUUAAUUUGUCCAGGAAUCAAUAACGUCCAAAUUGUCAAUAAGAUAUUGUUUUGUGGUGUAAAUUAUUCAAGAAUGCUCAGAAGAAUAUUUUCAUGAAAAGAUAUUGGAUGAAGUGCAAAUAUCAAGGAUAUUCCAUUAAUUUCAUGGAGUAUAAAAGUCAAAAUUUUAACCAACUGAGUAUAAUAACGAAUGGAAUAACAAAAGAAAUCACCACGCAUGCGGUACUUCGCAUAGACAGGUUAUUCCAACAGAAUAAUAAUAACGGAACUAGGUCAGGUGAGAUUCACACCGACAGGAUGUUCCAACAGAAUAAUAAAUAAUUAAAACGGAACCAGGUUCGGCGUUUAGCACAGACAGGAUAUUCCAACAGAAUAACUGAAUAAUUAAAACGGAACCAGGUCUAGCGUAUAGCACAGACAGGAUAUUCCAAAAAAAUAACUAAAUAAUUAAAACGGAACCAGGUCCGGCGUAUAGCACAAACAGGAUAUUCAAACAAAAUAAUAAAGACAGAAAAAUUGAAGAAUGUCACCAAGUAUAGGGUUGCCCGCGUAUACAGGUUAUUCCAACAGAAUAAUAAAGAAAUGGAAUAACAGAAGUUCUCUUUUUGAAUACAAAAGAAUAAUAUUCCUUACCGUAAAAGAACUUAAUAUAAGAGUAGUUUCAGUAGUAGAAUAAUUUUCUUCUUUCUCUCUUACAGUUUAUCUCUCUAGAGUUUCAAUGAAUUCGUAAGAAAAUAAUGAAGGAAUGAGCUUCUAUUUAUAGAAAAAUGGAAUGCAUAGUAACUAACUGAUGAACGGUCCAGAUUGAUUUACUUUUAAUCGGACGGUCCAUAUUUAAAGUAAAAUCUUUUAAAUAAAAUAUAUUAUAUAUAUAUAUAUAUAUAUAAACAAUAAUACUCCCUCCGUAUAAACCAAAAAAAUAAUUUGACAACUUUGAAAAAAACUCCCAACCUUUCAAUUUUCAAUACCGUGGGCCCCACAUGUUCCCCUCCCCCAACAUGUCAAUAUCACAAGGGUCCCAUUAUAUUUAAAUAACUUUCUAUCAAUAAUGUUGAAAAAUAGGUAAAUGGGGGUCUAAAUAAUACGCCAAAUUUACAACAACUACCUCAUAAAAAUCUCUUCAAUAUUUUUAACAACAUUUAUCAUCUUUAUUAAAAUUCACAAUAUUAAUCGACCAGGUCGUUCCCAGGAUAGAGGGGAUUUUCCAAUAAGGAUUUCUCCCUAUUGGCGCGCAAUUAGAUUAUCUAACCUCUCCUUGACAGAACUUCUAGACAUCAUUAAUAUUGCAAAUAAUAACAUUAAUAACAUUGUCGUCUCAAUUAUUGAUUUAAUAAUAUAAAGAAUAUCAACAAUAAUUGAAUCAAAUAACGUGAGAUACUAUGCAACAAUUACUAUAACAAUAAUUGAAUAAAACUGAAUGACUUCUCAUGUAAGCAUCAAUAAUCAAUAUCGUGUGCUACUAUGCAACCACGCGUAUUACUGUACUUUUACUACCGAGUAGUUCAACAGUAUCAACCGUAAAACUUCCGCCGUUAUUUUCAUAAAAAUAUUUUUGUCGUUUUCUCAAUCCAACAAUAAUUCUGUUGUGGGUUCCACCAAUGAUUGCGUCGUUGUACGAAUAUUCCCCGCUAAAACGAAUAUUCUCCGACCAAUCGAAUAUAAUAUAGCAACUUGCAUACUUUACAAAACUUAUAAAUACUACCCACAACUAUAACAUUAUAUUAAAUUUAUUCCAUAAUAUUCAAAAAUGAUAAUUAUAGAAAAUUCAUCUUUAUUCAAAAAGUUGGGGUCUUACAGACUUGACUGUGCUGAUCCAGAGAUAGUUAAUGUACCACCAACGUUGUUGUUUCCUUUUCCACCACUUGCACUUCCUGCUGGCUUCUUAGGGCAAUCACGAGCCAUGUGAUCCUACGAACCGCAGGUAAAACAUGCUCCUUUAUUUGGACUAAAACAGUUCAGUGUAAUGUGUCCCUCCUGACCACAGUUGAAACACACCCGCUUUCCCUUCAAACAUACUCCAUUAUGAUUGUUUCCAUAAGUCGCAUAAGCUUCAAACUUUUUCUUCUGCUGAUUUCCUUGUUGUCCUCCCGCAGUCGAAUUUUCACUCCACUUCCUCUUCUGAUUGUUAUUUCCAACGUUACUUCCACCAGCCUUAUUUUCAUUCUCAGUCUUCCUCUUCUUAUAUUCUUGGUUGUACUUGGUCAAGGCAUCGCUUUCACCUUCUGCGAUAAUUGCCUUUUCCAGUAUAACCGCAAAUGUAUUUAACUGAAAUAUUGAAACCUUGCUAUACAGCCAGGGUUUCAAUCCAUGUUCGAACCUUAUCGCCUUUCGUUCAUCAGUAUUGACUUAAUAAGUGGCAAACCUUGCCAAUUCAUUAAACUUCGCAGCAUAUUCUGGCACCGUCAUAGUUCCUUGUUUCAGUUCCAGAAAUUGCAUUUCCAACUUAUUCUGAGAACUCGCUGGAAAGUACAUUUCAAAAAAUAUCUCCUUAAAUCUAUCCCACGCUAUCACUCCUUGUCCCCCACGAACCUUAUUUGCCUGCCACCAGUAGCUAGCUUCAGACUUCAGCAUGAACGUUGUGAACGCAGUCUUCUGAUCCUCGUUGACUCUAGAAACGUUGAACACUUUCUCCAUUUCCAUGAUCUAGGUUUGGGCUUCUACUGGAUUCAUAGACCCUUGAAACUCUGGCGGUCCAACCGCUUUGAAUUCCUUAAAGGUCAUGACUUGAGCUUGCGGUUGAUUCGCAAGUGCACCUGUUAACAAGGUUACCAACUGCUGAACCGGGUUAGCAUUGGCCUCGUUAUUAUUUUUAGUAGACCCCUCAGGAGGUGGUUGUUGACGUGUUUUUCUUCUUCUAGGAGGCAUUUUCUGUUAAGAUAUACGCUCAUUAGUUCAUUACUCAACUUCUUGAUUAUUUGAAGUUUAACUUAAAUAUUCUAAGAUUAAAGUUAUAACACAUAACAUUUCAAAUAAACUCUGGUAUUUUAUUCAUUCAUAAUGUUUUAAAACAUAUUAAAGAUAGCAUAACCGCUAUUAACAUUCACUUUCCUGAACUAAGCAAGUUUUAGGAUUACAUAUUCAUACUACCCCUUUAUUUAUCUCAAAAUAAGGGAUUCACAGUUUAUAUACUCACUUACUUAACCACGUAUUAUUAUUCUCAUUCUUUCUAUCUAGACAUAUUAAGAUGUCGUAAGGCUUCUCUAUGUUCUUCCUCCAUAAUUCGAUACAUCGUUCUACGAUCCAUCAUGAACUACAACGAAUCUUCAAAUUGAGGUGGAUAAUAAAAGACUCGAUCCUGGGCCCUAUCAAUUGCAGAAUUAAAGGCAUAAUCCAUCCCAUUCAUCUUGGCCUUCUUCACUUGAACUUUAUCCUCGGCACGGUCUGCACGUUAAGUCACCUUUAUCCAAGCGUCCUCUGCUCUCGUACGUUUAGUUGAAUCCUCUUUCAAGUCAUCUUUUAACUUCUCCACAUCAGUCUUCAUCUUCUUGUUCACUGCCAACAAAUCUUCAUGCUGACCCUUGGUAUGAAAUAGGUCCCACUCCGUGUUUCCAAGUCUUGAGUCGAGUUCUUGAAUCUCCGCAUCCUUCUGCUCUAUCGUAGCGUGAUGCAUCUCAACCAACUCCUUCAGCUCCUGAACUUUGUCUUGUAAUUCUAUGUUACGAUCGUACAGAGCAUCAUACAUCUCAGCUGAUAUGGAGCUUUGUGGAAACGCCACAGGAUCCUCUUCCUCAUCAUCCAACUCUAUCUCUUCAGAACUAUCCUCCUCGGGAUCGGUCACAGGUUCAUCCUCCUGGAUCAACUGUUCACGCAUAACAUGAAUAUCCCGGGGUUCCUCAUCUCUAGGUAUCUGAGGUAUUACUUCCCUAGCUGGAAUGGAUCCUCCUUCAUUAGACAUCCUAACAACAAAAUAUUUUAAGUUUACUUAACAUUUUUCGAUACUCGCGAGCACAUAAGUUAUUACACAUAGCACAUAAUGUCUUUUAUUAUUUAUCUUCAAUGGAUAGCUUAAUCCAUUCAUUAAAACUCGAUAAGAGUUAGACACCUCUAUAUUUUCUGUCUUCUUAAAGGUUACUUCCUAAGGUUUCCCCACCUAAGGUUCAUAACCUAAAGCUCUGAUACCAACAUGUGACACCCCCAAAUCUGGGUAUUCCUUUUCCACAGGAUUUGGUGCUCACUAUCCAAAACCAUUACAUCUAACUACCCAUAACAAAGGAUAAAGACAUAAUUUAAAUAACUUAACAAUAAUCUUCCCAUUAAAGGGUUACAUCGUCAUAAAACAAUCCCAAAUAAUUUAAUCUUAAAUUAUUACAUAAGUUUGCGGAAUACAUCAUAAAAUAAAACAAGUCUUAUAACAUAAACAUUUAAAUAAACUUUCAUAAAUCUUCAACACUUGGACAUCUUUCCCUUUUCUUUGCUAGUAGAUGGCUCAUCGACUUUCUCAACUUUAGCUGCAGUGUUAAAUGCAAGAGUGAGCAAACAAUUGCUCACUGAUAUAGAGAGUAGUAAUGAUAACAACAUAAGAUUAAACAACGAAUGCUGAACAAUAAUGAAAUUGUUCUAUGAAUAAAAAAUAGAAAACAAGUUCAAAUUUAAUAUCUGAGGGUCUUAAGACCACGAACUAUGUCCCCGAUAUUUAGGUAUUAUUACCCAACCUUAACAGUCAUUUAGACUAUACAAACCCUUCUUAACGUACUUAGGGGGAUCAGCCCUUUGUACCAUGUAUUGUGCACAAACAUCUAAACGUUACACGUACAAAAUCCCCUAUGUUAGGGUUGUUCGUCUCAGCUUGAAUUUAGAAUUUCUGCACUAAAGAGAGUUUAGCUCGGAACUAACUUAUCAAUGGUUCUAGAAUUUUAGAACACUACUCAAUUAUAGACUAAUUCAAUCAAUAAGAGUUUGCUUGCUACUUGAAGAUUUAAUAUAACAAAAAUAGAAUUGAACAAGGCUAUCAAAGUCAAAGAUCGAAUAUCAACAAUAUACAGUUGAGCACUACAACAAAAAAGCUUAUCAGCGACCGCCUAUCAGCGACCGCCUGUGGUCGCUGAUAUCUAUCUGCGACCGUCUACUCGAGUAAACAUGAUAUACAUGCAAAGUACUAUAUCCAAAAGAGUUAGAAUAAUCUCCUUUGAAUCAAUGUAUUAGAACAAUAUAUUCUUUUGAAUAACAAUAUCAAGAUUUAGGAAAGUGAAACUCGCUCAAUGUAACAAACUAGAUUACAAGAGAUUGUACGAUACACGAGAUAGAAUCAAUAGGCUUGCUGAACUUUAAUGUAAAAUUUAGAAUUAGAAAGCUUGUUUGACAUAAAAGAUAACAUAGCUAUGAAACUUGCAUUCAUUAAUAAAAGAAUGAAGUUAGAAAACUUGCUCAAUAAAAGUUUAGGAUAAGAAACUUGCCUUGUAUGUAAGCUACACAAGUGUAAUAAUGUUCGCCAAUUACCCUACACAUAUCAUUGGAAUCGCAAUAACAAUUAGUUGUAUUAUUAUUAGCUUUAAGGGUUUAAACCACCAUUUAGGUCAUAACCUUAACUUAACAUCUAACCAUGUUGGUUAACACCUUUAACAAAUCUAAAAUCCCUCUAUAAACUAACAUAAACUUUAUCAUUCAUUUCUUACUUUCAUAAACAUUAUUUUUUUAUUCAUUACAUAACUUAAUUAAAUAAUCACUUAAAAUCUUCAUACUUUAUAUUACAUCACGUUGAAAUAUGUUAUUGUAGUUCACGUUAACAUGUAUGCCAAACUAGAUUAAGUCCAUUAAUCAUAACCUAUAAAUAAGCAGAAGUCAUUGCCUAGGCUCAGGGCACGGCGCAGCUGCGCUGUCCCAAGCCUUGGCAUCGGCACAGCUGCGCCGUACACGGACAGGAACUGCAGCAGCAGCUCUGUUACACAGCACACACCAAAACUCAAUCAAAUUUCACAGAAAUCAUAAAACUCAACAUCUAAAACUUUGUGAUAACAUUAAUAAUGAUGUUAUUCAUCAUUCUCACUACCUAAACAUUAUAUAUAUUAAAUUUUAAAAGAUCAAAACCCCAAUUUUUCCAAUUUCAUCAUUUUUUUACGCUUUUAGCGAAUUCGAUUGCUACGAAUUCAUUUCUUAAUCAAUUGACACAAUUCAAACUACGUUGUUUUCGUUUCUUAACAUACUAACACAUUCUAACAUCAAAUUACAGAUUAUAGCAAGUAUUGAUCAUGAAAUUUCGUACUUUCUAAAGCCAUUUUUCAAAAAUAAACACUAUUAUUAUAACUUCUUCCUUACAAAGCCAAUUCUCACAUGUUUGGAAAUCAAAUAGCACUCACAUAUAAUGAUUAACAGAUUAUAAACCAUAUAUACAUGUAUUUGUAUUAAUCCAUCGUAAUUAUCAAUAGAAAUUUCAAACAUAAAAGUUAGAAUUAGAGUUAUACCUUACUCCUUUGAUUGUUUGCUAGCAAAAAGAUGGUGACUAGGUUUAGAAAUCCCUCUCCUUGACAAUCAUAAAGAAUUCAAACUCACUGUGUUUUCCUCUCUUGCUCUCUCUCCAAGCUCUCUGUUCUUCACUAAUAUCUAGCCUUAGGGAAAGGAAUAAUACGCGUAAAAAAAUAUACUAACUCCCACUUUCCCCACUAAUGUCAGGUCACAAACCCAAAAGUUUGUGUCAGUUAGAAAUAAGCCAAAGGCCACAGGGCCUUGUUUGGCUAACCACAAUUUCUCCUCUACUAGAUUAUUUUUAUAUUAUUUUUAUUAUAUAGUUUUUAUUUGUCACACUUGCCACCAAUUUAAAUAGCUUACAAUAAUAAUUAUAAUAAUUAUAAUUUUUAUUAUAAUUAUUCUGAUGAUUAAUAAAUAAUUAUAUAUAUAUAAUUUAAUUAAUAAAUUUGACUUAAACAUUACUUUAUUUAAUUUACCUAUUUUCUUUAAUAUAAAAAAAAAUUUAAUUUAAUUUAAUUAUUUCAUUAAAUUAAAUCUUUCAAAUAAAAAAUAGCAUUAUUCAAUUUAAUUAACAUUAAUCAAUUUAGUCACUAAAUUAAUGCACCACAAUUCAUCAAUUAUUUAUUUUUCUCAAUAAAUAAAUUAUUUAAAAUAUUUAUUUAAUUCAAUAAAUAUUUAAAUUAAAUUACAAAUUUCUCGAUCGUUACACUAUUCAUUCGGUUAGUAUUUACCCGGGGUACUAUUCAUGACAAAAAUUGAUUUCUUUUAUGUCCAAAUUAUUUUUGAUACAAUAUUAUUCUUGAAUUUUACUCCACAAUUGGUGAUCAUGUUGACAAUUUAGAUAUUCUUAAACUCUGGAUAAAUUUAAUUAUAAAUAUUUAAUAUUUAUCCUUUAUCUCGUUUGAUUGAUUCUUUAUAUCAUUGUCAUGAUCCUCAUGCUUAUAUUGUGAUAAAAGUCAUCUUUGGCCCGUAGUGCAUAGAUGGACUAUUGGUUAUUGGUUUUACAGUUGUUUUUCUUUGGCCCGUAGUGCAAAGAAGAACUGUUGAUUGAUAUCUUUGGUCGUAGUGCAAAGAUGAAUUGUUGAUUGAUAGCUUUGGCUCGUAGUGCAAAGUUGGACAGGUGUAUGACAUGAUCAUGACCACUGGUGAUACUAACGAAUAUCCUUGGCCGUAGUGUAUGGAUAAUUCAAUGAUGUGAUUGGCAGGAUCAUGACCAUUAGUUAACAGUUGAAUGUCUUCGGCCGUAGUGCACUGACAGACAAUUGAUUGGUAUGAUCAUUGUUAUUACACUUGAAUGUCUUAGCCUUUGGGGUAAGGAUAUUGAGUAAACGUUCUAUUAAGCCUUUGUGGCAAGGAGAAACUGUUGAUUCACAUUAUUAUAAACAUGAAUUGUGAAUUUAUCUAAAAUCUUUGGUGGUUCAGGUGAAGACAGGUGAUGAAAUUUCUCUUUGUCUUGGUAUAAUAAAGAACUGUUAAUGGGUAUUAUAGGGAUAAAAUUGAUGAUAAACUUUUAAAUCAUAGAAGAUAGUAGAUAUCAUGCUCUACUUGACUCUUCUAAUAGAUUGCUUAUUCCACUGCAGUUGUUGAUCUAAAACUUGUUGUCUAUUAUAUUCUAGCAGUUGUUAUACUGUUGAAGGCUAAUGAUAAUUUAUUCUGCAUUAUCUUAGUCAUAAUAUUUCUUACUGGGCUAGUUGAGCUCACCCUUUUCUUUCAUUAUUCUCUUCAGAAAAUGAGAAUAUAGCUGGGACGAGUCGGGGAAUGGAGUGAUGAUCCAAGAUAAGUGGCUUUAGUAGUCUUCACUAUUCUGUGAAAUAGUGUGAUAAUAAUUGUAAUGAGGACUCCAUUGAGUUUGGAUAUUGUCUAGAAGACAAUAUUUGUGUUAAAACUCUCAGCUUAUAUUUUCUCGUAUUCUACACGACAGUUGUAUAAUUAAGUAGUAUUUGUAUUCUGUACCAUGUAUCUGGCGACCCAAGAUGGGUGAUGUAUACAUAUUUUGGGGGCGUCACAUCAACAACCACCACAAAUAUAAAACCUUUGAAGCCAAGCCUGUGAGACCCCAAAUUUUAUGAAUAAAGAUUUAAAUUUCUCGAAAUAUUUUUUUUGAAUAUUACGGUGUGGAUUUGAUAUAAUGUUAUAGUUGUGGGUAAUAUUUAUAAAUUUUACAAAGUAAACAAGUUGUUACAUAAUAUUCGUUUGGUCGGGGAAUAUUCUUUUUGUUGGGGAAUAUCCGUACGAUGGUGCAAUCAUUGGUGGACCCCACAACGGAAGUAUUGUCGUAGUAAGAAAAUGACAAAAUUAUCUUUUUAUAAAAAUAAUGGCGAAAGUGUUACCGUUAAAACUAUUGAACUACUCCGUAGUAAAAGUACAGUAAUACGUGUGGUUGCAUAGUAGCACACGAUAUUGAUUAUUAAUACUUACGUAAGAAGUCACUCAGUUAUACUUAAUUAUUGUUAUAGUAAUUGCUGCAUCUAUCUCUCAUAUUAUUGAUUCAAUUAUUGUCACAGUAUCAUCUGCAUAAUAUGUUAUAUUAUUAAAUCAAUAAUUGAGACGACAAAGUUAUUUAUAUUAUUAUUUGCAAUAUUGAGAAUGUCUAGAAGUUCUAUCAAGGAGAGGUUAGAUAAUCUAAUUGCGCGCCAAUAGGGAGAAAUCCUUAUCGGAAAGCCCCCUCUUUCUUGGAAACUACCUGGUUGUUAAAUAUUGUGAGUUAUAAUAUUAAUGAUGUAUAAGUUUGUGUUGAUUAAAGAUGAAAUUGAUAGUUCCAUUGUGUUGGGAUUAUUAGUGUUAGUGGAAAUCGACAUUUAUUUCGAUAAUAAUUGAUGUUUGGAAGUUAUAUUGACCAAUCGGGUAAUUAACCGGAUAAAUGAGCAAUUAAUUGCUAUUAAUUCACAUGCUUAUAACUAUGUGUUCACAUGUGUGUACUAUUGAUUCACAUGAUUUACUAUUAGGGGAGUUGGUGCAAGAUUGAUAAUACUUGCAUGACUAAAUUAAAAAUAGAGGUAUAGAUGAAGGUACUAUACUGUAAUUAUUUUUUUCACAUGUUUAGAACUAUUGAGUCACAUGAUUUACUAUUGAUUCACAUGAUUUACUAUUAGGGGAGGUGGUGCAAGUUUGAUAAUACUUGCAGGACUAAAUUAAAAAUGAAGAAAAAGAGGAAGGUAUUAUACUGUAAUAUUUCGAGCCCCAAAACGUGCAAUUAUCGAAACUAUAUUUUCCUAUAAAUAGAAGCUCAUUCUUCCUUCAUUUCUCACCAAUUCACUAAAGCUUUAGAGCAAUUAUUAUAGAGAGAAAUUAUAGAGAGAAAGAAGAAGAGAAGUCUGCUACCUCACUAUUUUAGUAUGCAGUUUCUUCUAAGGUAAGGGUAUUAUUUCUUUCGUAUUCAUGAAGAGAGUUAUUUCUUUCAAUACUCGUAAGGGUUGUUAUUCCAUUCUUUAUUAUUCUGUUGGAAUAACCUGUCUGUGCGGACUACACACGCCUGGUGAAUUCUUUUGUUAUUACAUUCUUUAUUAUUCUGUUGGAAUAACCUGUCUGUGCGGACUACGCACGCAUGGUGAAUUUUUUUUUAUUCUAUUCUUUAUUAUUCUGUUGGAAUAACCUGUCUACGCAGACUACCGCAUGCAUGGUGAAUGACCCUUCGUAUUCAUUCUUUAUUAAAUUAUGUAAAUGAUCUGUCUACGUAGAUUACCGCAUGACGGGUAAAAAUCCAUUUGCAGUUUCAUAUAUUCUAUUAUACUCAUAUGCGAUAUCAUUUCUUUUGUACUCGUCAUAUAAUAUCAUUUUCUUUGGAAUUUUUCUUUUACGAGUUACUAUUGACAGAUUACUAUUCACCUGAUUAUUAUUCACUCUAGUAUUAUUCACUCAGGUAUUCGGGGCACUUUUCGUGUCAGAGUAUUAUUCACGGGUUACUAUUCACCCGAUUACUAUUCACUCUAGUAUUAUUCACUCGGAUAUUUGGGACACUUUUCGUGUCGAGGUACUAUUCACGGAGUACUAUUCCUGAAGUACUAUUCAUGAAAUACUAUUCACCCAAAAAAUAUAUUUCUUUUCAGUCCAAAUUAUUUUUGGGUACAAUAUUAUUCUUGAAUUUUACUCCACAAAACAAUAUCAUGUUGACAAAUUGGACGUUAUUGAUUCUUGGAUAAAUUAAAUUAUAAAUCUUUAAAAUUUAUCCUUGAACUUUUUUUAUUGAAUUAUUAUGUCAUUGUCAUCAUCCUCAUGCUUAUAUUGUGAUGAAAGUCAUCUUUGGCUUACGUGCAUAGAUGGACUUGGUAUGAUUAUGACCAGGGAUUAUUCGGUAUAAUCAUGACCGUAAUGUGACGAAUGAUAUGGUGAAAGUCCUCAUUGGCCUGUAGUUCAUUGAUGGACAGUUGUUGGUAUGAUUAUGACCAGGGAUUAUUUGGUAUAAUCAUGAACAUUGAUGAUUACAUGAGUAUCAUUGGCCGAGAUGCAGGGAUGAUUCGAUUUUAUUUAUUAAGUUGAGUCUCAGCGAUAAAGUUGAUGAAAAACUUUUUAAAUCAUAGAAGAUAGUAGAUUUUAUGCUCUACUUGACUCUUCUAAUGGCUUGCUUAUUCCGCUGCAGUUGUUGAUCUAAAACUUGUUGUCUAUUAUAUUCUGUCAGUUGUUAUACUAUUGAAGGCUAAGGAUAAUUUAUUCUGCAUUAUCUUAGUCAUAAUAUUUCUUACUGGGCUAGUUGAGCUCACCCUUUCUUUCACUGUUCUCCUCAAGAAAUGAGAAUAUAGCUGGGACGAUUCGGGGAACGGAUUGACGGUCCAGAUGGUUGUUUUAGUUGUCCUCACUAUUCUGUGAAAUAAUAUGAUAAUAAUUGUAAUGAGGACUCCAUUGGGAGUGGAUAUUGUCUAGAAGGCAAUAUUCUUGUUUAAACUCUCAGUUAUGUUUUGUCGUAUAUUACCCGACAGUUGUAUAAUUAAGUUUGUAUUUGAUUUAUGUACCAUAUAGUUGGCGACUCAAGAUGGGUGAUGUAUACCUGUUUUUGGGGUGUCAAAGUUGGUAUCAAAGCUUAGGGAUAUGAUCUCUGGCUGAGAUAUGAGACAAGAACUAGGAGGGGAGAGACUGGGAAUUCCUUCGCUAGUAUAUAUGACCUACCUAAGUUUAUUUGGUAUUUAAUUGGUCGAUCAGAGUAUAGGAAUAAUAUGUGAUAUGUCAAUUAACCCUUGUUUUGUGACAGUGUUUGAAAAUAGCAUCUAAAAAUGUUGAGAUCAGCAAUGAAGCACAUGAGACCGUUGAGUCACCAACGAUUAAUACCUAGGAUAAUGUGCAACAGGAAGAUAAUAAUCCUCAGGUAAAUAACAACACCGAUUAGAUGAUGAACGAUGGGAUGUUCAGAGGCUUUAUGCAAUUCAUGCAACAUCAGACGAGAGAGACUCUUGUUCAAAAUGCAGGUGGAAACACUGUCAACUCUCGGAUGGUCACCGCUAAGCAGUUUAAGGAGUUGGGACCACCAGAGUUUUUGAGAGAGCCAGAACCACUUAAGGCGGAGACGUGGAUAAACAGAUCACCAAGAUAUUUGAUGUCUUGGAAUGCUCAGAGGAGCAAAAGGUUCCCUUUGCCACCUUCAUGUUGCGAGGAGAGGCAGAUUACUAGUGGGAAUCAGUAAAACGUACUCAGCCUGCCGCACUGAAGAUGUCUUGGGAGAUGUUCCAAGAACUGUUCAACAACAAGUACUUUCCUGAAAGUAUUCGUCAUGUGAAAGAGGUAGAGUUCAUCAAGCUUGAGUAAAACAAUAUGACCGUGGCGCAGUACGAAGCUAAGUUUGCCGAGUUAUCUCAGUUUGCGUCCCACUUGGUUGAUAAUGAAGAGAGAAUGACGCGGAUGUUUCUAAGAGGUUUGAAACCCGAGAUACGUCAAUAUCUAAUUUCUCACAAACUGUGUUUGUAUUCAGAUGUUAUGAAUAGGGCUCAAUUAUUGGAGUGUGAUAAUGAGUCAGCACAACCAAAAGGCAACGACCAACAACACGAUAAUAAUCAUACCGGUGGCAACGGCCAUCGGAACAAUGAUAACCAUCGUGGGGGAAAUUAUUAUGCCAAGAAUGGUAACCACUUCGGUGGUAAUCAUGGCCAAGUUAAUAGAAGCGGAAAUUUCAAGAAGAGAAGGUUCAAUAAUGAUGGAAAGACGUCAUCACCAGCACCCGUUGUUAAGGAAGGAGAACGACCGCCGGUCGUAUGUUACAAAUGCGGAGGGGAGGGACACAUAAGUCCAAACUAUUCACAGCCUUCCAAGGUAUGUUUUAGUUGUGGAAAAGAUGGUCACAUAGCUCGAUUUUUUUCUUGUAGCGAAAUCAAGUCCAGUUGGGACAGUGGCACCAAAGGCGGAUACGGACAAAACAAAGUCGGUGGUUUCAGGAAGAGCGGUUUUUAUGACUUCUCAAAAAGUGAGUAACCCGAACGAAGUUAACACGGGUUAGUUAAUUAUAAAUUCUUGCGAAGUCUAUACCUUAUUAGAUAUCGAUUCUACCCAUUCUUUUAUUUCUCUUGCUUGCGCUCAGCGUUUAAAUUUGACUCCAGAGAAAUUAGACUUUGACUUAUUGGUUGAAACUCUGUUAGGAGAAACCUUCGUUACACCCACUGUUUAUAAAUCUUGUUUUAUUCAAAUCGACACUUUCACGUUACCUGUCGAUCUUAUCUCUUUGAAAAUACUUGCCUUUGAUGUGAUUUUAGGAAUCGAUUGGUUAACUACUCAUCAUGCCAAAAUUGAUUAUUUUUGUAAGGUUGUUAGCUUUCAUAUUCCUAACCAACUUGUUAUGCGAAUUCAAGCAACCAAACCACUAAAGUCAAUCACUGUCAUAUCAAGCCAUAAGUAAAGAGCCCCGAGCCUUUCGUUGGUGACUUCCUUGUGUGGAAUGCAUCGAAGCCGAACUUUCUGUAGGGGACGUCGUGAAUAACAGUGGCAAGUUGAUAGGUAUCAAUGUGACGUGUUAUCCAAGUCUUGGGAUGAGAGUCACAGUUUUGAAUGAUAUUUCUAUUGUUAAUAAAUUUCCUAGCGUAUUCUUGAAGACUUCUUAGCCUACCCCUAGAGCGUGAAAUCGAAUUUUUUAUUGACCCCAAUACAAAACUCAUUUAUAAAACCCUCAAAUAUUUUCUUUACCCAAAACGAACGUAUAAUGUGCCAAUGACGUUGGCUCGAGCUGUUGAAGGUUACGACUAUACCAUUAAAUUCCAUCGUGGGAAAAGCGAACGUGGUAGCUGACACAUUAAGUAGAAGAUCGUAUGCGUUUACGAAGUGUGACGUUGUUAACACAAAAACCCAUUUCGUAUAACUUAUAAAUAAUGAAGAUGGAGUUAAUGACUCUAGAGACCCACGUGAAGAUAACGAAUAUACGAGUAAAAUCGACUUUAAUCGAUAAAGUUAAAGCCGCUCAAACUACACACUCGGAGCUAGUGAAUACGAAGAAGAAGGUUCAAGAAGGCGUUAUUCUAGAAGCAAGAGUCGAUGAAGAGAGAAAAUCUCAAUCCUCGAUUUAAUUGGGCCAUUUGAAAUCCUCGAUGGAGUAGGAACUGUGGCCUAUAGACUUGUUUUACCGCCAAGUAUGUCGCGUGUUCAUAACAUUUUUCAUGUAUCGAUGUUACGUAAAUAUGUGGACGACCCGAACCACAUUAUUAAAUUGGAACUAGACGAGAUAGCAGAAGAUUUAACAUAUGAGGAUAUACGUGUUAAAAUCUUGGAUAAGAAGGAUCGUAUUCGACACUCAAAUUUUAUACCUCAAGAGUUAGAAUCUGAAAUAAAGUCAAGGUAUCCUUAUCUCUUCGGCAUACCAGGUACGUACUUAAAUUUUGAGGGCGAAAUUUCAUAAGAAGGGAAGAUUGUGAGAUCCCAAAUUUUAUGAAUAAAGAUUUAAAUUUCUUGAAAUAUAUUUUUUGAAUAUUACGGUGUGGAUUUGAUAUAAUGUUAUAGUUGUGGGUAAUAUUUAUAAAUUUUGCAAAGUAAGCAAGUUGUUAUAUAAUAUUCGUUUGGUCGGGGAAUAUUCUUUUUGUCGGGGAAUAUCCGAACGACGACACGAUUAUUGGUGGACCCCACAACGGAAGUAUUGUCGUAGUAAGAUAAUGACAAAAUUAUCUUUUUAUAAAAAUAACGGCGAAAGUGUUACCGUUAAAACUGUUGAACUACUCGGUAGUAAAAGUAUAGUAAUACGCGAGGUUGUAUAGUAGCACACGGUAUUGAUUAUUGAUGCUUACGUAAGAAGUUACUCAGUUAUACUCAAUUAUUGCUACAGUAAUUGUUGCAUCAUAUCUCUCAUAUUAUUGAUUCAAUUAUUGUCACAGUAUCAUCUGCAUAAUAUGUUAUAUUAUUAAAUCAAUAAUUGAGAUGACAAAGUUAUUCAUAUUAUUAUUUGCAAUAUUGACAAUGUCUAGAAGUUCUAUCAAUGAGAGGUUAGAUAAUCUAAUUGUGCGCCAAUAGGGAGAAAUCCUUAUCGGAAAGCCCCCUCUUUCCUGGGAACGACCUGGUUGUUAAAUAUUAUGAGUUAUAAUACUACUGAUGAAUAAGUUUGUGUUGAUUAAAGAUGAAAUUAAUAGUUCCAUUGUGUUGAGAUUAUUAGUGUUAGUGGAAAUUGACAUUUAUUUUGAUAAUAAUUGAUGUCUGGAAGUUAUAUUGACCAAUCGGGUAAUUAACCGGAUAAAUGAGUAAUUAAUUGCUAUUAACUCACAUGCUUAUAACUAUGUGUUCACAUGUGUGUACUAUUGAUUCACAUAAUUUACUAUUAGGGGAGUUGCUACAAGAUUGAUAAUACUUGCAUGACUAAAUUAAAAAUGGAGGUAUAGAUGAAGGUACUAUACUAUAAUUAAUUUUUUCACAUGUUUAGAACUUUUAAGUCACAUGAUUUACUAUUGAUUCACAUGAUUUACUAUUAGGGGAGGUGGUGCAAGUUUGAUAAUACUUGCAAUUAAAAAUGAAGAAAAAGAGGAAGGUAUUAUACUGUAAUAUUUUGAGCCCCAAAACGUAUAAUUAUUGAAACUAUAUUUUUCUAUAAAUAGAAGCUCAUUCUUCUUUCAUUAUCACCAAUUCACUAAGCUAUAGAGCAAUUAUUAUAGGGAGAAAUUAUAGAGAGAAAGAAGAAGAUAAGUCUACUACUUCACUAUUCCAGUAUCCAGUUUCUUCUAAGGUAAUGGGUAUUAUUUCUUUCGUAUUCAUGAAGAGAGUUAUUUCUUUCAAUACUCGUAAGGGUUGUUAUUCCAUUCUUUAUUAUUCUGUUGGAAUAACCUGUCUGUGCGGACUACACACGCCUGGUGAAUUCUUUUGUUAUUAUAUUCUUUAUUAUUCUGUUGGAAUAACUUGUCUGUGCGGACUACGCACGCCUGAUGAAUUCUUCUAUUAUUCCAUUCUUUACUAUUCUGUUGGAAUAACCUGUCUACGCGGACUACCACAUGAUUGGUGAAUUCUUCUGUUAUUCCAUUCUUUAUUAUUCUGUUGGAAUAACCUGUCUACGCGGACUACCGCAUGCAUGGUGAAUGACCCUUCGUAUUCAUUCUUUAUUAAAUUAUAGAAAUGAUCUGUCUACGUAGAUUACCGCAUGGCGGGUGAAAAUCUAUUUGCAGUUUCGUAUAUUCUAUUAUACUCGUAUGAGAUAUCAUUUCUUUUGUAUUUGUCAUGGAAUAUCAUUUUUUUUGGUAUUUUUCUUUUACGAGUUACUAUUCACGGGUUAGUAUUCACCUGGUUACUAUUCACUGUAGUAUUGUUCACUCGGGUAUUCGGGACACUUUUUGUGUCGGAGUACUAUUCAUGGGUUAUACUAUUCACGGGUUACUAUUCACCCGAUUACUAUUCACUCUAGUAUUAUUCACUCGGGUAUUUGGGACACUUUUUGUGUCGGGGUAUUAUUCACAGGGUACUAUUCUCGAAGUACUAUUCACGGAGUACUAUUCACCAAAAAAAUAUAUUUCUUUUCGAUCCAAAUCAUUUUUGGGUACAAUAUUAUUCUUGAAUUUUACUCCACAAAAUAGUAUCAUGUUGACAAAUUGGACGUUAUUGAUUCCUAGAUAAAUUAAAUUAUAAAUCUUUAAAAUUUAUCCUUGACUUGGUAUGAUUAUGACCAGGAAUUAUUCGGUAUAAUCAUGACCGUAAUGUGACGAAUGAUGUGGUGAAAGUCCUCAUUGGCCUGUAGUUAAUUGAUGGACAGUUGUUGGUAUGAUUAUGACCAGGGAUUAUUCGGUAUAAUCAUGACCAUUGAUGAUUACAUGAGUAUCCUUGGCCGUGAUGCAGGGAUGAUUCGAUUUUAUUUAUUAAGUUGAGUCUCAGCGAUAAAGUUGAUGAAAAACUUUUUAAAUCAUAGAAGAUAGUAGAUUUUAUGCUCUACUUGACUCUUCUAAUGGAUUGCUUAUUCCGCUGCAGUUGUUGAUCUAAAACUGUUGUCUAUUAUAUUCUAUCAGUUGUUAUACUGUUGAAGGCUAAGGAUAAUUUAUUCUGUAUUAUCUUAUUCAUAAUAUUUUUUGCUGGGCUAGUUGAGCUCACCCUUUCUUUCACUGUUCUCUUCAGGAAAUGAGAAUAUAGCUGGGACGAGUCGGGGAACGGAUUGACGGUCCAAAUGGUUGUUUUUGUAGUCCUCACUAUUCUGUGAAAUAAUGUGAUAAUAAUUGUAAUGAGGACUCCAUUGGGAGUGGAUAUUGUCUAGAAAGCAAUAUUCUUGUUUAAACUCUCAAUUAUGUUUUGUCGUAUAUUACCCGACAGUUGUAUAAUUAAGUUUGUAUUUGAUUUAUGUACCAUAUAUUUGGCGACUCAAGAUGGGUGAUGUAUACCUAUUUUGGGGCCGUCACAAAGCCCAUACACUCCCAUUUUAGAUCAUAGCUCCUAUGCCCAGACCCAUUAAGAGCAUACCCAGCCCCUACUAAUAUGCACAAUCUAAGCUCCCAUGAUCUAAAGCCCCUGACUUUGCAAAUAUAGAUCGAUAGAUAGAUUUUCGGGAAGGAUCACAUUUUGGUAGAUAGAUGGUUUAAUUUGUUUAACUAUUUAUUAUAAAAUUGAGUAUAAUUUAAUAUAAUUAAUUAUUUAGCUUACCUUCUCUCUCCUUGUCUGCAUUGACACAUAGAUUUAUUGAUUGCCACGUCCUUCUUCUGUUAAAUGGUUAACAGACAUAGACGACAAAAUUAAUUUUUGUAAAUAAAGUAUAGUUCAAUGAGUUGACCGUAAAAAAAUUUAGUUUAGUGAUGCAUUUGUAAACCGAUGUUGAGUAGAGUGGAGAAAAGUGUAUUUAAUCCGCUCCAAAAGUCACCACUUUACAAGUCUCGUCAACAAUCAGCACCAUGUAAACACUCACCCUCUUUGGUGAACUUGAAGAGUUUGAAAAUCAACUUAGGAGGUAUGAUGAUGAAAAUGAGGCACCAAUAAAGAAGACAUUGACACUUCAAGCUGAGAGUAACAAUGAAUGUGAUAACGAAGAUUUUGAUAAAGAAAUUGAAAUGCUCUCAAGAAACUUGAGAGACUAUUUCAAAAGAAAAUAAAAAAGGUAGCUCAACUCCAGUGGGUAAGUUCAAAACAGAACAAGAAGAAGAAAUUGUCCAACUCUAUUUCAUAGGACUAGAAGAUGAUGAUCAACUUGAGGUAACAAAUUUUCAUGAAGCUUUUGAAAUAUCUAUGCCUGAUUAUAUUGCUUUACAAAAUGAAAAUCAACAACUCAAAAAAAAAACUGUUUAUUUUAAGAAUUGCGUAAAUGCUAAUGAAUGAAGUUAAGUCAUUUAUUAAAGAGAGAAAAGAAAAUGAAUAUCUUAAAAAUGAAAAUGAAGUUUUAAAAGAAAAUUUAAAAAUGAGAGAUGAAUGCAUAAAUGCUUUUAAUGAUGGAAAAAUGAUGAAUGUGCAACAUGAUGAUAAUGUCACAAAUGCAAAAAUAACAUCUUUAAAAAAUGAUCUUGCUAAAUUUGUGCAAUGAGAAGAGAACCUAAAUGUUAUGUUAGGGGCACAAAGGUCUAGUCUUGAUAAAUAAGAAAUUGGGUAUAAUCCUAUUAAAAUGUGAAAAAUAGAACUAAUAAUAAUAUUAUAAUGAUUAAUAGAAAACCAAUGCAUAAACCACUUUAUUGUUCACCGUUUGUUACUUGUAAAAAAUAUGGUUUUAAAGGUCAUUUUAAAAUGUGGCUUUAUUAGAAUAAAGCAAAUUUGGGUAAAGAAAUGUGAUUUAUAUGCUACUAACCUAAUAGGACCCAAGAAGAUUUGGGUACCAAAAUGGUAGAGACUAUUUGUUCAUUUUGUAGAUGUCUCAAGGUCAAAAAGGAGACAGAUAAUACUUAUAAAUUAUUUGGCAAAAUUCGCAAGUACCUUAUUUUUUUAAAUAGAUUUUUAAUUAGAUAUAUUAUGAAAACUCUAUGGAUUUCGUAUCAUAUGGCUUCAUAACAUCAUUUAUUAUAAAGUUUUUAUUGUGCUAAAUGCUCCAUAUUUAAUACAAACGACAAUCUUGAUGAGGAAUAAGUGAAUAUUAUUUUUGAUGAACUUAACCAUGAUCUGUUAAAGGAAGAGAAUGAGGUUUCUGCUGGAAAUGACUAUCUGAAUUGUGGAACCCAAACAGUUCAAUCCGGAUAGUCUAAGCCGUCUCUAUCAGAAGGAAAGAUAGAUGAAAUCAGACAAUUUGACCCGUCUGUUUUAGAAGAAAACUCAAAUUUACAAACACCUAAAUCCAAACAGAUCGAGUCGUCUACUUUAGAAGACAAAACAUAUGAAUAUUCGGAUGCAGUAACUUAUAUUCCAGAGGAUGAAUCUCAAAAGCAAAUGACUACUGCCAGGCUUCCUAAAUCUUCUAGAACUAUGGGAAAUCAUCAUCCAAGUCUGAUCAUCAGAAAUUUCAACAUUAGGAUGUCCACAAGAAGAGGUUUUGAAGAAAUUUGUUUGCUACACUAAGGAGCUUAUCUAUUAAGCUUAUUGUUGGUAACAAAAUUGUGGAUAUAUAGGUAACAAAUCACAAAGGUAUGGUCAUUUUAUUUAAUUGCUAUAUGUGAUAUUGUUAUAAGCUUGCUCCCGUGUCUUUAUUUUAUGAAUUAUUUUUUGUUUGUCACAAAUGGGAUAGAGAUAUAACUAAAUUGAUGAUUUUUUUUUUUUUGAUAAUAACAAAGGGGAGAAAUGUUUAGAAAAAUUGAUGAUUAUGAUAUCUGAUGGUUAUAUUGAUUAUAAUAUGUUUAGAUUUUUUUGAUAUCAUAUUGAUGAUAAUGGUUGGAUAUUUUGAUUCAUUAUCUGUUAUAGCUUAUCAUUAUGCAUUAUUUAUCAUAACAGUUAUGUGAUCUUUAUAUCUCCUAUAGGCAUAAAUUUAUGGGGAGCAUGAUUGCAAGGAAUAAUAUAUUGUCAUCAUCAAAAAAGAGGGAAAUUGUUAGUUUUAUUAUUUGUGAUUUUAAUAAUGACAAUAUAUUUGUAAAUAUAAUUUAUUUAAUGUAUUGAAUUAAUUUUGUAAUGGUUUGUUGAAUAUGAUAUAUAGUAAGUUUGGUUCAUGAUAAUUUAAUUUGGUUAUAAUUCAAAUUGUUAUUACGUGCAGGAUUGAAUUGAAAUAUUUUCUUCCAGGUUGUUAUUUUGUUAAAACAGGUUGUUUCAAUUUUGAAUUGGAAUAUGUUAAGGAGUUUGUUUAGCAGUGUAAUCUAUCUAUUAAAUAUAUUAAAAUGCAGUACAUGAUAUCAUAGCUUGACAUAUGUCAUUCUCACAAUUCAACACGUGUCCUGUCUAAUUAAUAUUCCUUAAGACCCUUAACAAAAGUGCCCAGCUAACAUAACAAAUGAGGAUGAAAACAAACUUUAAUUCAUUCCCCUAAAUUUUAGAUUUAUAAUCCCCUAAAUCAUGCUACAAAUCUAAACUAUUUUGAUAAUAUCAACUGUUUUGAUAUUAUCCUUUGUAAUUUAAUUAUUAUUUAAUAAAAUUACUUUUUUAUGCUAUUAAUUAAUUUUUUAGAUUUAUAAUCUUCUAAAUAACUACAAAUCUAAACAGUUAAUAACAUAAUGUCAUUCUCUUAAUUUUUUAAAUUUACAAUCCUCUAAAUCACUACAAAUCUAAACUGUUUUGAUAAUAUCAACUGUUUUGAUAUUAUCCUUUGUAAUUUAAUUAUUAUUUAAUAAAAUCAUUACUUUAUCUCAACACCACCCCCUACAAUGUAUAUUCAUUUGUUUUUCUGUGUAAAAUUUGAUCAUCGCACAACAAUCUACCAUCUUCUUAUUAUAUUUUAAUUUAUUAAUUAUACAUACAUAUUUAUUGAAUAAUUCCGCCCGCAACGCACGAGUUUGUAUCUAGUGUGGUCUAAUUUGGAGUCUUUAAAUUAACUGGUUUAGAUAUUUGUGUAGAGUAUGGGCUCUAUCUACUCGUUAAUUUUAGCCUAUGUUGAUUACGUAUCUUUGAUUUUCUAAUUUUGAGAAUAUUUUAAGCUGUUAGCUAUAUCUAUAGUUCUGAAAUAUCAAAUUCUCGAAAUGAAAGACCAAGUCAUGCUAACCAUUUCAUAUAGUCGUUGGACUGAGUUCUAUAUAUUUUCUUCAUGUUUGUCUAUAGUGAGCAGGACUCUUGAAGCUUAUAGCAGCCAUAUUACACAGAUUAAUCAAGAGCUUUUCAAAGUUAUUUUCAGCUACUCAUUAUAUUGUUAAUUUAUUUCAGUUAAAAAUUAAGAGUCUAUUAUAAUCUAUAUUUAUUGUAUUAAAUUUUAGUUCAAGUCUUGUUUGGCUUGAUCGAUCCAAUAGUGGAUAGGUUUGUUCGAAGAAAACUUUUAAGGUUGCAGAGGUGCAAAUGUCUCAGUGGUGAGAAAGGUUGCAAUGAUGCAAAGGGGCAGAGGUGUUCAUCGCAGUGGAAAAUUUUAUUUGAACAGGGAGUUCUUUUUAUUAUACUUAAUGGAGUCUUAAAAGUUUAAUAAAAAGAGUCCAAUACCGGUUGGUUUUGAACGUGGAUUAAGCCGUUAGAGUUUAAGGGCAGAACCACGUAAAAAUUCUUGUCUGUGGUUUGUUAAUUCUUCUGGGUUGAUAAUUUAUUUCUCACGUUGCAUCUAAUCUCAUUCAUAUUACAUUUUAUUGUUGGUAGGAAAAGUAUACUAAUCUAGACACUAUCUUCUGUCUUUAUAACAAAAGUAAAAUUGACUCUAAAGCAGACACUUUUAUUUGUCUGUUUUAAGUUUAGCAGCAAGUUCAGCAGCAGGAAAAUAAAAUUAGUCAUUGUUAGUGUGCUUAUUUAUAGAAUUACAUCCACAUCUGUAAUUCUACUGAGAUUUAAUGAAUGUUUAUUUUGCCGAUUAAAAAACAAAGGAAAAAGAAUAAAAGUAAUAAGAUGUUCGAAACAUUUGAUUGUAUUAUUAUAUUUUUGUGAGCCAAGGUGAAAGCAAAGCCACCUAGUGGUAGUUGUUUUAUUUAUAAUAUGGUAAUAACAACCAUGAACUGAUAGUUGAUUUAUUUAUUAUAUGCUAAUAACAGCUAUCAGCUAGUGGUUGAUUUAUUUAUUAUAUUCUAAUAAACAGCCAUCAACUAGUAUAUAGUUUCUUGAUCAACUGUUCAUAGGAAGAUUACUGAUCGUUCAUUUAGGCGUUGGGGGGACUAAUUUGAACACCAUAGAUAACUAAACCCGUCUCCAUAGUCGUGUUUUCACUCCCGUCGAGAGCAAAUUUGAAAUCUCCAGAGUCAAAGCUAUUCAAGAAUUCCCCAGCUUUGAGUGAAAUCGGUGUGUUCCUCGGACAAUCCAUCAACCUAUAUCCAUUCACUUGCGUGGACCCAUCCGGAGGAGUAAGUGUAAGACUCACCGGACUUUCUAUGUUAAGGUUGUCUUUCAGCAGCACCACAAAAGACACCUCAUAAGUUCAUUUUUCAAGAGUUUCUGUCGGAUAUUUUCCAUCAACAUGUAGGACUAAGCUACCAAUUAAUUCAGCACUGGCAUCACUGAAAAAAAAUGAUAGUAGAAUUAAAGUCAGAAACUUUUGAUAUAAGGAGCUUAAAUUCAUUAAGGUGAUUUUAUUGAUUUUUUUUUCUGGAAAAUUUUUAAUGUUAAGUCCUUCUAUCUGACUAGAGUCUAGACUUCAAUAAAAUUUCUAUAGUCCUUCUAUCACUUUAAUUUAAUGACAUAGUUGCUUAUAUAUCCCUAUUUUUAACUGAAUAAAAUUCAGGUGUUUAAACACAAAUCUUGACCUUUGACAUCAAUUAAGUUAACUAAGUCUUAUUUCUACUUACGUAAACUUCCAGCCUGAAGGGUUGGCAUAAUUGAGUUCCUUUGCAUGCACAAAAGCCCAACUGCUCUGAAUAAGUCAACAGAAAUUUACAUUAUUAUAUGGAUAGAUAAGGCAAACCAGCGGUGACCAAUAAAUGAUAUGUCGAUGCCUUUAUAAAUAUAUAUAUAUAUAUAUAUAUAUAUAUAUAUAUAUAUAGAAUAUUGACGGUUGACAUUGUCAAAAUAACAAUUAUAAAAGUGUUGCCAAAUGUAUAUUUACUCUGAUAGCGAUGACAUUAUCAACCACCUAUAUAUAAAUAGCAAAUGUUUCAUAGCAAAAGUUUAUUACAGAAUAUGUAUCACUCAAACCAUCUUAUAUCAAUCAUGCAUUACAACAUCAGAUAGAUGAGAUCUUAAAAUUUUUGAACACUCCGCGACAUUAUGUUGCAAAUGGUACCAAAUUUUAAAAAUCCCAAAGGUGUAAGAUGGUCUAAAUUUUGCAAAAAUGUAUCACUUGCAAAAUUUACAAAUAUUAAGGAUUAUUUUUGUUCUGUAGACAACUUUAGUGUGUAUAUAUAUUUGAUGUUUGUUUCCAAUUUCAGUGGACUUACCUUCUGGCCCGGGUCCUUUUUGAGCAACGCAUUUUCCUUAGCUUGAGACAACAAUGUCUUGAGGUCAACCUUGUGAUACCUCACUACUUGUGCCAUUUCGCCUUUAAUUCUGCUAUAUAUAUUUUUUGUUUUUGUUCUUGAUGUCUAUAUAUCUCUCUUCCAAAGGCUAGCUCUAUUUAUAGAUAGCACAAAAGAGGGUAUAUUCAAUAAUAACCUAUCUUCAAAUAUUCCUUCCUUUUUCACAGUGGGGAUCCUGAUAAGUUUAACAUCAUCAUCAUCAUCGCCAAGGAUAUAGAGCAUCAGAUUCUGUUUAAUAAUUUUGUUGGAAUAUUUCUUUUCCAUUUCUCAGUUCAAUAAUUCUUUCUUUAGCUUGUUGCGCUGGCAAAAUUCGAUGAAGGCGAAAGGUACGUAGGCAUUCAAGUAAGUGAUGAUUUUCUUCUAACCAGAAGUAUGAGCAGGUUGAUGAUACAUAUGUCAUGCCAACAUAACAAACUUUAGAGGAGCCGAGUUCGAAAAAGAGAGGGUACUGGUAUAAUUGCCUUAAUUCGAUCUUAUCACCCAAGCACGGGUGCCAUCUAUUUUGGUUCAAUAUAAUGGAGUAUAUAUUCAAAUCAACAAAACAAGGCAAGAACAAAAAAUAAAUUUAAAGUGCAUAUUUUAAUAGGAAUAUCUAUUAAUAUAUAUAGGUAUGUUACUCAAAUAUCUAUACCAUCUAUACCAAUUUAUAGCAAGAUAAAUACGAGUUAUUUAAGUUGGUCUUGAGCCAAUUUAGUAAUCCAAUUUUGGUGACUCCGUAACUCAAAAUGUUUUUUUUUUGUUUUUUUGUUUGAUUUUUAUGUAUUCUUGGUCAUAAAUUUUGAUAUUCCCAAAAGUCAACUAAAACACUCAAAAGUUAUAUAUUUUCACAAAAUUUUAGUACACAUUUAUUAUUAAAGAUGGAAUAUAUUAUCUAUCAUUAAGAAUUGAGUAAAUAUAUAAAAAUAAAAUAAAAUUAAUGAAAUAACUUUUGAGCUAUCAAGUCAUCAAAUUUGGAGAGCUGAGUUGACUUGAGUUAUAUUAAAAUGUCAUUCAAAAAUAUUAUAUAUAUAAUUUACCAAAUAAAUCGUUUUUAAACUUAUCCGUACUUCGUACGGAUUAUUAAUUUUGUUUGUAUUAAAAGUAGAAGUAUAAGCAUCUCGCAGGCCAAAAAUAAAAAAAGAAAAAAAAAAAGAAAAGAAGAGCAAGACUACUUCUUUUUCUUCCUUUUUAUCUCCUUUCUUUCUUUGUUUCUUUUUAGACGGAGGACUUCAUUUCAUCUUUGAAAAUAAACAUAAGAAUUUAUCAAAGGAAAUACAAGAUAGACGAUACAAAUAUUGAGAUCUAAUGGAACUUUUGUUGUCUAAUUAUUAUUAUUUUUUAUUUUCAAAUAUACGCAUACAUGAUAAAGAUUCACAAUUAUAUAUAAUAGGCUAAAAUCAACAAUCCGCUAAAAAAUUUGCGGUCUGUCAAAAUGUUUAGUUGUCGAGCUAGUAUAAAUUACCGUCUACCAAAUCGUUAUUAGUUAACAAACUAGUGUAAAAAUUUCACUUUGGAAGCUAAUAUAAACUAUCAUCUAUCAAAUUGUUAUUAAAUGGGGAGCUACGAAUGUAAACUAUCGUCUAACAAACUUUAUUAGCUGAUGAGCUAGUGUAAAAUAUCAUUUAUCAAACUGUUAGAUAGAGUGUUGGUUACAGUUAAAUGUGUCUUUGGAUCAAUUCCUAUACAGUCCGCUUCUCCAACGGACCGGUUUGUCAGCGAACCAACUAUAGUGACGGUUCAAUCCGUCGUUAUAGCAUAGAAAAAUGUUAACGCCAAGAUUCGUCCACGUGCAAAAACGAAAUCACACAGAGGAACUUGUCGGCUUGGGCCGCCAGGGGAUAGCUCUGGUAUAAGAAUAAGUACUGACUGAAUAAAGUUAACAAUGGAGGCUUAUAAUUUUAGUGCUGAAAAAAUAAUAAGAUAUUGUGUGCAUGUGAACCAGGGUAUAUAUAGCCUUGUAUUUAUAGUGAUCACACCUCUUUAAAACGCAUCAUCUCGUAUAGGAGUAGAAUUCCUCAUUAAGAUGGAUACCUUAAUGGGACAUGAUUGAAUCUCCUUAAAAAAAGAAAGUCGGAUACUAUCCUGACUCUUUCCUUAGAAGUUAGAAAUUAAAUAUAAUUAGGAAUCCUAGAUUCCUUAAAAUUCUCCCACUGCCCGUGGGGAGACUUCCUCCACGUGGACUAUGGCCCACCGAAUUCUGUGGUCCCAAAUAAUCAUGUUCCAACAUUGUCCCCCAUUGUAAUACCUAGAAAAAUAAUUAAAAAAAUAAAAAACAUUUAAGUUUAUAUUUUAAAAUAUAUUAGUUGGAUUUUAUUAUUUAUUUGGGUCAAAGUGGUCAUUAAUUUAUGUGGGCUAAUAAAUAUUAAUAAAUUAGGGAUAAAUUAAUUUGAUAAAAUUGAGCCUUAAAACUAAUUGGGUCUAAUUUAUAUUUGUGUAAUAAUAAAUCUUAUUAAAAUUUUAUUAAAAUUAAAAGAAUUAAUAAAACAUAUUAAUUAAUGAAUAAAUAACAAACCUAAUCUUACUUUUAUUAUACAAACUGAGGGAAAGAAAAAGAAGAGAAGUAGGUGAGGCGACUUAAGAGUGAAGAAUGAAAAUUUGUCACUCUUGAUAUUUGGCAAGACACAUUUAGUAAGUUGUUACUAUUUGUUUUUUAAAUUGUUAGAUCCAUCAUGUAGAAAGCCAGUGAUUCAUAAGAAAGUUAAAAUACAUUAUAUAUGAAGUAUACUUUUAGAAGUUUGAUACAUUAUUGGUUAAUGUGGAUAGCCUUUAAGGCAGAGUAUCCAUGUGAAUUGGAUAUCGUGAAUGGCAUACUAAAAUAAUAUACGCUUAGUAUAUGGCGUGAAUCAGAUAAGAUCAAAAGGUAUUUACUGAUUAAAUGUAUCUGAAUAUAUCUAAAUAUAUCUGAAUGUAUCUGAAUUGUAUGUUCUCCAAAAUCCUAGCACCCAUAUUUAUAGGCCAUAGAAAAAUCCAUAACCAAUUAAAUAGGAUUUUUAAUAUAAAAUUGAGUAUAGAUAGAAACGAUAACUUUUCUAAAACAGAUUCUAGGUAAUACCUAAACCCAAAUCCAAUAAGGAUUCAUGUUAUACCCAACAAAUGUCCACCUUGACUUGAAUCCUCCGAAUAUUGCACAAACAGUAAACUUUUUCCUCUUCUCAAAAUGCACAACUCAAGUGCAUCGAACACUAACCACGUCCAAGCAAUGUUUGAACUUGGUAUGUGUUAACGGCUUCGUUAACAUGUCAUAUGGAUUUUCUGCUGUACCAAUCUUCAAGACCUUAUUGUCACCAUCUUCAACAAUGUCUCGAACAAAAUGAUACCUGACAUCAAUAUGUUUCCCCCGAGGACAAUACUCACAGAAGUCAAACUUUAUUAUUUUUUGUAUAGACAACUCGCUAGAUUUCUUCGUCUCCUAAUCCGUAUCAGACAUAUCUACAGGCUUCAUUGGCUUCCCUACAAUGGCUUUCUUCAAGCCUUGCUGAGUAAAAACAGCCUUCAUCCGAACCUGCCAAAGACUGAAACUAAUUUUCCCAUCGAAUUUGUCAAUAGAAAAUUUUGUUGAUGAAGUCGAACUCAACGUCAUAGUAUAUAUCGAUAAUAACCAAGCUCUGAUACCAAUUUAUUAUGACAAACUAUGACAAACACAAUAAAUCAAUGCAGAAAGAUAAAGACAAUAACACAAGGUUUUACAUGAAAACUCAAAUUGGAAAAAAACUACGGAGAAGGCAAAAGAAAUCCACUAAAUAAAUAUCUGAAGAGUACAAGAUAAAAAAAGAGAAUACUAAAUUGAGUAUAGGUAAAAAAGAUAACUUUUCUAAACCAAAACAGAUUCUAGGUAAUACCUAAAUCCAAAUUCAAUAAGGAUUCAUGUUAUACCCAACAAAUCUCCACCUUGACUUGAUCAUUCCUCCAAAUAUUGCACAAAUAUUGAACUUUCUCUUCUUCUCAAAAUGCACAACUCAAGUGCAUCGAACACUAACCACAUCCAAGCAAUGUUUGAACUUGGUAUGUGUUAAUGGCUUCGUUAACAUGUCAUCUGGAUUGUCUACAGUACCAAUCUUCAAGAUAUUAAUGUUACCAUCUUCAACAAUUUCUUGAAAAAAAUGAUACCUGACAUCAAUAUGUUUUCCCCGGGACAAUGCUCACAGAAGUACAACUUUCUUACUUUCUGUCCAGAUAACUCGCUAGUUUUCUUCGUCUCCCAAUCCGUAUCAGAGAUAUUUACAGGAUUUAUUAGUUUCCAUACAAUGGCUUUCUUCAAGCCUUACUGAGUAAAAACAGCCUUCAUCCGAACCUACCAAAGACUGAAACUAAUAUUCCCAUCGAAUUUGUCAAUAUCAAAUUUCGUUGAUGAACUCGAACUCAACGCCAUAGUUUGGAUCGAUAAUAACCAAGCUUUGAUGUGACGCCCCCAAAACAGGUAUACAUCACCCAUCUUGGGUCGUCAAAUACAUGGUACAUAAUACAACUACAAACUUCUUUUAUACAACUGUCGUGUAAAAUACGACAAAACAUAGCUGAGAGCUCUCAAUGGAGUCCUCAGUACAUUUAUUAUCACACUAUUUCACAGAAUAGUGAGGACUACUAAAACAACCAUCUGGACCGUCAAUCCGUUUCCCAAUCAGUCCCAGCUAUAUUCUCAUUUCCUGAAGAGAACAGUGAAAGAAAAUGAUGAGCUCAACUAGCCCAGUAAGAAAUAUUAUGACUAAGAUAAUGCAGAAUAAAUUAUCCUUAGCCUUCAACAGUAUAACAACUGAUAGAAUACAAUAGACAACAAGUUCUAGAUCAACAAAUACAGCGGAAUAAGCAAUCCAUUAGAAAAGUCAAGUAGAACAUAAUGUCUACAAUCUUCUAUGAUUAAAAAGUUUAUCAUCAAUUUUAUCGCUGUAAUACCCAUCAACAGUUCUUUAUACCAAAGACAAAGAGAACUUUCAUCACCUGUCUUCACCUGAACCACCAAAGAUUUUAUUUAAAUUCACAAUUCAUGUUUAUAAUAAUGUGAAUCAACAGUUCCUCCCUGCCACAAAGGCUUAAUAGAACGUUUACUCAAUAUCCUUACCCAAAGGAUAAAGAUAUUCAAAUGUAAUAACAAUGAUCAUACCAAUCAGUUGUCUAUCUUUGCACUACGGGCCAAAGAUAUUCAACUAUAAAACCAUUAGUCAUGAUCAUACCAAUCAAUUGCAUGUCGGUGCACUACGACCAAAGACAUUCAACUGUUAACUAAUGAUCAUGAUCCUGCCAAUCACAUCAUCGAAUUAUCCCUGCACUACGGCCAAGGAUAUUCUUUAGUAUCACCAGUGGUCAUGAUCAUGUCAUACAGCUGUCCAUCUUUGCACUACGGGCCAAAGCUAUCAAUCAAUAGUUCAUCUUUGGAUUACGACCAAAGAUAUCAAUCAACAGUUCUUCUUUGCACUACAGGCCAAAGUCAUACAACUGUAAAACCAAUAACCAACAGUCCAUCUAUGCACUACGGGCCAAAGAUGACUUUUAACGCAAUAUAAGCAUGAGGAUCAUGACAAUGAUAUAAAGAAUCAGUCAAAUGAGAUAAAGGAUAAAUAUUAAACAUUUAUAAUAUAAUUUAUCCAGAGUUCAAGAAUAUCCAAAUGUUAUCAAUCACUUAAUAAUCUCAUAAUCUAAUAUCAUUAAUAUUAUAACAAUAUUUUAAUCAUUUCUUAAACUUAAUUAUAAACAAUUUAUUUUAAUUGUUUACACUUUACUAAUUAAUGCAUUUAAUCAGCCUAAAAUGCCAAACUCAUAAGAUUUCAUCACCAAUAACCAAAACUCUCAUAAAAAAUCUGCAUAUACCUUAUAUAGGAUUUUCAAGCCAUAAAAUCCUAUUUAUCAAUUUUUUAACUUCACAUAACUUAUUUAAUUUAUAUGUUCGUAACUAAACUAUUUUCAUGAAAAAUAUCAAAUCAGUCUAAAAAAGUUUUCUUUUCUGAGAUUUAGCAGAAUAUAGUCCCAUAUUGAACAUAUAUUUUUCUCGAAAUUUUUAAAAUUCAUUUACUAUUUUUCAUAUGGCCAAAAUUACCGAAUAUUUAAACAUUUAUCAUAAACUAUACUUUUGUCCAAAAAUUCCAAAAUUUACAGGGUAUACUCCUUUGAUAUAUAUGUACGCCCAAUAAAUUUUUUAUCAAUUUUGGAGUUAACCACAAGGAUUUAUAAAGGUUUACUUUUAAAAUAGUCUUUUCCCAUAAAAUUCAUAACUUCUAAUCUAUACAUCCAAAAAUCACCAUUUUUGGACACAAUCUAGAAAACUCAUCAAAUUAUCAUUUCAAAUUUUUCCAGAAUUUUUGACGGUUAGAAAAAUUACGAAACUGCAAAUGGAUUUUCACCCACCAUGCGGUAAUCCACGUAGACAGAUCAUUUCCACAAUUUAAUAAAGAAUGAAUACGAAGGGUAAUUCACCAUGCAUGCGGUAGUCUGCGUAGACAGGUUAUUCCAACAGAAUAAUAAAGAAUGGAAUAACAGAAGAAUUCACCAUGCAUGCGGUAGUCCGCGUAAACAGGUUAUUAAUUCCAAUAGAAUAAUAAAAAAUGGAAUAACAGAAGAAUUCACCAUGCAUGCGGUAGUCCGCGUAGACAUGUUAUUCCAAUAGAAUUAUAAAGAAUGGAACAACAGAAGAAUUCACCAUGCAUACGGUACUCCGCGUAGACAGGUUAUUCCAACAGAAUAAUAAAGAAUGGAAUAGCAAAAGAAUUCACCAUGCAUGCGGCAGUACGCGUAGACAAUUUAUUCCAACAGAAUAAUAAAGAAUGGAAUAACAACCCUUACGAGUAUUAAAAGAAAAUAACUCUUUUCAUGAAUACGAAAGAAAUAAUACCCCUUACCUUAGAAGAAAACUGGAUAAUAGUAAGGUAGCAGACUUCUCUUCUUCUUUCUCUCUAUAAUUUCUCUAUAUAAUAAUUGCUCUUGUGAGACUUAGUGAAUUAGUGAGAAAUGAAGGAAGAAUGAGCUUCUAUUUAUAGGAAAAUAUAGUUUCAAUAAUUGCACAUUUUGUGGCUUGAAAUAUUACAGUAUAAUACCUUCCUUUUUUUCUUCAUUUUAAUUUAGUCCUACAAGUAUUAUCAAACUUGCACCACCUCCCUAAUAGUAAAUCAUGUGAAUUAAUAGUUCAUUCAUGUGACUCAAUAGUAUAAUCAUGUGAAAAAAAAACUAAUUAUAGUAUAGUACCUCCAUCUAUACCUCCAUUUUUAAUUUAGUCAUGCAAGUAUUAUCAAUCUUGCACCACCUCCCCUAAUAGUACUUGCAUGUGAAUCAAUAGUACACACAUGUGAACAAAUAGUUAUAAGCAUGUGAAUUAAUAGCAAUUAAUUGCUCAUUUAUCCGAUUAAUAAUCCGAUUGGUCAAUAUAACAUCCAGACAUCAAUUAUUAUCGAAAUAAUUGUCGAUUUCCACUAACACUAACAAUCCCAACACAAUGGAAAUAUUUUUAUCAACAAAUUUAUUUUUGAAAUUUUGAAGUUUGACUUUUUCUGCAAAAGUCAAAUGUUGACUUUUUGACCAAAAAGUCAACCCCAGUAAAUUUUGUGUUUAUAGUCUAUUUUUACUAAUUUUAUCGUUCUGGACUCAAAUAUCACGUUCGCGUCUCCAAAUUUAAUUCUGAACUCAAAUUCUAGUUUUUAAUAACAUUCAUAAUUAAUAUUAUAACUCACAAUAUUAACAACCAGAUCGUUCCCAAGAAAGAGGGGGCUUUCCGAUAAGGAUUUCUCCCUAUUAGCGCGCAAUUAUAUUACCUAUCCUCUCCUUGACAGAACUUCUAGACAUCGUCAAUAUUGCAAAUAAUAAUAUGAAUAACUUUGACGUCUCAAUUAUUGAUUUAAUAAUAUAAAAUAUUAUACAUAUGAUACUGUGACAAUAAUUGAAUCAAUAAUAUGAGAGAUAUGAUGCAGCAAUUACUGUAGCAAUAAUUGAGUUUAACUAAGUGACUUCUUACAUAAGCAUCAAUAAUCAAUACCAUAUGGUACUAUGCAACCACGCGUAUUACUGUAUUUUUACCACCAAUUAUUAUAUGACAACUUACUUACUUUGAAAAAUUUUCACAUAUCACCCUUAACUUUAACAUUUUAUCAAUUUAACUAUUUACUAAAUAGAAUAAUAAUUAUAAAAAUUGAAUACUUUCAUUUCGUAAAAUUCGGGGUCUUACAAUCUCAUCUCCUUAUGAAAUUUUGUCCUCGAAAUUUACGUACCUAGUAGUUCGAAGAGAUGAGAAUACCUUGCUUUCUUUUUCGUUUUGUACCUUCCCGGUUAUUUCCUCUCUAUCAUGAUUUUCCCAUUUCUCAUCUCCUGUAUUUCAGAUAUCAUUCUAGAAUAUAGAUUCAAAAUAAGGGUUAAUUAACAUGCCACAUAUUAUCUCUAUAUUCUGACCAACCAAUUAAAUAACAAAUAAACUUAGGUAGGUCAUACUAGCGAAUGAAUUACCCGUCUCUCCCCUCCUAGUUCUAGCCUCACAUCUUAGCCAGGGAUCAUAUCCCUAAGCUUUGAUACUAAUUGUGACGCCCCCAAAACAGGUAUACAUCACCUAUUUUGAGUCGCCAAAUAUAUGGUACAUAAUACAACUACAAACUUCUUUUAUACAAUUGUCGUGUAAAAUACGACAAAACAUAGCUGAGAGUUUAAACAAGAAUAUUGCCUUCUAGACAAUAUCCACUCUCAAUGGAGUUCUCAUUACAUUUAUUAUCACACAAUUUCACAGAAUAGUGAGGACUACUAAAACAACCAUCUGGACCGUCAAUCUGUUUCCCGACCAGUCCCAGCUAUAUUCUCAUUUCCUGAAGAGAACAGUGAAAGAAAAGGGUGAGCUCAACUAGCCCAGUAAGAAAUAUUAUGACUAAGAUAAUGCAGAAUAAAUUAUUCUUAGCCUUCAACAGUAUAACAACUGAUAGAAUACAAUAGACAACAAGUUUUAGAUCAACAACUGCAGCGGAAUAAGCAAUCCAUUAGAAGAGUCAAGUAGAACAUAAUGUCUACUAUCUUCUAUGAUUAAAAAGUUUAUCAUCAAUUUUAUCGCUGUAAUAUCCAUCAACAGUUCUUUAUUAUACCAAAGACAAAGAGAACUUUCAUCACCUGUCUUCACCUGAACCACCAAAGAUUUUAUUUAAAUUCACAAUUCAUGUUUAUAAUAAUGUGAAUCAACAGUUCGUCCUUGCCACAAAGGAUUAAUAGAACGUUUACUCAAUAUCCUUACCCAUAAGGAUAAAGAUAUUCAAAUGUAAUAACAAUGAUCAUACCAAUCAGUUGUCUAUCUUUGCACUACGGGCCAAAGAUAUUCAACUAUAAAACCAAUGGUCAUGAUCAUACCAAUCAAUUGUAUGUCAGUGCACUACGGCCAAAGACAUUCAAUUUUUACCUAAUGGUCAUGAUCCUGCCACUCACAUCAUCGAAUUAUCCCUGCACUACGGCCAAGGAUAUUCUUUAGUAUCACCAGUGGUCAUGAUCAUGUCAUACACCUGUCCAUCUUUGCACUACGGGCCAAAGCUAUCAAUCAACAGUUCAUCUUUGGAUUACGACCAAAGAUAUCAAUUAACAGUUCUUCUUUGCACUACAGGUCAAAGACAUACAACUUUAAAACCAAUAUCCAACAGUCCAUCUAUGCACUACGGACCAAAGAUGACUUUUAACGCAAUAUAAGCAUGAGGAUCAUGACAAUGAUAUAAAGAAUCAGUCAAAUGAGAUAAAGGAUAAUUAUUAAAUAUUUAUAAUAUAAUUUAUCCAGAGUUCAAGAAUAUCUAAAUGUUAUCAAUCACUUAAUAAUCUCAUAAUCUAAUAACGUCCAAGUUGUCAACAUGAUACUUCUUUGUAGAGUAAAAUUCAAGAAUGCUCAGAAGAAUAUUUUCAUGAAAACAUACUAGAUGAAGCGCAAAUAUUAAGGAUAUUCCACUAAUUUCAUGGAGUAUAGAAGUCAAAACUUUAACCAAUGGAGUAUAAUAAAGAAUGAAAUAACAAAAAAAAUCACCAUGCAUGCGGUACUUCGCAUAAACAGGUAAUUCCAACAGAAUAAUAAUAACGGAACCAGGUCAGGCAUAAUACGCACCGACAGGAUAUUCUAACAGAAUAAUAAAGAAUGGAAUAACAACAAAAAUCACCAUGCAUGCGGUACGUCGCAUAGACAGGUUAUUCCAACAGAAUAACAAAUAAUGGAACCAGGUCUGACGUAAAACGCACAGACAGGAUAUUCCAACAGAAUAAUAAAGACGAAACCAGGUUCGACGUAAAACGCACAGACAAGAUAUUCCAACAAAAUAAUAAAGACGGAACCAGGUCUGACAUAAAAUGCACAGACAAGAUAUUCAAACAGAAUAAUAAAGAAUGGAAUAAUAACAGAAUUUCACCAUGUAUGCGGUACUUCGCAUAGACAUGUUAUUCCAGCAGAAUAAUAAAUAAUGGAAUAACAAAAGAAUUUCACCAAGUAUAGGGUAGUCCGCGUAUACAGGUUAUUCCAACAGAAUAAUAAAGAAUGGAAUAAUAGAAGUUCUCUUCAUGAAUACAAAAGAAAUAAUACCCCUUACAGGUACAACAAAUAAUAUCCCUUACCGUAAAAGAAACUUGAUAUCGGAGUAGUGAAGUAGCAGAAUACUUUUCUUCUUUCUCUCUAUAGUUUCUNNNNNNNNNNNNNNNNNNNNNNNNNNNNNNNNNNNNNNNNNNNNNNNNNNNNNNNNNNNNNNNNNNNNNNNNNNNNNNNNNNNNNNNNNNNNNNNNNNNNUAACUUUAUAAAAGUAUUCUGUUUUAUAUAAAAAGAUUUUACUAUUAGCCUAAUAAAACGAAUAACUUUAUAAAAGUAUUCUGUUUUAUAUAAAAAAAAAUUCUAUUUUAUUACAUUAAUAAUACUAAUAAAACAAAACUUAUAUAUAUAUAAUAUAUAUAACAAUCAACAAUAAUUGAAUCAAAUAACGUGAGAUACUAUGCAGCAACUACUGUAGCAAUAAUUGAACAAAACUGAGUGACUUCUCACGUAAACAUCAAUAAUUAAUAUCGUGUGCUACUAUGCAACCACGCGUAUUACUGUACUUUUACUACCGAGUAGUUCAACAGGUUUAAUGGUAAAACUUCCGCUGUUAUUUUCAUAAAAAUAUUUUUGUCGUUUUCUCAAUCCGACAAUAAUUCUGUUGUGGGGUCCACCAAUGAUUGUGCCGUCGUACGAAUAUUCCCUGUUAAAACAAAUAUUUCCCGACCAAUCGAAUAUUAUAUAACAACUUGCAUACUUUGCAAAAUUUAUAAAUACUACCCACAACUAUAACAUUAUCUCAAAUUCACACCAUAAUAUUCAAAAAAAUAUUUCGAGAAAAUUAAAUCUUUAUUCGUAAAAUUUGGGAUUUUACAUUGUCGGCUCACAAUCUCCAGAAGACUAAAAGCCUCCUAUAAUUUUUCAUUAUAAUGUGUUUUUACCCGGAGAUAACUUAACGAAAGAGCCAGCCAUAGUUCAGAAUACAUGGAUCAAUGAUAUUGGAUGGGGGAAGAAGGAAAGAUGCCCUGACCAUCGAUCCACUAACAUUGUGAAAUGUACAUUAUAUACAUUCUCCUUGCUAGCUUUUGUUGGUAACCAAACCUUCACACCAAGGUAACCAAACUGUCAUACCAAGGUAACCAAUCCACACCUCCAUACCAAGGUAACCAAACCUUCAUACCAAGGUAACCAAUCCACACCUGUAGUUUUUUCAUAAUGCAGUUGGUAACCAAACUUUCAUCUCAAGGUUACCAAACCUGCAGUUUUUUUAUAGUGCAGUUGGUAACAAAACUUUCAUACCAAGGUUAUCAAUCCACCUCCACACCUUCAGUUUUUCAUAGUGCAGUUGGUAACUAAACCUCCAUACCAAGGUAACCAAUCCACACUUGCAGUUUUUUCAUAGUGCAGUUGGUGACCAAAUAAACUAUCAUACCAAGGUUACCAAACCUGCAUACCAAGGUUACCAAUCCACCUCCACACCUGCAGUUUUUUCAUAGUUCAGUUGGUAACCAAACUUUCAUACCAAAGUAACUAAACUGUCAUACCAAGGUAACCAAUCCACUUCCACACCUUCAGUUUUUUCAUAGUGCAGUUGGUAACCAAACCUUCACACCAAGGUAACCAAACCUUCAUACCAAGGUAACAAACCUUCAUACCAAGGUAAUCAAACCACAUCCACACCUGCAGUUUGUUCAUAGUGCAGUAAUUGGUAGCCAAACAUUCAUACUAAGGUAACCAAUUCAGUGUUAUUAGGUUACCAAUUUAUUUUGAAUGUGAUGCAGUUGGUAGCCAAACCUUUAUGCAGUGGGUAGCCAAACAUUCAUACCAAGGUAACCAAUUCAGUUUUAUUAAGUUACUAAUUUAUUUUGAAUGUGAUGCAGUUGGUAGCCAAACCUUCAUGCAGUUGGUUGCCAAACUUUCAGUCCAAGGUAACCAAUUCAUACUGUAGGCGUUGAUGUAGAUUGGUUACCUUAGUAUAAAGGUUUGGUUACCUUGGUAUAAAAGUUUGGUUACCUUGGUACGAAGGUUUGGUUAUCAACAUUACAUUACACAUCACUCUCUUAUCUCUCUCUUUUCUAUUCAGAAAAUAAUUUUUUUUUAUAAAACUAGAACUGAAGGUGUUCCAGUACUAUUAUUAAGUAGCUAGCUAGCUUAUUACAUGAUGACACCAAUUAUGCCUUUAUCUCCGUUCAUGUCAUGAACUCUAAUUGCUCUCUGGUGCCAUGACAUUACUAAUGAUCUUCUCCUCUGCAGUAUCUCGUGAAUUUUCUUUUCUUACCGGAAAACGGUUGCUCCCGCCACCACUGCCCCACCCUCCACCUCCACCGUCUCUGUAACCACCACCUGAGCCACCACCGCCAACUCCNNNNNNNNNNNNNNNNNNNNNNNNNNNNNNNNNNNNNNNNNNNNNNNNNNNNNNNNNNNNNNNNNNNNNNNNNNNNNNNNNNNNNNNNNNNNNNNNNNNNNNNNNNNNNNNNNNNNNNNNNNNNNNNNNNNNNNNNNNNNNNNNNNNNNNNNNNNNNNNNNNNNNNNNNNNNNNNNNNNNNNNNNNNNNNNNNNNNNNNNNNNNNNNNNNNNNNNNNNNNNNNNNNNNNNNNNNNNNNNNNNNNNNNNNNNNNNNNNNNNNNNNNNNNNNNNNNNNNNNNNNNNNNNNNNNNNNNNNNNNNNNNNNNNNNNNNNNNNNNNNNNNNNNNNNNNNNNNNNNNNNNNNNNNNNNNNNNNNNNNNNNNNNNNNNNNNNNNNNNNNNNNNNNNNNNNNNNNNNNNNNNNNNNNNNNNNNNNNNNNNNNNNNNNNNNNNNNNNNNNNNNNNNNNNNNNNNNNNNNNNNNNNNNNNNNNNNNNNNNNNNNNNNNNNNNNNNNNNNNNNNNNNNNNNNNNNNNNNNNNNNNNNNNNNNNNNNNNNNNNNNNNNNNNNNNNNNNNNNNNNNNNNNNNNNNNNNNNNNNNNNNNNNNNNNNNNAGAGUGUUGGGAGAUAGCAUUAGAUAUACAUAAUAUUUUUACAUAUUUACUAAUACACAAAAUCAUUUUCUAAUUUCUCUUUCAUCUUUCAUUCUAAACUAGCUAUCAAAGCAAAACAAAAAAGAGAGAGGGAGAGCAUAGAUUUGAUAGCCUUAAGGAGGUAAAGGGGAAGAAUUUUAAUCUUCAUGCACCCUAAGUUCAUCAAUUACUUUGGUAAAAGAAGAAGAACAUCCCAAAGAACAAGGUAAAGACCCUAAAAAAUUUCAAGUUUUGUUACUUUCUUUUGAUAAGUUUUGAUGAAAUAAAGAGCUUGUGUUCUUGAACUUUAAAACUCUUGAUCUACAUGUGUAUGCUUUUUUCACAUGUAGGUCUAGUUAUUUUUGAAGUUAAAAGUUUUUAAAAAAAAGAAAAAAGAAGAAGAAAUGAAAGUAUGUUCAAAAGGGGCUAAACACCCUAAAUUAACUAUUUUUUUUAUUUAGUUUUUUUUGAUGAAAUGUAAAGAUGAUGUUUCUAAGUUCUAAAAUUUUUUAUCUUUAUGUUUUCUAGUGUUUCAUAUAAAGAUCUAACCAUUUUUUAUGUUAAAGGUUUGAUCAAAGGUAAGGAAAGGAAACUAGUUUUUUUUUAACGAAUAAAAACCCUAAAACUUUUUAUUCACUUUGAAAUGCUAUCAUUUAAAAUCUACAUCUCCUAUUUAUGAUCCGUCAAAGAUGGGUGCUAGAUAUAGGAGUUAGCUUUCAAACCUAAGUGGUAUCACUCAAAUAUGUUGAAUUUACAAGCUUUGGUGACUGUUUUAACAAAGCUAUCCAGAUUUUUAAAAGAGAAAAAUGGAACAAUCUCAUUAUACUACAAAACAAUAUUAUUAAGGUUUAUUUACACUAUUUUAAGAGAAGCUAGAAAUGAGUUGCUGUUUGUCCAUAAGCAACAGCCACAAAGGUACUGUCUGAGAGCCUAGGAAGAGCUCCCAGACACUGUUUGUAUGCCUACUGCUACUGCCGAGGCAGUAGCCCUGCACCAAGUUCACUUUUAGCAACUUCUGAUAUUCUACUUUGCUUAGGCUAAAUUUUUAGAGAUGGUAAAGGUACUAUAUUAGUCUCUUUUAGAAACCUACGAGGCUUAAAUUUCACGUUUAUUUACUGUCCAAAAACAAUUGUCAAAGUGACUUAACAUAAUAGGUUUUAAUUUUUCACUUUGGCCUAAUAAUGUAGUUUAUUUCAUUUUAGUAAUGUUAAACUUAUUAAUUAUCUUUAUAUGUGUUGUCUCAACCACACUCAAGCUGCAAUUCCUUCUAAAAUCCCAUUUUUAGUUAAAACAGUUCACCUAGGACUUUUAACAAACAGGUGGUGUGCACAGUUCCAAUUUCUUCUUUUCAUAGCCAUUUAUUUGAGUUAUAAAUCCAUUUUUAUCCUCCUUAUUAUUCCUCAGCCCAACCUAGCUCCUUAUGCCUAAAUCCAGCUCAUAACAGUUAAAUACACGAUUUAAUAUGUGUAUAAUCAAGUAAUUGACAACUAUCUAGUUAUAACUUAGUUAGCUCACUAAUUUUCUUACUUUCAACCUUAUUAACAAUACAUUUCCAGCCCCAACAGUAGGCACAAUCCAUAACAGUUCUAGGCAUAGCAAUAUAUUGUACAAUCAUAAGCAUGUGCAAUCACUUAUUACAAUUAUAGGCAUAAGCAGUCACUUAUUACAACCUAACAAUUUCAAUUCUUGACAUACAAACUUAGUAAACAAUGGUUUUAUUACUCUACAUAAACAAGGUUCACAACUUAUAACUUUAAGCAUGAUAACUAGAAACAACCUCUAUCUUGAUUAAGGUGAAUAUUAAAGCACUUGGAAUAUGUAGUCUCUAAAAGAUAUUUGCAUACAUAGCUUCAAUUGGAUAAAUUCUUAGCUUACAUGUGAUUCUCACAACACAGUUUUUUUAUUAGUUAGUAAUAUAACCAAAUCAAGUCAUGACUUUGAAAUUAUAGGUAGCUAGGGGUUGUUUUGAAUCCUAAUCCAAAACAGGCCCAGAUUUGCCCUACUCUAGGCUCUUUUGAAAACUUCCAUAAACCUUCAUGGUUAGGUUCUUUAGACCCCAUGUUAUAAAGUAUAACCCACUUCAUUUUCAAGGACAGAUAAGUUCUUAUAUAAGUUUAUCAAUCUAGUUAAAAGUGGUUUCAUUUUGCUUAUGUAUAUGAUUGUCAUGGUAUGUAAGUUAUACCAAUACAUGUUAUACUUAGGCAUAGAGGGUACUUGAAGCAUAGCUACCCUUUAAAUGAGAACUUAAACAUAAUUUUGGACUCCAUUCCCAGCCAGCCUAUUUUGACACUAUAACAGUUUUAGAGUAGCAUUUUAGGCAUGGUUUAUUACACCAAAACAGUAGCAAGCACUAACGUAUAUGCCUUUCUAACACAUGAACCUUUUAUGUACCAUAUUUUCAUGAUUUAAAGCAUCUAAAGUCAAGGUCUUUAUGCUUUAGGCCAACACAACCCUCUUUAGUAUUUAAAUUCAAAAACAAACAUGGUUUACCAACAUGUUUACGAAGAUAGCAUAAGUGUGCAACAUAGAAGCUUAUACUAUCUUUUUAUAUAGUAUUUAACAUGCAUAAUAUAUGUUUGGAUGACAUGGAAUAUGUAAGACCCCAACUUAUUAUAAAUAAAAUUGAAUUUCUCUAUUUAUUAUCUUGAAAUAAUAAGGUGAUAAUUUGAUAUAAUACUUUAGUUAUGGGUGAAAUGUGCAAAUUUUGCAAAAUAAGCAAGUGGUUAUAAAAUAUUCAUUUUUGUCGAGGAAUAUUCGUUUGGUCAUGGAAUUUUCUUGUUGUCGGGGAAUAUUCGUAUGACGACGCAGCCAUUUGUUGGACCCAUAACAGAAUAAUUGUCGGAUGAAGAAAACAAUAAGCUUGAGUUUUUAUAAAUAACGGCGUAGUUGUUACCGUUAACACUGUUGGAAUACCCGGUGGUUAAAAUACAGUAAUACGCGUGAUUGCACAGUAGCACAUGGUAUUACACAGUAUUUUUGAAUUAUUAAUUCUUACAUAAGAAGACACUACUUAAUAAUUGUUACAGUAAUUACUGUUCAAUAUUUUAUUUUAUUUAUUCAAUAAUUGUUGCGUUGAUAUUUUAUAGUAUUGUUGUUUCAAUAAUUGUCAUUGCACAGUAUUUCCCAUUAUCAGAUCAAUAAUUCAUAAUAUUUGAAUAAUAUUAUUAGAUAGCAUUAUUGGCAAUGUCUAGAAAGUUUUGUCAAGGAGAGGUUUGGUCACUUAAUUGCGCGCUAGUAAGGAGAAAUUCUUAUCGAAAAGCCCCCUCUUUCCUGGGAACGGCCUGAUUGUCAUUAUUGUGAUUCUGUAAUAUUAUUUGUGAAUAAUUAUUUAUUGAUUUAUAUGAUAAGGAAAUAAUUAUUUUAUAUGGACAUAAAUGAUAUGAGACCCCAGAUUUUAUGAAUAAAUAUUUAUUUUUCUCGAAAUAAUUUUUUAAUAUUAUGGCGUGGAUUUGAUAUAAUGUUAUAGUUGUGGGUAGUAUUUAUAAAUUUUGCAAAGUAUGCAAGUUGUCAUAUUAUAUUCGAUUGGUCGGGAAAUAUUCUUUUUGUCGGAGAAUAUCCGUACGACGGCACAAUCAUUGAUGGACCCCACAACGGAAUAAUUGUUGGAUUGAGAAAACGAUAAAAAUAUUUUAUUAAAAAUAUCGGCGGAAGUUUUACCGUUAAUACUGUUGAACUACUCGGUAGUAAAAGUACAGUAAUACACGUGAUUGCAUAGUAGCACACGGUAUUGAUUAUUGAUGUUUACGUGAGAAGUCACUCAGUUUUGUUCAAUUAUUACUACAUUAGUUGCUGCAUAAUAUCUCACGUUAUUUGAUUCAAUUAUUGUUGAUUGUUAUAUAUAUAUAUAUAUAUAUAUAUAUAAGUUUUGUUUUAUUAGUAUUAUUAAUGUAAUAAAACAGAAAAACUUUUUAUAUAAAACAGAAUACUUUUAUAAAGUUAUUCGUUUUAUUAGGCUAAUAGUAAAAUCUUUUUAUAUAAAANNNNNNNNNNNNNNNNNNNNNNNNNNNNNNNNNNNNNNNNNNNNNNNNNNNNNNNNNNNNNNNNNNNNNNNNNNNNNNNNNNNNNNNNNNNNNNNNNNNNNNNNNNNNNNNNNNNNNNNNNNNNNNNNNNNNNNNNNNNNNNNNNNNNNNNNNNNNNNNNNNNNNNNNNNNNNNNNNNNNNNNNNNNNNNNNNNNNNNNNNNNNNNNNNNNNNNNNNNNNNNNNNNNNNNNNNNNNNNNNNNNNNNNNNNNNNNNNNNNNNNNNNNNNNNNNNNNNNNNNNNNNNNNNNNNNNNNNNNNNNNNNNNNNNNNNNNNNNNNNNNNNNNNNNNNNNNNNNNNNNNNNNNNNNNNNNNNNNNNNNNNNNNNNNNNNNNNNNNNNNNNNNNNNNNNNNNNNNNNNNNNNNNNNNNNNNNNNNNNNNNNNNNNNNNNNNNNNNNNNNNNNNNNNNNNNNNNNNNNNNNNNNNNNNNNNNNNNNNNNNNNNNNNNNNNNNNNNNNNNNNNNNNNNNNNNNNNNNNNNNNNNNNNNNNNNNNNNNNNNNNNNNNNNNNNNNNNNNNNNNNNNNNNNNNNNNNNNNNNNNNNNNNNNNNNNNNNNNNNNNNNNNNNNNNNNNNNNNNNNNNNNNNNNNNNNNNNNNNNNNNNNNNNNNNNNNNNNNNNNNNNNNNNNNNNNNNNNNNNNNNNNNNNNNNNNNNNNNNNNNNNNNNNNNNNNNNNNNNNNNNNNNNNNNNNNNNNNNNNNNNNNNNNNNNNNNNNNNNNNNNNNNNNNNNNNNNNNNNNNNNNNNNNNNNNNNNNNNNNNNNNNNNNNNNNNNNNNNNNNNNNNNNNNNNNNNNNNNNNNNNNNNNNNNNNNNNNNNNNNNNNNNNNNNNNNNNNNNNNNNNNNNNNNNNNNNNNNNNNNNNNNNNNNNNNNNNNNNNNNNNNNNNNNNNNNNNNNNNNNNNNNNNNNNNNNNNNNNNNNNNNNNNNNNNNNNNNNNNNNNNNNNNNNNNNNNNNNNNNNNNNNNNNNNNNNNNNNNNNNNNNNNNNNNNNNNNNNNNNNNNNNNNNNNNNNNNNNNNNNNNNNNNNNNNNNNNNNNNNNNNNNNNNNNNNNNNNNNNNNNNNNNNNNNNNNNNNNNNNNNNNNNNNNNNNNNNNNNNNNNNNNNNNNNNNNNNNNNNNNNNNNNNNNNNNNNNNNNNNNNNNNNNNNNNNNNNNNNNNNNNNNNNNNNNNNNNNNNNNNNNNNNNNNNNNNNNNNNNNNNNNNNNNNNNNNNNNNNNNNNNNNNNNNNNNNNNNNNNNNNNNNNNNNNNNNNNNNNNNNNNNNNNNNNNNNNNNNNNNNNNNNNNNNNNNNNNNNNNNNNNNNNNNNNNNNNNNNNNNNNNNNNNNNNNNNNNNNNNNNNNNNNNNNNNNNNNNNNNNNNNNNNNNNNNNNNNNNNNNNNNNNNNNNNNNNNNNNNNNNNNNNNNNNNNNNNNNNNNNNNNNNNNNNNNNNNNNNNNNNNNNNNNNNNNNNNNNNNNNNNNNNGAUAUUGUUUAGAAGACAAUAUUUGUAUUAAAACUCACAGCUCUCUUGUUGUAUAUUAAAGAUUGUAUUUGUAUUCUGUACCAUGUAUUUGGCGACUCAGAAUAGGUGAUGUAUACCUAUUUUGGGGGCGUCACAGUUGGUAUCAAAGCUUAGGGAUAUGAUCCCUGGCUGAGAUGUGAGAUAAGAACUAGGAGGGGAGAGACGGGGAAUUCCUUCGCUAGUAUGAACUACCUAAGUUUAUUUGGUAUUUAAUUGGUCGGUUAGAGUAUAGGGAUAAUAUGUGUUAUGUUAAUUAACCCUUAUUUUGUGGCAGUAUUUAAAAAUGGCAUCCGAUAAUGUUGAGAAUAGCAAUGGAGCACAGGAGACCGUUGAGUCUCCACAGAUUAAUAAUCAGGACAAUGUGCAACCGGAUGACGAUAAUCCUCCUGUAAACAACAACACUAAUCAAUUGACGAACGACGGUACGUUUAAGAGCUUUUUAGAAUUCAUGCAACACCAAACGAGAGAGACUCCUGUUCAUAAUGCUGGAGGAAACAAUGGCAACCCACGGUUGGUCACCGCUAAGUAGUUCAAGGAGCUGGGACCACCAGAGUUUUUGGAAAAGCCAGAACCACUUAAGGCAGAGACGUGGUUAAAGCAGAUCACCAAGAUAUUUGAUGUCUUGGGAUGCUUGAAAGAGCAAAAAGUUCCAUUCGCCACCUUUAUGUUUCGUGAAGAAGCAGAUCACUGGUGGGAAUCUAUAAAACGUACCCAGCCUGACGCACUCAAGAUAUCUUGGGAGAAGUUCCAAGAGCUGUUCAACGACAAGUACUUUCCUGAAAGUAUUCGUCACAUGAAGGAGGUGGAGUUCAUCAAGCUGGAGCAAAACAAUAUGACCGUGUCGCAGUACGAGGCUAAGUUUGCCGAGUUGUUCCGAUUUGCGUUCCAUUUGGUUGAUAAUGAGGAAAGAAUGACGCGAAUGUUUCUAAGAGGUUUGAAAUCCAAUAUACGUCAAUACCUCAUUUCUCACAAACUUUAUUUAUAGUCAGAUGUUGUGAAUAGGGCUCAGUUAUUGGAGCACGAUAAUGAGUUAGCACAACCAAAAGGCAAUGACCAACAACACGAUAAUAAUUAUAUCAGUGGCAACGGUCAUCGGAACAAUGAUAACCAUCGUGGGGGAAAUUAUCAUGCCAAGAAUGGUAACCACUUCGCUGGUAAUCAUGGACAAGAUAAUAGAAGUGGAAAUUUCAAGAAGAGAAGGUUCAAUAAUGAUGGAAAGACAGUAGCACCAGCACCCGUUUCAAAGGAAGAAGAACGACCACCGAUCGUAUGUUUCAAAUGCGGACAGGAGGGACACAUCCGUCCAAACUGUAUGCAGCAAUCCAAAACGUGUUUUAAUUGCGAAAGAGAAGGUCACCUAGCUCGAUUUUAUCGUAUGGUAAAGUCAAGUCCAGCUGGGAUAGUGAUGCCAAAGGAUGUCCCAGACAAGCCAAAGCUGAUAAUUUAAGAGAGAACGUUUUUUUUCUCGUGACGAGGAACCUGAAUAAAAUUAUCAUGGGUAAGUUAAUCAUAAACUCUUGCGAAGUCUAUACCAUGUUAGAUACCGGUUUUACUCACUCUUUUAUUUCACCUAGUUGUGUUCAAUGUUUGUACUUAACUCCGGAGAAGUUAGAAUCUGAUUUAUCUAUUAAAACUCCGUUGGGAGAAACCUUCGUUACAUCUAUUAUUUAUAAAUCUUGUUUGAUUCAAAUCGACACUUUCAUGUUACCUGUCGAUCUUAUCUCUUUGAAAAUACUUAUCUUUGAUGUGAUUUUAGAAAUCGAUUGGUUAACUACUCAUCAUGCUUUUCGUAAGGUUGUUAGAUUUCAUAUUCCUAACCAACCUGUUAUGCAAAUUCAAGCAACCAAACCACUAAAUUCAAUCAUUGUCAUAUCAAGCCAUAAGUAAAGAGCCCCGAUCCUUUUGUUGUUGACUUCCUUGUGUGGAAUGCACUGAAGCCAGACUUUCUGUAUGCGACAUCAUGAAUGACGAUGGCAAGUUGAUAGGUAUUAAUAUGACGUACUAUCCAAGUCUUGGAUGAGAGUAACAGUUUUGAAUGAUAUUUCUAUCGUUAAUAAAUUUCCUGACGUAUUCCUGAAGACUUCAUAGCCUACCCCUAGAGCAUGAAAUCGAAUUUUAUAUUGACCCCAGUACAAAACCCAUUUCUUACACCCUCGAAUAUUUCUUCAACUAAAAUGAACGUAACAUACGCCAAAGACGUUGAAUCGAGCUGUUGAAGAUUACGAACGUACCAUUCAAUACCAUCGUAGGAAAAGCUAACAUGGUUGCUAACGCGUUGAGUAGAAGAUCGUAUGCGGUUACAAGUGCGAAUAUAAGAACCCACGUGAAGAUAAUGAAUAUACGAGUAGAAUUGACUUUAAUCAAUAAAGUUAAAGCCGCUCAAGCUAAAUACUCAGAGCUGAUGAAUGUGAAAAAGAAGGUUUAAGAGGGUGUUAUUCUAGAAGCAAGAAUCGAUGAAGAGAGGAAAUCUCAACCCUCGAUUUAAUUGGCCCAUUUGAAAUCCUCGAUUGAGUAGGAACUGUGGCUUACAGACUCAUUUUACCGCCAAGUAUGUCGCGUGCUCAUAACGUUUUUAACGUAUCGAUGUUACGUAAAUAUGUGGACGACCCAAACCACAUUAUUAAUUUAGAACCAGAUGAGAUAGCAGAUGAUUUAACGUAUGAGGAGAUACGUGUUAAAAUCUUGGAUAAGAAGGAUUAUAUUCGACACUCAAAGGUUAUAUCUCAAGAGUUAGAAUCUGAAAUGAAGUCAAGGUAUCCUCACCUGUUCGGCAUACCAGGUACGUACGUAAAUUUUGAGGGCGAAAUUCCAUAAGGAGGGGAGAUUGUGAGACCCCAGAUUUUAUGAAUAAAUAUUUAAUUUUCUCAAAAUAAUUUUUUAAUAUUAUGGUGUGGAUUUGAUAUAAUGUUAUAGUUGUGGGUAGUAUUUAUAAAUUUUACAAAGUAUGCAAGUUGUCAUAUUAUAUUCGAUUGGUUGGGGAAUAUUCUUUUUGUUGAGGAAUAUCCGUACGACGGCACAAUCAUUGGUGGACCCCACAACGGAAUUAUUGUCGGAUUGAGAAAACGACAAAAAUAUUUUAUUAAAAAUAACGGCGGAAGUUUUACUGUUAAUACUGUUGAACUACUCGGUAGUAAAAGUACAGUAAUACGCGUGGUUGCAUAGUAGCACACGGUAUUGAUUAUUGAUGCUUACGUGAUAAGUCACUCAGUUUUGUUAUUGGUAUUAUUAAUGUAAUAAAACAUAAAAUCUUUUUAUAUAAAACAGAAUACUUUUAUAAAGUUAUUCUAUAAAUAGAAUAUAUUAUAUUCUAUUAUGCAUAGUGUUUUGCAUAGUAAAAUCUUUUUAUAUAAAACAGAAUACUUUUAUAAAGUUAUUCUAUAAAUAGAAUAUAUUAUAUUCUAUUAUGCAUAGUGUUUUGCAUAGUAAAAUCUUUUUAUAUAAAACAGAAUACUUUUAUAAAGUUAUUCUAUAAAUAGAAUAUAUUAUAUUCUAUUAUGCAUAGUGUUUUGCAUAGUAAAAUCUUUUUAUAUAAAACAGAAUACUUUUAUAAAGUUAUUCUAUAAAUAGAAUAUAUUAUAUUCUAUUAUGCAUAGUGUUUUGCAUAGUAAAAUCUUUUUAUAUAAAACAGAAUACUUUUAUAAAGUUAUUCUAUAAAUAGAAUAUAUUAUAUUCUAUUAUGCAUAGUGUUUUGCAUAGUAAAAUCUUUUUAUAUAAAACAGAAUACUUUUAUAAAGUUAUUCUAUAAAUAGAAUAUAUUAUAUUCUAUUAUGCAUAGUGUUGCAUAGUGUCUGCAUAGUGAUUUGCAUAGUAAAAUCUUUUUAUAUAAAACAGAAUAUUUUUAUAAAGUUAUUCGUUUUAUUAGAUUAUAAAUAGAAUAUAUUAUAUUUUAUUUAAAAGAUUUUGCUUUAAAUAUGGACCGUCCGAUUAAAGUAAAUCAAUCUGGACCGUUCAUGAGUUAGUUACUAUGUAGUCCAUUCUUCUAUAAAUAGAAGCUCAUUCCUUCAUUAUUUUCUUACGAAUUCACUGAAACCCUAGAGAGAGAAAUUAUAGAGAAAAAAAAGAAAAGUAUUCUGCUACUUUACUACUCCGAUAUCAAGUUUCUUUUACGGUAAGAGAUAUUAUUUGUUGUACUCGUAAGGGGUAUUAUUUCUUUUGUAAUCAUGAAGAGAACUUCUGUUAUUCCAUUCUUUAUUAUUCUGUUGGAAUAACCUGUAUACGUGGUCUACCCUAUACUUGGUGAAAUUCUUCUGUUAUUCAAUUCUUUAUUAUUCUAUUGGAAUAUCCUGUCUGUGCGUUUUAUGCCAGACCUGGUUCCGUCUUUAUUAUUCUGUUGGAAUAUCCUGUCUGUGCGUUUUACGCCGGACCUGGUUCCGUCUUUAUUAUUCUGUUGGAAUAUCCUGUCUGUGCGUUUUACGCCGGACCUGGUUCCGUUAUUUAUUAUUCUGUUGGAAUAACCUGUCUAUUCGAAGUACCGCAUGCAUGGUGAUUUUUGUUGUUAUUCCAUUCUUUAUUAUUCUAUUGGAAUAUCAUGUCUGUGCGUUUUACGCCAGACCUAGUUCUAUCUUUAUUAUUUUGUUGGAAUAACCUGUCUAUGUGAAGUAUCGCAUGCAUGGUAAUUUCUGUUGUUAUUCCAUUCUUUAUUAUUCUGUUGGAAUAUCCUGUCGGUGUGUAUUACGCCUGACCUGGUUCCGUUAUUUAUUAUUCUAUUAGAAUAACUUGUCUAUGCGAAGUACCGUAUGUAUGGUGAUUUCUUUUCUUAUUCCAUUCUUUAUUAUACUCAGUUAGUUAAAGUUUUGACUUCUAUACUCCAUGAAAUUAGUGGAAUAUCCUUGAUAUUUAUACUUCAUCCAGUAUCUUUUCAUGAAAAUAUUCUUCUGAGCAUUCUUGAAUUUUACUCUACAAAGAAGUAUCAUGUUGAAAAUUUGGACGUUAUUGAUUCCUGGAUAAAUUAAUUCGUGAACUUGUUUUAUUGAAUUAUUAUGUCAUUGUCAUCAUCCUCAUGUUUAUUUUUUUUGAAAGUCAUCUGUGGCCUGUAGUGCAUAGAUGGACUUGGUAUGAUUAUGACCAGGGAUUAUUCGGUAUAAUCAUGACCGUAAUAUUACAAAUGAUGUGGAAAAAGUCCUCAUUGGCCCGUAAUGCAUUAAUGGACAGUUUUCGGUAUGAUUAUGGCUAUGGAUUCUCUUCGGCCAAGGGUGCAAAAAUGAAUUGUUUUAUGUCAUGAUCAGGACCGUUGAUGAAAACACGAUUUUCUUUGGCCCGUAGUGCAUGGAUAAUUCGUGGUCGUGAUACUAAAGAAUAUCCUUGGCCUGUAGUGCAGGGAUGAUUUGAUGAUGUGGAUUAUUUAUUGGGCUGAGUCUCAGCAAUAAAAGUGAUGAAAAAACUUUUUAAAUCAUAAAACAUAGUAGAUUCUAUUCUCUACUUGACUCUUUUAAUGGAUUGCUUGUUCCGCUGCAGUUAAACUUGAUGUCUAUUGUAUUUUAUCAGUUUAACAUUGUUGAAGACUAAUGAUAAUUUAUUCUGCACUAUCUUAGUCAUAAUAUUUCUUACUGGGCUAGUUGAGCUCACCCUUUCUUUCACUGUUCUAUUCAGGAAAUGAGAAUAUAGCUGGGGCGAGUCGGGGAACGGAGUGAUGGACCAGAUGAUAGUAUUAGUAGUCCUCACUAUUCUGUUAAAUAGUGUGAUAAUAAAUGUAAUGAGGACAUAUUCUGAGAGUGGAUAUUGUUUAGAAGACAGUAUUUGUAUUAAAACUCACAGCUCUCUUGUUGUAUAUUAAAGAUUGUAUUUGUAUUAUGUACCAUGUAUUUGGCGACUCAGAAUAGGUGAUGUAUACCUAUUUUGGGGGCGUCAAAAAUGAUGGGUAGAAAAAUAUUUAUUUUGUGUGGUUAUAAAUGAAGAAAUUAAUUUUGAGGUAUUUUAUAAUUAUUUUGUCAGAAUGGAUGUAUUAAAAAUCAUCCGUAUGUGGAUUUCGGACAUUUUUUGUUUAGAAUUUGGAAAAACUUUCUUCUCUAAAGUUGUAGAGAAUUUGAUUUCCUAUGGAAUGGACAUAAAAUUCAUAUUUUUCUGAUAAAAGAGCUAUUUAUUGUGAAUUAAAUGGAGUAAAGAUAAUCAAAUUGAAUUAGUUUUCAAAUUGAAUUUGAAUUCUUUUAUUUAUUUAUUUUUCAAAAAUAUGUGAUAAAUUAUUGGGGUGGGUGAGCAAAGUUGGACAAUCUUGAUUCAAGUAAGGUGUGCGUAGAAGAGAAGGAAAUAAGAAUAUUAUUUUAUUAUUUUAGUCUCCUUUGGCGUUCUAGCAUUUUUCUAUAAAUAGGUGCUUAAGUUAGAAUUGAAAAUCACACCAGAAACAUAAGCUUUCUCUCUCUAGAUUAUCGAGCGUAUUAUUGUGAGUAUUUUUCUUGAGUAUAGGAAUACUUUGAGCGUAGUUUUCUGCAAGAUUUUCUCAGAAUAAUAUCCAAUAUUCCAGGCAAAUCCAGUUUCUACUAAGGUAAAGGAUAUUAUUUUAUUGCUUUUAUAAUUCCUGAAAUGAUUAGAAAUUUCACUUCAUCUAAUAUCCUUUUAUAGGAAUAUUGGUCUGAACUUUUUAUCAAAUUUAGAACUUUUCAUGACGGGUACUGUUCACCGGUACUGUUCACGGGUACUGUUCAAAAAAGAAAAAAAAAUUUCUCCUUCCCAGUUAUCUGUUGUGACCUUUAAUCCUGAAAUUGAAUCCAUGUUUUUGAUCUUUAUUCUUGAAUUUUACUCCAUUAUGGUUUAUUAUGGAGUAUUUUUAAACUUGAGUUAUCUAAAGUACAAAUCUCUAAACUUUAUCCUUUUAUCUCACUUGAUUCGUUCUCUAAAAUGUUUUUCAUCAUCCUCAGUCCUUAAUGGUGAUACUUGAUAAAUAUCUUUGGCCUGUAGUGCAAAGAUGUAUGAUUACCUGAUGAAUAUCUUUGGCCUGUAGUGCAAAGAUGAACAGGUGUUGAGAUGAACAUGACCAACUGGUGAUACAAAUGAAUAUCUUUGGCCCGUAGUGUAAAGAUGAAUAUUUGAUUCAAGAUGUAUAUUGAUUGAUGUUACAGGGAUAAAAUAUUGAUGAUGGACUUUUAAAUUCAUAGAUGAUAGUAGAUUUCAUUCUCUACUUAACUCUUCUAAUGAAUUGUUGUUUCCGCUGCAGUUGUUGAUCUAAAACUUGUUGUCUAUUGUAUUCUAUCAGAUUUUUCCCUGUUGAAGACUAAGGAUAAUUUGUUGUAUAUUAUCUUAGUCAUAAUAUUCUUUACUGGGCUAGUUGAGCUCACCCUUUUCCUUUUUGUUCCAUUUUUCUUCUCAGGAAGCGAGAACAUAGCAGGAACCAGUCGGGGUAUAGAGUGAUGGUCCUAGACAGUUGUUUUAGAAGUCCUCACUAUUUUUGUAAAAUAGUGCAUCAAUAAUUGUAAUGAAGACUUUAUUUGAGUGUGGAUAUUGUCUAGAAGACAAUAUUUGUAUUUAAACUCACAGUAUGUGUUGUCGUAUUUUGCACGACAAUUGUAAUAAUAAAGUUGUAGUUAUUUUCUGUACCAUAUAUUUGGCGACUCAGAAUGGGUGAUGUAUACCUAUUUUAGGGGCGUCGCAGAAUAGCUUAUACCAUAUCAGUCAUUAUCAAAUCCUCUAGUCUAGCAUACAAAAUCCUUAAAACGGUGGCUAAGUCUUAGUUAAAUGCUUAGCUCAUAUAUAGACCGGUAUACACCAAGUUAUAAUCAUCUUAUGCUCAUGCAAAACUAACCUUUUAAGCACAUUUGCAUCUUUAGAAUUUUAAUAUAGAAUAUUGGCAUAGGAUUAGACUUGGCUGUACUCAUUUUCAACACAGUUGACUCCAAUAGUCUAUUAACAGACAUUUUACCAAACAGUUGGGAUGCGGUUCAUAUCUAUCCAUACAAUACAUAUAUUCUUAGCUUAGUGAUCCCAGCCUUAUGGCUUAAACAAUAACAAGCAUAAGAUGAUACAUAACAACUCCAAUCACGGUAAUCCAAAUAGCAUUGAAACAGGCAUCCUAUUGUACCAAUUCCAAUAUAACAGCCAUACAUGUUACCUAAACUCUAACAGUCCAGUUGCUAUCAUUUAAAGAAACAGGAACGAAUGGAAAAGGAUUGGAAAGGUCAGAAUUGGCUUACCUUGUUGAUUUGAAGGUUACAAGUGGGUUGAGCUGCCCAGUUUCUCCUCCUUCUCUAGCCGAAGCUUUUCCUCUCUUACUCUAUAUGACUGAUACCGUUACUUCUUCCCUUUUUCUUUUAACUUUGCUAAGUGGUGAGCUAAUCGGUUCUAGGCCAUAAGCUUGGCCUUUUAUGGUUGAGUUUAUCUCCUCUUUUCUGGCAGUACUAUCACCUUUAGUUGGCCUCUACACAACCACCCUAUCAAGCUCCCAUCCAUCAUUCCUAUUCUAGUUCACUUGGCCCCUAUAGGGCCUGUCAGACCAUAGCUAUUCUGCUUCCUCUUAUCCACUGCAAGUUUAUCCCACCUGCUAGCUGACUGUUAACUGAACUAACAUGCUAACUAGAAACCAACUUAGAAUUCGUAUAACUUGCUACUUGACUUGGUGCUCAAGCCAUGUUAUUGUUUUUCUUAAUUGGUUUGAAGCAGUUAUCUUGCUAUACAUCACUGGGUUUACAGGAUUGGGCUGGGGGAACAAUGUGACAAUUUUAAUUUGGGUUUAAACUAACCCUCCCUCUUUAACCAUGUAGCUGCCAAAUUGCACUAAGAAAAUAGGUUAAAAUUGGCCCUUUUAAUUUUGUUAUAGACCUAAUACAACAACCCAUACCCUAAAAUAGUUGAAAGGGGCAUACAAGCAUACAUAGCAAAAUUUAAUAUGGCCCAAUGUUUUAGAAUGGACUCAUUUUAAACACAAAAUUUUUUCUAUCUUAUUAAAUUCCUUUUAGGCUAGCAACAAUAGUUGGUACAUAUAUCAUUAACUCUUUUUUUUUACCAUUCAUGAUCUAAGAUACUUAAUAAAAUAUUAAGUAACAAAUAAUUAUAAGGUCAGGAUACAAAAAUAAAAUAAAAUUUAUACACAAAAUUGACAUUAUAACAACUGAAUAUUUUAUAGAAUUUCUGAGUCAUUACAUUUACUUUGUUAAGGACUAAUGAUAAUUUAUUUUACAUUAUCUUAGUCAUAAUAUUCUUUACUAGGCUAGUUGAGCUCACCAUUUUCUUUCAUUGUUCUUUUCAGGAAAUGAGAAUAUAGUUGUGACUAGUCGGAGAAUGGAGUGAUGGUCCAAGAUGGUUGCUAUAGUAGUCCUCACUAUUCUAUAAAAUAGUGUGAUAAUAAUUGUAAUGAGAACUUCAUUUGAGUUUGGAUAUUGUCUACGAAAUAAUAUUUGUAUUAAAACUCACAACUUACGUUUUGUCGUAUUUUACACGACAAUUAAUAAUUGUAUAAAUGCAGUUUGUAUUUGAAUUUUGUACCAUGUAUUUGGUGACUCAGAAUGAGUUGUAUGGACCUAUUUUGGGGGAGUCACGAAUAGGACCCAAGAAGAUUUGGGUACGAAAAAGGUAGACUAUUUGUUCAUUUUGUCAAUGUCUUAAGUUCAAAAAGGAGACGAAUAGUACUUAUAAAUUAUUUGGCAAAAUCUGUAAGUACCUUAUAUUUUUUUCUAAAAUAGUGUUUUAAUUAGAUAUAUUAUGAAAAAUCUAUGGAUUUCGUAUUACAUGGGUUCAUAACAUCAUUUAUUAUAAAGUAUAUAUUGUGCUAAAUGCUCCAUAUUUAAUACAAAUGACAAUCUUGAUGAGGAAUAAGUGAAUAUUAUUUUUGAUUAACUUAACCAUGAUCUGCUAAAGGAAGAGAAUGAGGUUUCUGUUGGAAAUGACUAUUUGAAUUGUGGAACCCAAACAGUUCAAUCCGGACAGUCUAAGAUGUGAGACCCCGAAUUUUAUGAAAUAAAAGUAUUAAAUUUUUCUAUUUUGGUAAAUAGUUAAAUUGAUAAAAGUUUAAAGUUAAGGGUCAUAUUUGAAAAUUUUGCAAAGUAUGCAAGUUGUUAUAAAUAUUCGAUUGGUCGGAGAAUAUUCUUUUUGUCGGGGAAUAUUCGUACGACGGCACAAUCUUUGGUGAACCCACAACGGAAGUACUGUCGUAGUUAGAAAAAGACAAAAAUAUUUUAUGAAAAUAACGACGAAGGUUUUACCGUUAAAAUUGUUGAACUACCCGGUAGUAAAAGUACAAUAAUACUCGUGGUUGCAUAGUAGCACACGGUAUUGAUUAUUGAUACUUAUGUGAGAAGUCACUGAGUUAUACUCAAUUAUUGCUACAGUAAUUGUUGCAUCAUAUCUCUCAUAUUAUUGAUUCGAUUAUUGUCAGUAUCAUCUGCAUUAUAUGUUAUUUUAUUAAAUCAAUAAUUGAGACGACAAAGUUAUUCAUAUUAUUAAAUUGCAAUAUUUAUAAUGUCUAGAAGUUCUGUCAAGGAGAGGUUAGAUAAUCUAAUUACGCGCCAAUAGGGAGAAAUCUUUAUCGGAAAGCCCCCUCUUUCCUGGGAACAACCUGGUUGUUAAAUAUUGUGAGUUAUGAUAUUAAUGAUGGAUAAGUUCGUGUUGAUUAAAGAUGAAUUUUAUAGUUUUAUUGUGUUGGGAUUAUUUGUGUUAGUAGAAAUUGACAUCUAUUCCGAUGAUUAUUGAUGUCUGGAGGUUAUAUUGUUCAAUCGGGUAUUCGGGACACUUUUCAUGUCAGAGUUAUUAUUCAUGAGUUACUAUUCACGAGUUACUAUUCAUGAGUUACUAUUCACUAGUUACUAUUCACAAGUUACUAUUCACCUAAUUACUAUUCACUCUAGUAUUGUGCAUUCGGGUAUUUGGGUACAAUAUUAUUCCAUGAGGAGAUGUGUUAAUUUUUCUGACCGUUGGUUGAAAUUAUAAUAGUAAAUCAAUAUGGAUCGUUGAUUUAAAGUCUUAAUAGUAACUUGUCCCUUCAAUAUUACCAAGAGUUAAUUGCCCCUUCGUAAAUAGUAGUUGUCCCUUCAAUAUUACCAAGAGUUAUUUGCCUCUUCGGUGUUCCAAGAGUUAAUUACCCCUUCGCAAACAGUAGUUGUCUCUUCAAUAUUACCAAGAGUCAUUUUGACCCUUCGUUAAGACCAAGAGCCACUCUCAGUUUUUCUAUAAAUAGAAGCUCAUUCCUUCAUUAUUUCUUACGAAUUCACUGAAACUCUAGAGAGAGAAAUUAUAGAGAGAAAGAAGAAGAGUAUUCUGUUACUUCACUACUUCGAUAUCCAGUGUCUUUUACGGUAAGGGAUAUUAUUUGUUGUACCCGUAAGGGGUGUUAUUCUUUCUUAGUCAUGAAGAGAACUUCUGUUAUUCCAUUCUUUAUUAUUCUGUUGGAAUAACCUGUAUAAGCGGCAUACCCUAUACAUAACCUGUAUAUGCGGCAUACCCUAUACUUGGUGAAAUCCCUUUGUUAUUCCAUUCUAUAUUAUUAUGUUGGAAUAACCUGUUUAUGCCAAGUACCGUAUGCAUAGUGAAAUUCUUCUAUUAUUUCAUUCUAUAUUAUUAUGUUGGAAUAACCUGUUUAUGCGAAGUACCGCAUACAUGGUGAAAUUCUUCUAUUAUUCCAUUCUUUAAUAUUCUGUCAGAAUAUCCUGUCGGUGUGAAUUUCGGCUGACCUGGUUCCAUUUAUUAUUCUGUUGGAAUAACCUGUAUACGCGUAUUACCGUAUACUUGGUGAUGUCUGUUGUUCUUCCAUUCUUUACUAUUCUGCUGGAAUAUCCUGUCUGUGCGUUUUACGCCAGACCUGGUUCCGUCUUUAUUAUUCUGUUGGGAAUAACUUGUCUGUGUGGUCUCUAUCGCAUGCAUGAUGAAUCCUUCUGUUAUUCCAUUCUUUAUUAUUCUGUUAGAAUAACCUGUCUAUGUGGAUUACCACAUGCAUGGUGAAUGAUCCUUUAUAUUCAUUCCUUAUUAAAUUGUGGAAAUGAUCCGGUUACGUUGAUUAUGAUGAGAGUCAUAAUAAAAGUAUUGGACUAAUGAAAAUCAUGGGUAUAUGUGGUAUUAGUAAGUGUUAUGAUGAGUUAUGUUGGUUAUUAUGUGAAAACAUGAAAGUUUCUUAGAAAUCACAAAGGGUUGAAAAUCAGAUUUUGGUGAAAAUAGAACAUGAAAUUCAAUUGACCAUAUCUCCUAUUAUAUUUCAAAUUUUUGGGUGUGGUUAAGUUCUAGAGUUAGGUCUAUGAGUUAUGUAACUUAUCCAAGUGGAAUCACUGGAAAAGGUGUUGUAGAUUUUCGUGUGGACUGAUUUUAGCAAAGGAGUGCAAAGCUGCAAAAACCCAAAACUCUACUGCCCAGAAACUUUAAGGGGCUGUUUCGGCUACUUAAUUUGUGAGAACAAUUCUGGCCUUUUGGGACAUGAAAUUAUAUGAUAUAAAGUACCUCCUGUCCAAAAAUGAGCUCAUUCUGACUUAAAAUGAGCAAGUUAUGACCAUUUCAAUAUUUAGGUUUUUCCGACGAAAAACGCUAUAACCGGAGUUCUAUAACUCCGAUGACCAUGAAAUUUAAAUUGGAAGCUCAUGUUAACAUGUGUAAGAUUAUGCCAAGAUUUGGGAAUUUUUGGAGUUAACCUUGAGGUAGCUAACUUCUUAAGGAAUUAAUUAGAAAUUGAUUUUUGAAAAAUAGUAAAUGAAUUUUAAAAAUUCCGAGAAAAAUAUAUGUUCAUUAUGGGACUAUAUUCUGCUAAAUACCAGAAAAGAAAUAUUUUUGGGACUGAUUUGGUAUUUUUCAUGAAAAUAGUUUAGUUACGAACUUAUGAGUUAAAUAUGUUAUGUGAAGUAACAAAAUUGGAAAAAUAGGAUUUAUGGUUUGGAAGGUAUAUGCAGAUUUUUGAUAAAGAAUUUGAUUAUUGGUGAUGAGAUCUUAUGAGUAUGGCAUUUUGAAUGAUUAAAUACAUUAUAUGGUAAAGUGUAAGCAAUUGAAAUAAAUUAUUUAUAAGUUUGAGAAGCGAUUAAAAUAUUGUUAUAAUAUUAAUAAUAUUAGAUUAUGAGUUAUUGAUAAUAUUUGGAUAAGUUUAAAGUCUUUAGUAUUUAUCCUUGUUUUCGUAUGAUUAAUGCUUAUAUCAUUGUCAUCAUCCUCAUGCUUAUAUGGUGAUGAAAGUUAUCUUUGGCUUACGUGCAAAAAUGGACUUUUGAUUAUUGAAUUGUAUAUCUUUGGCUCACGUGCAGAGCUAGUUUGUUGAUUAUUGGUUUUAUUGUUGUAUAUCUUUGGCUUACGUGCAGAGAUGAAUUUGGUAUGAUUAUGACCAAGGAUUAUUCGGUAUAGUCAUGACUAUUGAUGAUUUAAUGAAUAUCCUUGGCCCGUAGUGUAGGGGUGAUUCGAUGAUGUGGUUUAUUUAUUAAGCUGAGUCUCAAUGAUAAAAAUGGAUGAAAACAUUUUUAAAUCAUAGAAGAUAGUAGAUUUUAUUCUCUACUUGACUCUUUUAAUGGAUUGCUUGUUCCGCUGCAGUUAAACUUGAUGUCUAUUGUAUUUUAUCAGUUUAACAUUGUUGAAGACUAUUGAUAAUUUAUUCUGCAUUAUCUAGUCAUAAUAUUUCUUACUGGGCUAGUUGAGCUCACCCUUUCUUCACUGUUCUCUUCAAGAAAUGAGAAUAUAGCUGGGACGAGUCGGGGAACAGAUUGACAGUCCAGAUGAUAGCAUUAGUAGUCCUCACCAUUCUGUUAAAUAAUGUGAUAAUAAAUGUAAUGAGGACUGAAUUUGAGUUUGUAUACUGUCUAUGAGGACUCCAUUGAGAAUUGAUAUUGUCUAGAAGGCAAUAUUCUUGUUUAAACUCUCAGUUUAUGUUUUACACGACAGUUGUAUAAUUAUGUUGUAUUUGAUUUAUGUACCAUGUAUUUGGCGACUCAAGAUGGGUGAUGUAUACCUAUUUUGGGGGCGUCACAUAAGACGUCUGCAUCAGAAGGAAAUAUAGAUGAAAUCAGACAGUUUGACCUGUCUGUUUUAGAAGAAAACUCAAAUUUACAAACACCUAAAUCUAGAAAAAUCGAGAGGUCUGCUUUAGAAUAAAAAACAUAUGAAUAUUCGGAUGCAGUAACUUAUAUUCCAGAGGAUGAAUCUGAAAAGCAAAUGACUUCUUCCAGGCUUCCUAAAUCUUCUAGAACUAUGGGAAAUCAUCCUCCAAGUCUGAUCAUCAGAAAUUUCAACAUUAGGAUGUCCACAAGAAGAGGUUUUGAAGAAAUUUGUUUGCUACACUAAAGGAGCUCAUCUAUCAAGCUUAUUGUUGGUAACAAAAUUGUGGAUAUAUAGGUAACAAAUCACAAAGGUAUGGUUAUUUUAUUUAAGUGCUAUAUGUGAUAUUGUUACAAGCUUGAUGUCGUGUCUUUAUUUUAUGAAUUAUUUUUUGUUAGUGACAAAUGGGGAGAGAUAUAGCUAAAUUGAUGAUUUAUUUCUUUUUGAUAAUGAUAAGGGGAGAAAUGUUUAAAAAUAUUGAUGAUUAUGAUAUUUGAUGGUUAUAUUGAUUAUAAUAUGUUUGGAUUUUUUGGAUAUCAUAUUGAUGAUAAUGGUUGGAUAUUUUGAUUCAUUAUCUGUUAUAUACAGCUUAUCAUUAUGCAUUAUUUAUCAUAACAGUUAUGUGAUCUUUAUAUCUCCUAUAGGCAAAAUUUAGGGGGAGCCAUAUAGUUAGGGAGAGCAUGAUUGUAAGGAAUAAUAUAUUGUCAUCAUCAAAAGGUGGAGAUUAUUAGUUUUAUUAUUUGUAAUUUUAAUAAUGACAAUAUAUUUGCAAAUAUAAGUUAUUUAAUGGUCUGAAUAUAUUUGCAAAUAUAAGUUUGGUUCAUGAUAAUUUAAUUUGGUUAUAAGUCAAAUUGAUAUUACGUGCAGGAUUGAAUUGGAAUAUUUUCUUUCAGGUCUAAUUUGGAGUCUCUAAAUUAACUGGUUUAGAUAUUUGUGUAGAGUAUGGACUCUAUCUAUAAUAUAUUGUUACUCCUUAAUUUUAGCCAUUGUUAGAUUACAUAUCUUUGACUUUCUAAUUUUGAGAAUAUUUUAUAGCUGUUAGCUAUAUCUAUGUGCUGAAAUCUCUAAUUCUCGAAAUCCAAGACCAAGUCAUUGACGAGCCUACUAAGUUUACACAGCAACCACGAUUUGUUUGUAGACUUGUAGUUAUUCAUUUUAUACCCGAAGUUAACAAAUUGUAUGAAAGGUUCAUCCUUUCAAUUAUCUACAUAAUUUAUUUUUUCCUACUCUAUGCAUUCCUAAGUAUCAGAUCGGAUCAGAUCAUAAACAUCACAAUAAACCAUCUAGUGGUAAUUGUUUUAUUUAUAAUACGGUAAUAACAACCACCUAGUGGUAGUUGAUUUAUUUAUUACAUGCUAAUAACAACCAUGAGCUGAUUGUUGAUUUAUUUAUUAAAUGCUAAUAACAGCUAUCAGCUAGUGGUUGAUUUAUUUAUUAUAUUCUAAUAACAGCCAUCAACUAGUAUAUAGUUUCUUGAUCAACUGUUCAUAGGAAGAUUACUGAUCGUUCAUUUAGGCGCUGGGGGGACUAAUUUGAACACCAUAGAUAACUAAACCCGUCUUCAUAGUCGCGCUUUCACUCCCGUCAAGAGCAAAUUUUAAAUCUCCAGAGUCAAAGCUAUUCAAGAAUUCCCCAGCUUUGAGCGAAAAUGGUGUGUUUCUCGGAUAAUUCAUCAAUCCAUAUCCGUUCACUUGCGAGGAUCCAUUCGGAAGAGUAAGUGUAAGACUCACCGGACUUGCUAUGUUAAAGUUGUCUUUCAGCAACACCACAAAAGAUACCUCAUAAGAUAAUUUUUCAAGCUUUUCUGUCAUAUAGUUUCCGUCAACAUGUAGGACUAAGCUACCAAUUAAUUCAGCACUGGCAUCACUGAAAAAAAAUGAUAGUAGAAUUAAAGUCAGAAACUUUUGAUAUAAGGAGCUUAAAUUCAUUAAGGUGAUUUUAUUGAUUUUUUUUUUCUGGAACAUUUUUAAUGUAAGUCCUUCUAUCUACCUAGAGUCUAGACUUCAAUAAAAUUUCUAUAGUCCUUCUAUCACUUUAAUUUAAUGACAUAGUUGCUUAUAUAUCCCUAUUUUUAACUGAAUAAAAUUCAGGUGUUUAAACACAAAUCUUAACCUUUGACGUCAAUUAAGUUAACUAAAUCUUAUUUCUACUUACGUAAACUUCCAGCCUGAAGGGUUGGCAUAAUUGAGUUCCUUUGCAUACACAAAAGCCCAACUGC
rnacentral:lncRNA from 1 species